UUGUCCGAGGUUAUCUCCCUAAACUAGAGUGCCUUUGUGCCUGGCCAGCUCAUAACAGAUAAUGUACUUUUAGCUUAUGAAUUUACUCACUUCCUACAAACAAAAAGAUCUGGUGUAGAUGGUUAUGCAGAAGUGAAAUUAGACAUGAAUAAAGCAUAUGGCCGAGUGGAAUGGUCUUUUUUGGAAAAAAAAUGACGAUGAAAUUGGGUUUUGCAAGAAGAUGGGUGGAUAUUAUAAUGAGAUGUAUUUCUACAGUUUCUUACCGCAUCAUCAUAAAUGGUUAGCUUACUAAGGAAAUUUCACCAAAACGUUGUUUGAGACAAGGUGACCUCUAUCUCCUUAUUUAUUCCUAAUUUGUGCUGAGGGUUUUUCUGCCUUGUUGAAUGCAGCUAAAGCUAAUUGUUUCUUAACUGGUAUAAGGGUUUGUUAAGAGCCACCGAGCAUCAACCACCUUCUGUUUGCAGAUGACUCACUGCUACUUCUGAAAACUGAUGAUCAAAGUGCACAUCAUCUGCAAAAUAUUCUCACCUUGUAUGAGGAUUGCUCAGGGCAAACUAUCAACAAAGAUAAAUCAUUGGUGAUGUUUAGCAAGAAUACUAAGGCAACUGACAAGCUUUAGUUAAUGGCAGUCCUGGGCAUUGCAACAGAGGCAAGAAAUGAUAAGUAUUUGGAUCUUCCAGUUUAUAUGGAAAAGCAAUAGCAAAAACUUUUGCAUAUUUGAAAGAAAGGGUCCAGCAAAGAAUUCAAGGCUGGAAGGAAAAGCUGCUUUUAAAAGCUGGCAAAGAGAUCCUAAUCAAGGCCAUAGCGCAGGCGAUCCCCACAUACACAACGUCCUAUUUUGACCUCACCAAAACCUUACGUGAUGAAAUCAGUAUGAUGAUUUGUAGAUAUUGGUGGGCACAACAAGAUAAAGAAAAUAAGAUGCAUUGGUUGUCCCGGGAUUUUGUAUCAAGGAAAAAAGAAAGGGGGUUUGGGAUAUAGAGAUCUCCACCUUUUUAAUUUGGCAAUGUUAGCAAGGGAAGCAUGGAGAUUACUGAUGAAUCCCAUAUUCUUUAUGUGCCCAGGUCCCGCGAGCAAAGUAUUUUGAGAAUGGCAAAUCACUUGACGUGACAGAAGCUCAAGGCAUCUCAUACUCCUGGAGAAGCAUUGUUCGCGGCAUACAAGCACUAAAGGAAGGCUUAAUUUGGAGGGUUAGUGAUGGAUCACAAAUAAAUAUUUGGUUAGAUCCUUGGUACCGACAGGUGUGAUGAGAAGGCCAAUCACUCCUCGAGGGCAUAACAUCUUGGCAAAGGUUUCAAAACUUAUUGAUCCAUUAACAGGGGACUAGGAUAAAAUUCUAAUCAAAGAUGUGUUCUGGGAAGAGGAUGUGAAGCAUAUCCUUGCAACCCAAGUAAAUAAUAAUAUGGAGGAUUUUCUUGCAUGGCACUAUGACUCAAAAGGGCUAUUUUCAGUAAAAUCGAUGUAUCACACUUUGGAGGAGAAGCGGGAGCGGCAGGCCACAAGACAGAGAGGUGAGUCAUCGUCACCUUCGGCAACUGCAAAUCAGAUAGAGUGGGGAAGAAUAUGGAAAAUGGAAUGUCCUCACAAGAUCAAACAUUUUUUAUGGCACCUAACGCAUAAUAGUCUGCCUCUGCGGAUGAAUAUUAAAAGAAGAGGCAUUGAUGAUGUUGACACCCGCUGUCCAGUGUGUUUGAGGAUGGAUGAAGAUGGUAGCCAUUGUUUUUUUUUAAAUGCAAAUUCGUGCGCAAAUGUUGGCAGAUGAUGAACCUAGAAGGUGUGAUGCUGAAAUUAGUAGACAUAAAAGAUGCCAAGGAGGUAACAAAUUGUAUCCUAUCUAUGGAGGACGAAAACAAAUAUGAGAUCAUGAUCCUAAUGCGGUUAUGGUGAGAUCCAAGAAACAAAGUUAAUGCUGGUGAACAAAGAAGAAUAGUGGAAGAAGUAGUGCACCAAGCAAGAAACAAGACAUAGGAGGUUUGUACUAUGCUAAACAAAAUAGUUGAGAAGCAUCAUAAAAAAGUGCAGAGAUGAAAUCCACCUCUGGAGGAAGUUCUCAAAGUUAACAUUGAUGAAGCUUUCCUCAUGGAGCAAAAAUCGGGAGGAUGGGGCUUCAUUGUUAGAGAUGUUGAUGGCAAUGCAGUAAUGGCGAGAGCAAGGGGAUUAGAAUCAAUUCAUGAUUCUUUUUGUGCAAAGGCUCAAGCUUGCCUUAAGCUCUAACGGCCAUCUCAGCUCAAGGUAUGACGAGAAUUCAGUUGGAAAGCGAUUCUUCAAACCUAUUCACCGCUUUGGAGUCAAGGGUUUGAUCAAUACGUUGCUUAUGGAGGCACGUCAAUUUAUUCAACUAGAUUUUGUGUCUGUUGAAAUUUCUUUUACCCCACGAUCUUCUAAUCUGUGUGCAGAUGAAUUAGCUCAUUCUAGUCUGAGUUGGGAUCCGGAUCAGUCAUGUGUUUGACUUGAUCCCCCGGAUUUUCUAAAGUUUUUAGCAGUUCGUGAUUGUACUGAACCUCGGACAGAUGAAUAAAUAAAGAGAGAAUUUCUUAUUUGACACUAGAAAAAGUAUUCCUUCCUUUCAUGGCCCUCAGAAAAUUUUCGUUCCCUAUUUGAUACCGAGUUCAACUUUCAUUCCUUAUAUAACACUCUGUUGGAUUUUCCAUCCGUGAACCGUUAAAUGCCCUGUGAAAAGACGACCUGUGAGCCCUACCACCCUUCUCCCUCCUUUCCUCUCCUUCUCCCUCUGCUCUACACCGGCUUGCCGGCUGUCGUGCCCCCGCGGGAGGUCGAGCCCCGUCAGCCACCAGGCCCCUUGGGAGGCCGCGCGCCGCCGGCCGCCGUGCCCCGCGGGAGGCUAAGCCCUGCACUGCGCCUUGUGCACGCGCUUCUAGUCCAGCGCCUGGCACGCGUGGGACCAGUAGUUGGCGGCGCCGCACACAGAGCACCGCUGGAACUCGUGCCGCCAGGUGUCGCGCCGCCCGCACCGGACGUGCGAGCAUAGCCGGAGCUUCGCGCCGUCGCCCGUGCCAGCGCCAGGCUUCUUCGCGGCCGCCACCUGGGCACCGUGGGAGGCCCACCAGUUGACCAUGAACUGGUUCGCCACGUGGGGCUCCGCCUCAGGGAUGCUCCAACCGAAGUCCAAGAGGAGCGAGCAGCUGCCGGCGCCCACGGCCGUUGCUGCCGCGGCACCGAGCAGGACCGUGGCGGUGAAGGGGUGGCGCGAUGCGGCGGCCACAGCAAGCGCGAGCGCUGGCGGCCACCAGGAGGCGUCGGCCCUCGGCGGGGUCGCGCCGCACUUCGUAGUCAUCCUGGAAGCGCGCGCACAAGGCGCAGUGCGGGGCUCAGCCUCUCGCGGGGCACGACGGCCUCCCAAAGGGCCCGGUGGCUGACGGGGCUCGACCUCCCGUGGGGGCACGGCAGCCGGCAGGCCGGUGUGGAGCAGAGGGAGAAAGAGAGUUGAGGAGGGCGAAGGGUGGUGGGGCUCACAGGAGCAAAAUCGUCUUAACGGUUUAUGGAUGGAAAAUCCAUCAGUAUUAUAUGAGGAAUGAAAGUUGAACUCGGUGUCAGCUAGGGAAAAAAAAUUUAGAGCCACGAAACAGGUAAUUUUUCUAGUCUUUCUCUCGUAAAUAAAAAAAUAUUUUCAGAAAAAAAAACACAGUCCAUUGCAUUCAGCAACCCGUACAGUUUCCUAUCCUAUCACUACAAGCAAUCAAUCCAUCUCUCAAAAAAAAAAAGCAAUCAAUCCUCCUCCGACGAGGACGUCGACGAAGACGAGAAGGACGACGAGGACGAGGAGACCGAGAGCGACCUCCGGUAGCGAUAGCGGUAGCGGUGGUACAGCGCCGCGUCGGGCGCCCGCGCCACCCACCCGCCGCCGCGGCCGGACCCCGGCACGUAGUACUCCGGCAGCGGCAGGCAGAAGAAGGCGAAGAGGGAGUCCCCCAGGCGCCCGAGCUCCCGCGCGGGCGGCACGAGCAGCGCGCGCAGGACCUCGUCCGCGCGCACCCGGCGACGCCCCGGGGGCUGGCACAGCUCCGCCGGCGCGCGCGCCGCCGCUGCCAGGAGCGCGGCGCUGAACACCAUGAACCCCUUUGGUUCUGUCCCUCGCGCCCCCGGCUGGUCGGAUGUUUCGGAUUGGUUUUUUCCGUCGCGUUGUCGCGUGUGGUGUGUGAUUUGGGCGCGGGUUUUUAUUAAUUUUGGUGGCGUGGAGUGCGCGGGUGGAACCGUGGAAGGAAGCGCGCGGGAAGUUUUUACGGCCGCGGCCGUGGGGGGUGCCGUGCGGCGAGGAAACACAAGGGCCAGGACCCAGGACUCCAGGAGCCCUACCGGUCGUCGCUCCCGCCGCCGCGCGGGCUGGCCGCUUUGGUCGUUUUCCCGUGCGACGUGUGCAGCGCCUCCCAAAUUGUAAGUUAUUUUAAUUUUUUAAUUCAAAAUAUCUUAAGUUUGAUCAAAUUUAUAUAAUAAAAUACUAAUAUUUAUGAUACCAAGUAAGUACUAUUUAAUUCUUCAUUAAAUAUAUUUUCAUAGUAUAUCUGUUCGGUACCAUAAAUUUGUAUAAUUCUCUCUAUACUUUUGAUCAAGCAUAAAAUAGUUUGAACCUCCAAGAAAUUUAGAAUGACCUGCAAUUUGGAACGGAGGAACAAUUUAGAAUGGAGCGACAAUUUAAAAUGGAGGGAGUAGCAUGUGACAGACGGUAAAUUUGUAUAAUUCUCUUUAUACUUUUGAUCAAGCAUAAAAUAGUUUGAACCUCCAAGAAAUUUAGAAUGAUCUGCAAUUUGAAACGGAGGAACAAUUUAGAAUGGAGGAAGUAGCAUGUGACAGACGGCAGAAUGGAGUCCUGGCAGCCUGCCACAUACAACACGCGGAUGUUUCAGUUUCAUCGUGCAGAUACUGAAAUCCUCGCACGGUGUCCAGCUCGGCACUGCAGAACACCGAGUAUCGGAAGAUAACUUCUCUUAGCAUUAGUUGCACCUUCCCCGACAAUAAUUGCCACAUCCAUACUACCCAAGUGGCUAUCAGCAUUGCAUUACACGUAAACUACUCAAGUCAAAAGAGAUUAGGAACAAUAUAGGCUCAUCUGAAUGCCAUUGCACAGAACUAGUGCCAGAGGAAGUAAUCAAAAGAGAUUAGGAACAAUCUAGGCUCAUCUGAAUGCCAUUGCACAGAAUGACAGAACUUGUGCCAGAGGGAAGUAACGAAAGAAAAUAAGAUGGCAUUGGAAUCAAUCUACAUAAGACAUAACUAUGGGAACACCACUGCCAGCGCCUUUGACUUAUUCUGUGCUAGCCUUAUAUAAAUCUUCCCCAAAGAUUGCUUCACGGAUUCAGCUACUCGUGCAGGAAGCCUUUCUCCUCAAGGUAAGUAACCACCUGCCCCGCCAUGUCACAAAGUGGGGGGCAUACACCGUCCACUUCCUUGAUCUCAAUCUGCAAGAAAACCAAGAAAGUCAAACAAUUGUAGUUGUUGACCACAAACAAACAAUAGGAACUUGAUGUCAACAUAGAAAAGAAUCAAAUCUGGUUUCCUUCUAAUACCAGGAUGAACAAUUUUUCAAUUUGAUGCUUCUAGAACACCUUAUAGUAAAAAUCAUUUUUAUGCUUUCGACUUGUGUUGGGGAGUAGACACGAUAAUAACCUUAACAUCUAACAUUUCCUAGACACAACUGUCCUAUAAUAACAAACUACAUAGCCCGUUGCACCUACACAGUUGAUUUAUUUUGCAUAAAAGGAAAUGAUGAACAUGCACUUCUCUUCCUAAUCCAAUCAAUUUCCUAUGACAUUCAAUCUUCAUAGUUUCAGUAAGGCAACCAAUUUGAUAUGGACCAGAAGGAACAACUACAUUAAUGCCUUAAUAAUACACACUUCAACAUGUGAAGAAUGGCAAGAAAUCUGAACCAUUGUGUACCUCGCAAUUCAGGGGAGCUUCGUAGGGGUCAUCGAUUCCAGUAAAACCUGCAGUAAACCAUGAUUAAGCAAUAACAAACUCUAUACGAGUUAACAAAACAGGUUAAAUAGAAUGUCAUGAAGACAGUUGACAUAAUAAAUGGUGAACUAGAACCAGCAAAAUAAAGAUAAGUCUGCACAUAAACAAAGUUGCAGUGAAAACAUAGAUUCUUAAGCUUACAGAAGACAAGGCUUACUCAUUUUCCUUUUUUUUCCAUUUCUCAACUAGAGAACUCCUCCUAAACUUACAAAUGGACAUAUAGACACCUGAAAAGAAAACCUUUAGAGGCUGGGGCCCUAGCAUGCCCUGACGGUUGACCUAUAACUCCACGGUCCAGGUCAGGGACUAGAAUCCACUCCCAAAAUAAAACAGCUCAACUGAUUUUGGUUCAGCAUUUAGAAAUACGCAACAUGACCCAUGUGCAGCCAAAUGUGAAAUAACAGCAUAGUGGUAGAAUAUAACCUAAAAAGAAUGCUUAAACACAUGCUAGGUGUACCAUCGCUACACAGUGUGACCAAGGAAUCAAAUGGAAGAAUCUAAACACUGUAGAUGGUAAAAUAAAAUAUCCAUCCUCGCAGUAUAUGCAACAUCUAAAUUUGUGCUUUGUUGUGAAAUCAUAUUGUUAUUAAGGUGCUGCUUUCUCAAAACAAGCAUAAUUUGACUCGAGUAGUAUUUUUAAUUCUUCAAAUCAGGCUGUGCUUCUAACCUUACAAACAAGCCAGAAAUGUGAUUUAUAAUGUAAAGCAUUAAGUAUGAUCAAAUUUUGCUCAGCAGGACAUGCUAAAUUGAAGCAUUAAACUCUCCAAAUUAUUUCCAUUCUGGACACCAAGCAUUAUAUGAACCUCACCCUUUAUUUUUCCUGCACGAGCAAGCUUAUAAAGACCCUUUGAAUCCCUUGCUUCACACAAUUCCAAGGACAUGUUCAAGAAAACCUGCAAAAGUUCACAGGUGUUUGGUGGUAAAACUCAUGGGAUAGCUAAGUUCACUAAAGACAAAACAAAUAAAAUGGAUCCCUUACUUCCACAAAGCUACCAUCAGACAACAAAGCACGGCAAGCUUCACGGUCUCUCCUAUACGGAGAUAUCAAACUUGCAAUACAUACAAGGCCCGCAUCUGCAAAUAACUUUGCCACUUCACCUGUCCAAAAUAGUUGAAACUGUCAAUUACACAAGGCUAGAAAGUAUUAAAUAAUGGCACAAGAAGGACUCUGUUCACCAUUGUUUCCUCAUGGGAGUUUCAUUAAGUUCAAUGCAAACAUUUCUGUGUUCAGGAGACACUUACCAACUCUCCUUAUAUUUUCAGCACGAUCUUCAGCUUUAAAGCCAAGAUCCUUGUUUAGUCCAUGUCUUAAGUUAUCACCAUCAAGAACGUAUGCAAGCUUCCCUCUUGUAUGGAGCUCUCGGCCUAAUGUACAUGCCAAGGUACUUUUACCUUGACAAAGGUAAUGCAGAAAAAAAAACAAAAUUAGAUUAAAAAUACAGGACGCCAUUUUUUUAAAAAAAGGCAAAGUUUCAAUUGAAAAAAAAUAGUGAUUAUUGGAAAUCUAUCAUUUACAAGUUGUCAUUCUUCGUAAGAACAGAAAUAGUUUCUGAUAUAGUGCCCAUUUGUUAAUCUAAGUCCAGAAGAUAGUGUGAACAGAAAAUAGGAUAAUAUCAGCAAACAUAAUGGAUGUCCACCAUACAAAUAGUAAAAUUUUACAUUACAGUGCUAUUUGAAACAUUGUAGGUUUGCCGUUUAACAACCUUGAAGAUAUUUGGUCAAAUGCAUGGCAACUAAAGAAAGGUCAUGAGCAAUUUGUCCAAGCCAAAAUACAUGGUCAUUUUUAAUUACAACAAUAACAACUUGACCAUCUAUCCAGUCAAAACAGGUUGACCAUCUAGAUUUGAGAACAGAGCUGAGAGCUGAACUAAAUUUCCAUAAAACUAGCAAUUCUUGACCAGAUUUUUACUAGCAUAGAAUGCACAGAAGCAAGAGAGAAAAGGUUCAAAAAUUACCUAAGAGGCAAUAACAGUGUGAUCCGUUCAAUUACUUAAAAACCAUGAAGGCAUCAGGAAUUUUACUCUAAAGUCUACAAUGAAACCAAGAGUGGUUACAGCUUUUGGCCUAAACUGAUUUUAAUAGAAUCCGAUGAUAUAUAAAACAGUUCAUGUGAUAGUACAGAAAUCUAAGUCCAUGCAGGCGACAGUAUACAGCAACAAAGCCCAACAAGAGACAAACAAAGAGGACAUAAUAAUAUAUAAUGUAGGAACUAGGAAGAGUCACUGACUGCAGUUGAUAUUAUCCACACUUCAAGAAUUUAAAGAUUGAUUGACAAAGCAAGAAGCAGACAACAAACCAGAUUGAGAGAAAGGGAGCCUUAGUUACCUGAACCACUAAGGCCUGUAAUCCAGACAACACAACCUUUCUGCUUGAGUAGCUUCUGACGAUCAGCCUUGCCAACUGCGCAAUCAUGCCAGAAGAUAUUUGAUGACUUUGGCACAGUGGAUGACAUUUUUGAAGCUUUCUCCUCAACUACUGUGUACAAAUACAAUCAUUUAGACAACAAGAAAGGCUCCAAUUCUUUUCAAGCAAAUUAAAAAACAUGCAAUCUGAUUACCAGCGAAAUUACUAUAUUCUUUUCUUAAUUAGUAGAAGCUCUUUAUUGCGUGUUUCAUAAACAAUUACAGAAUUGGUUGCCACUGAGCAUUUUUGUACAAAUCAAUCGUGCUGUUCUUUCGAAUUCCUGAGUCAAAAAUUGCAAUAGUAAAUAGGACGCAUGGGGGAUCAUGUUGGUUAUAAGCUGGACAAACCCUAAACAAAUUGCAACAGUGUGGCUGACCACCUAUCCUCACUCCCGUCGCAUUUGAAUUGUCUUAAACCCCCUGUCCUUCUCUUCCUAUAGACUUGACUCACCCACCUCAAUCCCCACUCAGCCCCUCACCUCCCCUCACCGCCUCACUGUCACCCUUUAGCUCUGCUACUGAAUCCCUUUCGGACUUCUCUACCAAGCUAGCGGCCUGGAGACCACGGCAGCGAUAGACCACCUCCUCGGUCCUCACAGCCGCGUAAAAAUGUCCGCCACAGUCGCGCUCGAGAUAGAGGCCGAUACCGGAAAGACGCCUUUCGGCCCCAACUCGAAACGAUCAAGUGUAAAAAAAAAUCGCGGGAAGAAAAGGAAAUAUGAUCAUGGGUUCUACUAGUCCGUCGAAAUGGAACAAAAUCUGGAAUUUCGCCUAAUUCACACGCACCCGAGUCCCCCGAUCGGGCGAGUGGCGCCCACAUUGGAUCGAAACAGCGAAGAGGAAACAGGGGAGGAGAGGCGGCUACGUGCCUAGACUGACCUCCUGCGUGCUCCUGAAUCGAUCGGUCGCCGGUGCAUUCGACGAGGGGGCGUCUGUCGAAGCCUCCGUCGCCUGUUACCCUCGUCCCAGUCCCGGCGGCUUGGGACCUCGGAAGGCGGGGGCGGGGCGGAGGCAACCCUAGAUUCGCGACGGGGCUCUGGUUCCGGUGCGCGGCCGCGAGGCGCGAGCAGCGGCCAGGGGAGGGAAAGGUACACCCACCAGGCCACCACCGCUGGAAUUGGCACGCGGAUCGCGAGGGCACCACCACCACCCCGCGCGCCGCGGUGCGGUGGAGGAGGCUGCUAACGGGAGGCGGGCCGGGUGGGCGCGCCGCGAGGCGUGCCGCUCGUGGGGCGUCCAUGGGGCGGUGGUGGGGCUCAGUGGCUGACUGACUGACUGGUGGCGCCGGCGUGUCCUCAAAAGAAAGGGGCCUUUUGUUGCUGACGCCGUGGCCACGUAGGCUCCAAGGCCCGCCCGCACUAUUUUUUCGGCUCAGUUCGGCAAAUUUCAGAUAUUGAUUUUUCAAUUGCUGUAUUGAUCCAAUAUCAAACCAAAGAGCUAUUGCAGUAUCAUUAAAAAGCGUUGAUAAAACCAAGUAAGUGUAAAGUAUUUUAGGCAGAAAUAUUUUGAAAAAUAUUUUUCCAACCUUCUCUUUCCUGUAUACCUGCAAACUUUAGUGCAAAUGCAACUUCGGAAUGCACAAUAUCAAUAGCAUCUCUGAAAUUUUAUCACUCGCAUGGCACUUUGAAUUGUGGACUUGUUAUCUCAGUCUCAGCCCAUUCAGGAGGCAUAGGCAUUUUUUUAAGCAACGAUGAUGGAACGUACUAAUAAAACAAUUAGUACAUAGCAAUACUAAAUUAUGAUGCAGUCCUAGGAUCUUUUGGAUAGUCCAGGUAGCUCCAGCACAAAUUGAAUCAGCCGACCAUCUUGCCACCACCAUUAUGCUAGCGCUUGGCCAUCACAAUAUCUCUACAAAUAUCACUUUGGUCCUAGAAACAGUAUGAAAAUCACCGUAUCCUAAUUCCAAAUCUGUAAAUAAUGGUUUUAUCCAAAACAAUGAAAAUUUGGUACUUGAGGACCUAUUUGGUAUGCUGCUCCACUCUAAAACUCCAGGUGGAGACAGCUUCACUCCAUAAUUCCAAAACUAAAAUGGGAUGUUUAACUAGAUGGGUGCCUCCAGCUCCAAAAGGAGGGUCUUUUUGGAUGGAUUGUCGCUGUUACCCCAAUCCAUGACCCCACUUGUCAUUCGGUCACACAUUAUCUUUUCUUCGGGACGCUCGCCGUCGCGGCGUUGCUCGUGCUCGUCUCCUUCGACGCGUGCGCGUGGCAGAGCCGUCUACUCCGCGUCCUCGACCUUAGCUCGUUGCUCCAUGGCCCCCACCUCCUGCUCACCUUCUUCACGGGGCUCCUACCACCGCCGCCGAGGCGCUCCGCCUCCCGUUCUUUGGCCGAGCCGCCAUGCUCCCGCCGCGCCACCGCACCAUGCUAUGCCUCGCGUACCCGCUUGUCGCGUAUGGCAUCGUCGAGCCGGGGAUGCUCGCCACGCCGGCCGCCGUCGUGGCGUACCCGGGCCACCUCGCGCACGCCGCGGAUGGCCUCGUUGGAUAGGGGCAGCGGCCGGCCGGCGGCGCGCCCGACGGGGCCCACGAGGGAGCUCGCGCAGCCGGGAGGGGCUCCGGCGGCCGGCGGGGCUCGAAUUGACGACGGCAGGGAGGGGCUAGGCGGCCAGGAGGGGGCAGGCGACCGGUGGCGGGGAGCAGUCGCGCGUGAAGGCAGGCGCAAAACAGAGCAGUCACGUGUGAAGGAAAUAGGCGGGGGGUCUGGUGGAAUAGAAUCGAACUUUUUCUCUGUAACCAGUGGCAUUGGUAGGUAAUUACCCACCAACUCCACGAGGAGGUUGAAAAGAGGGGGUUUUGGAGCUGCAAAAGAGGUGCUCCAAAACUCCACCCCAAUUUGCACCACAGUUUCAUGAAGUUGUCAGCUUCAUGGAAUUUUGGAGCUGGGGUGUUUGGCUGGAACUUUUGGGGGAGUUCUAGAGUGGAACCAUGCCAAACAGGCCAUUAAGAUCCACUUAAUACCUCAUUUGCGAAGAAAGUCAAAUGUCAGUUGUCCGAACUCCGAAGGAAAAGCCUAGUGUCUUCGAUAAAUCCAUAAUAUCGAGAGAGUGAAUUUCAAGAAAUGAAUCCAGUAGAAAACUUGGGUGUAGGUGGAAUGAUGGUUUUAUAAAUAUGUAUAUAUAUUGUUUUAUANNNNNNNNNNNNNNNNNNNNNNNNNNNNNNNNNNNNNNNNNNNNNNNNNNNNNNNNNNNNNNNNNNNNNNNNNNNNNNNNNNNNNNNNNNNNNNNNNNNNGACUCUUGACACGUUGCAAAUGUUGAAUGUUCAAACUUUACCCAAAAUCAUAUCAUGUCACAGCAGGUUCCAAUAAUAAACUCUCCAAUACUUCAAAACUGACCAUGUCAACACGUAUGGGCCCAUACCAUCAGCUUUCCCCCUCGUAAUUUCUUUUGCGUCGGUCAUGAAUACGUAUGAGUGCCUUGACCGAUCGUCCUUAUCCUGACUUUUUCCAGCCAUGGGAUGUUGUAUCCUGCCGACUGCCACGUAGCUUCCUCCAUCUCCUAGCGCUGCUACUAGAUUGCUGCCUCGUCGCCGCCGCUGCCUAGCCGCUACGCCGCCACGCUAGGGACUAGCGCAUCGGAAGCCCGCCAUCCCCAUGACUCCUCGCUCGUGCGCCGCUCGAGCGCCUUGCUCAUGCUGGCAUCGUUGCCCGACCCCGCCCUGAAGGCUGCUCCGGAGGCAGCCAAGGUGGAAGGGUGGCGGCGUGCGGCCGAGCCUCGCCAAGCGGCUGCUGCUGGGGAGCCUCCUGGAGGACACGCUCACCGCGGCGCUCGCCGACGCGAUCCCCAACUGCCUUCCCAUCACCAUGAGCCCCUACCACCUACUCCCCGGCACCGUCGCGCCAGCCGCCGAAGACCCCACGGCUGCCUCGGCUUGCUCGCUCACCGCCCUGCUGGUGCCGUCACGUACGUCAGCUUUGGCACGGUCGUUGCGGCGCCGCCUGAUGAGCUCCGCGAGCUUGCCUACAGGCUCGAGGCCAGCGGCGCUCCCUUCCUGUGGUCGCUGCAUGAGGACAUGUGGCCGCUGCUCCCGCCGGGUUCCUGGACUGUGUCAAGGCGACCAAUAACUCCGGCCGAAUCCUCGUGCCGUGGGCGCCGUAGGGCGCCGUGCUGCGGCACCCAUCGGUGGGCACGUUCGUCACGCACUCUGGCUGGGGAUCCAUCGUCGAGGGGAUGUCCGGCGGCAUGCCCAUGCCGAUGAUGGCCUGUCGCACUACCGCCCCUUCUUCGGGGACCAGCAGAUGAACGCGCGUGAUGUGGUGCAGGAAAGGAGUGCGGUGGGCGAUUGGGGGAGGAGAGACCGCACGCAAAUAAGCGGGGUGACGGGAUUGCGAUUGGGGUGGGCGAAAAUAUGCGGACGGUUUGGGUGAGCUGUUGGAGCGCAGUUUUUUUUCUCCCAAAUUAAGUUAUUAGGGGUAGUUUAGAGUGACUUUUGGAGUUGCUCUUAGUCACCAAGUAACGGCUGAGAAAAAAAUUUCCUGCUCCUUGACAAAUCUCACAGGACAGCCUGCAAAUAUGUGUAAACAAAGAAAUAGUCGCAUGACUAUUUCAUAUUUAAAAAAUGACAUAUUUGUGUUGUUGUUCUUAUUUUCUCUAUCAUUUCAACACUGGCAACGAAAUAGCCAUUUCUCUGCAACAAUAUUCCCAUGACCAAAAUAAUUUACAAACACCCCCAACGAGAAACCUUAUAUAGUAGUUGACAACAACAUCACAGUGAUGCUUUUGGGAUGGCUGAAAAAGUUAAUGCUUACAAUGCCGGUAUGAGAGGAACAAAGUGAGGAACAUAAUUGAUCAAGACACACCUGCAAGUAAUCGGUGCGUGCCAAUCUGAAGUUGAUGGACCAAGUUCUUGUGGUGCAAGCAUGUCAGCUCCUGCAUUAGUACAAAAGUCUAAAUUAGUGUAAGACAUCGGAUAUUACAUGAGAGGUUCACAAAAUCACAAGGACAGAGGCAUCAUGCGAAGAACUUCAAGACAAUUAUCGUGUAGUAGUUUCCAUUUUUCUAGAUAUCUGAGUAUAGCUUCCUACCUAAGUUGUUUGCAAAUCUAAUUCAUGAAAUGGAAAUUAACUAAAGAUCCUAUAUUCUCAAAAUACAACUGCCAUUGAUUUGUUAUUACUUUAUAAAAACCACAUAAUAUAUCAAUAUCGAGAAAGUAAAUGAUCGACUUGACGAUUUUUGAUAGAAAUCAUCAUCUAUAUAAACUGGAUCGGGGAUGCACACAUGAUUUCAGAAAGUUGCUACUUAAUAAAAUUGCUAGAAGCUUUGGCUUGCAGUGUCAAAAUAUCAUAGUUAGAGAUAUGCACCUUUCUUCUUCUCACACCAAUCAUUGUCUCAACAUCACAACAGGUGUGUUCAAGUAAUCCAAUUAUAUGGAGAUUUCCAUGAUUUUGUUACUAUUGGCAUGCACAAAAUUGCUCUGUGUAUGUAAACACUAUGCUGAUGUACAAAUUAGCAGCGCAACAAUACUCCUCCAUAUAAAUCCAUACUCUCUGUUAGUUUUCAGCUACAGCUAUAGAUUAUCUAGAAUUGUCAAGGAGAAGCAAAACAAAAUGGAAUUUUAUGGCACAGUUAUAAACUAAUGCGGAGUAACUAAAGAUCAAGCUAAGCCACACUGGGUAAAUUUAGGAAUGAGCUACAAAAAGGAUGUCUUACAAACUGGGAAGACCAUGGGUCAAAACACAUCGAUGCCUCACCAUCCCAUGUACAAUUUUCUCUGAUAUCCAUUUUCUCGUAGUUCACUGACUCGAUUCUCAGUGCCUAUAGCGGUUCUCUCUCCACCGCUAACUUGCAAAUAAAAAAACAUUAUCAUAACCCAUAUAGCUUUCACAUAAAAAAAUCAAGUAAGCUAGCUAAUGUUAUUAAGGAAGUUCUGAUCGGUACAAUAAGAACUUUGGAUUGCUGCACAUGAAUGGCAUAAAAGGAGUUGAUGUUGUCAAUCAUUCUAAGCUGAUCUAGGGCCCAGGCUGGCAAGCUGGGGGUGCUGCAGCACGGGUCUAGCUCAUGUAUUUGCCUACUAUAUAUAUGCUGUUGUGCGGCCUAUUCAGCUGGUUCUUAACUCUCUCUUGCAUACAGAGGAACAGAUUGUGGUUUAGCCCGAGGUCUAGCACAUUUCUGGGACCGCCCCUGGGCAUAUAUGCUAUGACAAAGAGCUCUAAGAUACCUGUAAUCUCAUUUUAGGACUAGCAAUUAUGCAAUGCUUCUUAUCCUGGAAAUAAACACCAAAUAUGUGUAAAAUGCAUGAUGCUGACAGAAUCCUAAAGUUUCAUGCUAACAUAUGGUUAAAUGCAGAUAAAUGAUUCAGAGUUUUUGCCUUCUCGAUAUAAAGAAUGCAAAUACAUCACUUUUUUUUGUUUUUUCAAUUGUGUUUUCUUGAAAGGAAAGUUACUUCCUGUUAGCUAUGCAUAUAUCUGUUCCAUGCAUAUAGCUUGCAGUUCUUCAUUGAUUAAAGAACUGUUUGGUGAACUUUUGACCCUACAAAGCCUUGUACUUUGAGAUGAUGUUUGCAGAAUAAGUAGCCCAGAGGAAAAUAAAACAAGAAAAGAUAAUACUUGUAAAUGUUGUGAUUGUAAAUCUAAAUGUUUGCUUUAUCAACAAAGAAAGCAGAGGCGGCUCUAGAGGGGGGCUGCUAGUUUGUGGAUUAGUGAUAAGAAUAUUCUGCUAGGACUUGUGGUUUUCAUUUUUAUUUAAUCACAAAAUAAAAUAAAGUUUGUUUUUAUUUGUUUGCAGACGCGUCAAACACAUAAACCUUUUUGGAUCCUGAAGAAAUUACAUCAAGGAGCAUACCAUUCACAAGAGACGUAAAGGUAAAUACGGCAGUUUGUAUAUUUCAGUAGAUGGGAAGGCGUGUCUAACUUUAUUAAUUAUGUUUGCAAUAUAAUAUACUUAAAAUUCAAUUUUUUUGGUUUACUGCUAUAAAAUUUUGGAAUUGGCCAAAAACAUUAUGCAAAAGGAACAAGGAUCAUAGAUCUGACUCCUGUAAUUCUUUUCAAUACUUUUUGGUUUUCGUGACGCACAGGGUGGAAGAAAAGCCUAUCUUUUGUUAGCCAAGAAACUGGAUGCGAUACUUUGUAUAUAGACUACUUCUUCCUUUCCCAGCAUUUGCUCCCUGACUUAAGACAUGGAUAGUCGUUACAAUACUUGUGUAUAGGGUGGUUGUACUUCUUGCACCAAUGCAUUCCGAGUUACGGGCUGUUAGUAUCAUUCCUACAUAUGUGGUCAUGUGGAGUAUGUAGGCUCAAGAAACAGAAAGUGGAUUUUUGCCCUUGUUCCUGAAAACCUGGAUACCGUAAAGCAUCCAAGAUGAUUGUAAGGUUUUUUGUUAGGGUAAUAACUGCUACAUGAGUUGAUUGCGUGGGUAAACCUGUUGACUUGUCCCGUGUUUGUUUCAACUCUUCCGUACUCGAGCGAAUACCGUGUUUGGUCUACCCACUGUCACUGCCUGUUUGCCCAUUUCACACCCGUCCCCAACUGCGAACUGGUGGUGGUGAGUAGGAACAGCUCGCCCCCUCACCAACUGGUGGUGCCCUCCAUCUCCUGCAGUCCUGCCUAUGCCUAGUAAACAGUACCAAGACCAAAAGCUUAGGAGGUGUUUGGAUACCCAGGCAUGUUUGGUGCUAAUUAGAAGUAUUAAAACGUAGGCUAAUGAUAAAAAUAAUUGCAUAAAUGAGGGCUAAUUCACGAGACGAAUCCAUUAAGUCUGAUUAGUCCAUAAUUAGCGCAUAUGAUGCUACAGUAAACGUGUGCUAAUCAUGAAUUAAUUAGGUUUGAUAGAUUCGUCUCCUGAAUUAGCCAUGACUUAUGCAAUUAGUUUUGUAAUUAGUUUAUAUUUAGUUCUCUUAAUUGACAUCUAAACAUGCGAUGCGAUCCGGGCUAAACUUUAGCCCAAGGAUCCAAACACCCUGUAUCAUGUACUCGGAGGAUGACGAACAUAAUUGAGAGUUGUGUGGGUGUUCACAGAUGUAUCACCAUCCAUGUGGCCGCCAUUCAUGAACGGUCCCAGCAACGUUGCAUCCAAACUCAGGAGUACUUCUGAAUUACUGGAUGUAUGUGGCGAAUACAGAUACUCCCUCCUCCCUUUUUAUCUGUCGCUUGGGAGGCUCACAGACAAAAAGGGACGGAGUAGAAUAUAAUUGUUGGUGAAUACUGAAGAUGGGUCAGAUUUGAGAUCUAUCUUACAUCUGCUUCGCUAAUUUUUAUGUCGUGCCUUUUUUUUUCUUUCUUCUCGUAGCUUCGUUCGCCUUCAUGCGGCCAUUCUUCAUGGCCCGCGUAACAUGAAACUCCAAAACCUUGAGGUGUUGAUUGUGCUCAGGUUUGCGACUUCUCCAAGAUCGGCCAAGACCCAGUAUAAUUGUAGGGCAAAUACGGUCGGUUUUUUGUAGGAGCCAAAACCUGAGAUCGUAGAUAAACUGGGCCAAGUCGAAGCUGCAUGUCGCACGAUCAAGGACACAAAACCAAAAAUUUCAACUGAUACAUCAUUCCUCUCGAACCGGCAUUCCUCCUGAGUCCUGACAGACAAAACAGGGUUCAGAAAAAAGGGGCAUCAAAUGAUCAAAGCCCAAAGCAGCUACACUAUACAUUCUCUGCACACCCUUGUGCCUGUGGCCGGUGCCACUAGCCCGAAGAGCUCCUUCGUUCCGUCGAGGCAAGCAAGAUCGCAGCACGGAGGAAGGGCAGGACCUAGCAUCAUCAUCCGUGGAUGGGCCCAGCAAAGCUGCAUCCUCUGCCGUAGGCUGUAGCCUUUAUCUGCGAGAAUCAUACACCGAUACACACAUGCGUACGCGCGCGCCACACCGCCCACACGUUAUCCUGGCCGGGGAACGCCCGCGACCGCGUCUACUCUACACGCCGCCAUGCCGGGGAGCGGUCACGGCAUGUUGCUGGAAUGAUUGGUCGCCCUGGGGCCUGGAAAGAAGCGUCCAUCGCGCCUGCCUCGUGUACGCCGCGGGCACAAGCGCCAUCAUUCUGCUCCUGAAAGCGUUUCGAUCAUGGAGCAUGCGGCAUGCCUGCGGAAACCAAGCACGGAGUAGCAGUCCGCCAGUCCGUGCAGGUACCAUACCAUACCGGGAGAGAAGCACACAGGCUCGACUCGACAGCGAAUGACAAGUGCAUUCCCAUUGCUAAAGAAAGCCUAGGCGCGAUGCAGAAACCGGAGCAAGCUCUAGCUCGCUCUAGAGGCGGCGUGCACCGACGUGAUCCGAUGAGUGCGUGCAAGCUGCUGCGUGCGGCGGCUGCCGGCCGACCGGGCGCCCGGGCGGGCUGAUCCGGCAUGGCAGCGGCGUCAGCCUGACGGAUGUCCAUGUCGCGGAAGCAGAGGUGCUUGAGUUUCUGCAGCUGGGAUGGAUCGGGAGCAGAGCUGCUUACCUUUUAUGCAUCUUGUGCAGGUGAAUGCAGUAGCUUUUGGGCGUAGCGUCCUGUGCAAAUUUGACGGCCGGGGGCGUAGCGUUGCUGUGCGUUCAAUCGCGGGCGUUCGUUUCAUGUGGGGAUCCGUGUGAUUCUGUGGAUGUAUUUGUAGGGUAUAUGAAAUUUUUUUGGCAUCCUGUCCGACCAGGCAAGCACUAAAAAAAAUAUCGACCCUAUUCAAAUCUUGCAUGCAUAUAAUAUAGUAUUAUUUUUAUUUGGUGUUUUCAUGCUAAUGAUACGUACCAUUUAGGACCACUCAUGUAUACCGUUCAAAAUGUACCAGUACACUAAAUUGUAUAUUCAAAUUUUGCAUGAAUAUAAUGUAUUAUUAUUAACUAAGAGCGAGCUCCGGUGACCGGUCGCCCGCGAGAGCGCCAGCAAUAUAUAUUAUAUUUUAUUUGAUGUUUUCUUGCUAAUGAUAUGUACCAUCCACGUACCACUCAUGUAUAUCCCCAGCCAAAAACACGUGUGUCAGUAUAUAAAUUGUUUAUUUCUUGCUGAAUGGUACCACCAUGUAUACCGCCCAAAAAAACACGCUAUCUAAUUGUUUGUUUUUUUUACUUCAUUGAAAAUAGUUUUGAUAACAUUUAUAAUAUUUAUUAGACAUUAUAUGUACCAUCCAUGUAUGCAUAUUUUACCACGUAAUACAAACUGUGUGAAUACACUGUAAAGUAAUAUUUUGCACAGUUUAUAAAAAUAAUUUUGAAAUUAUUACUGAAACUUAUCCGCAUACCACUGUACAUAGAUGCACAAGAACACAUUUUUUUGAGAAGAAUCUAACAUGCUAGUUAAUUGUGUUUUUUUAAGGGUCAACAAAUAUAAAUUUCUUAGCACAAUACUUUUGGUCUCAUCCAUGUCUGUAAAUUUCCAACUCUUGAUCAGCAUGAGCUCCUUAUCGUGAACAGGUCUUUACUUGAACAAUUAAAAGUGAAAUUCCAAAACAUAUUCGAACGCAAAGGCUACAAUACACAAUUUUCCAAAUUCGUCUGAUGCAUACAUCAUAAUUGAGAACCUAGGCAAAGAAUUGUUUCCAGGUCAUGGGAUCUGACUGAAAAAGAUCAUGAUAUGCGGAAUCUCAAUAGUUGUGCAGAAUCAAUCCUAGUACCAGAUCAAUUAAGCAUGCAUCGAAACCAUGUGGCAAUGUUCUUAAAUUCCUAAAAAAAAAGAGACCAGACUGCUCAAUUCGAUUUUGCAUGCAACCAACUGAAUAAAGAUACACAACAAAUGGCUCACUUUUGGAGAUAGGAGAGCCAAUCUACAUUCAGAGCUAGCAAAAAUAACUGCCUCUUCGCACUACAAAUCAGUUUAUAAACGAGCAGAAAUUCAAAGUGUAUCUGGCGGCCACUCUUACAACAAAAUCCAAGACUCUUACUCCAACCACUCCACCACCCAAAGAAGAAAGGAAACAAAAACCUUUCCCCAACCAAUUCGUCGCCAUUUCCUCCACCAGCAGGAACUAAGGGCCUGUUUGGAUCCAUGGACUAAAUUUUAGUCUUGCACUUUUAGUUUAAAAUUUAGCUCUUGGGAUCCAAACAGGAGGGCUAAAAGUGACAAAUAGCUAAACUUUGGGAGCUAAAUUUUAGCCCCCAAAGAGGUCCUAAAAGGGGCUAAAAGUGCUCCCCAAGACCCCCUUUCCACCCCUGCCCCCUUUCCUCUCUCCUCUGCGUGGUCCUCUGCUCCUCCCGCACUCCCUCUCUCCUCCAACGCCCGCCGCCUCCGCCCGACCCCCGCCGCCUCCGCCCGGCCCCCCGCCUCCAGCCAGCCCCGCUGCCUCCGCCCGGGCCGCCGCCUCCGCUCGGCCCCCCGCCUACAGCCAGCCCCACCGCCUCCGCCUCCUUCGCCCGCCGCCGCCGCCUCGCCGGCCCCGCCACCUCCGCCUCACCUCGCCGCCUCGCCACGCCGAGGAGGUGCGAAGGGAAGAGGAGAGAGAGAGAGGGAAAGGAGGGGGAGGGAGAGAGGGAAAGGAGGGGGAGGGAGAGAGGGAAAGAGAGGGCAAAUCAGUCAUUGUUUGAUGAGGGACUAAAAUUUAGCCCAUGGAUCCAAACACCCCAGCAGAACUAAAUUUUAGGAGCUAAAGUUUACCUCAUGAACUAGUGAUCCAAACACCACCUAAGUCAUUAGCAAAAGCAAAGUUUCCUUUCCAUUUUUGGAUUACAGUUGGCACACACUCUGAAAUGGAUAUGAGCAAGGGAAGAAAAAUGAUAGAACAAGAGCUUCCCGCUUUGCAAUGGAAACACAAGAGAUGAACAUCGGAGAAUUGAAUCAGCCCCUACUUACCAAGAAUUGGUACCAUUUGCCCAAAAUCCAGCGCCUAGCCCACAAGAUUGGCGUCCUCCUGGCCAAGAGCAGGCUUUGCUCCGUGAGCUCCUCCAAGGAGACCACCAGCUUCGGUGCUCGGCCGACCUCCUCGACCUCGGCCGCUAGCCCGACGCAGGCGACGGCAGCGAGGGCCGCGCCUGCCGUUAUCUCCCGAGACCCGAGCAGGCUGAUCGUAAUCGAGCGAGCCUGCCAGAGCGCUAGGUUUCCGCUCCUGAUCGGGUCGAUCGAUUGCCAGGUGCCACUGCCGUCUUUUUGACCAGCCGGCAAUUUGACGACGGCAGGACGGUAUGAUCGCUUGCCACCUGACUUUUCUCGUCCUCAGUGACUCAGUGCUAUUCAUUCUGCUUGGUAAGGUAGAUUUUUUGCACAUUUCUUUGCCGGCCCCAGAACAGGCCAUGAAUCUGUGCUCUAGUAUGUGGAAUUUAUACUGGCAGACGUACUGUUCUGACCGUCUACUCCGAAAUCUGAAUAAUCUUGCUGCAAAGGCAUAUGAUGCACCGGUAUGAAUCGAACGUCCCAAUCGCCAUCACGCAACAUUUGGAACCUUUGGUAUUUCGCUCCAUCCCCUAAGCCAAGACCCUGAUCUGUAUGCUGCCAACAGUCAUGAGGUAGGGGAAAGUGAAGCACACCGAGGGAGUUCAUCCCACCGAACUGAAUUUCUCCAGCACUGCAACUAUCUUGUGACAAAUUCCCCCAGUUUAAAAACACCCAAGUUGGCAAACAGGAUUACAGAUUCCAUCUUUCAAGCGCCAUACCGUUGGAUUACAAUCGAAAUGAUAGGCCCCGCCGCUUUCGACCUCCACACAGUGACGUCACAGUGCCUGAAGAAACAGGCCCUAUGCAAUCAUGCAUGUAACCAAACAGUCCAUGCUCUUCACCCGGUCGUUUGACGCUAUCCCUGUCCAAUUAUGCAGCGUCCCCUUGGGUUCCCAGUCCGAUCAAGCGCACGCCAUCUCCUGUCCAGACGAGCAUAUUUGUAUUCUUGCAUGGACAGCCACCAGCGGCGCAUGGCCGGUUAGCUCGAACUCGCCUGUCAGGCCAUCAGUCUCAGCUGUCGUCCCAGCACGUACGCUCUCGUAGCUAGGCACCACGAGAGAGGGGGCGGUGGGGAGGCUGCAGAACAGUCGAUAGGCCGGGUAGGGCUGCGCGGAUAAUGCAUGGAUGGUGGUUGCGAUGGGGACGCUAAGAAUUGUUGCGGCGGCCGGCGUCGCUGCUCUCUAGGCUGCGGCCGCCCCAGCCCGGCAGCCCGGCCGGGCGGUUGCGCCCUGCCGCCGUCAGCAUCGGCCACGAUUGAAAGUUGAAACCCUGCCUUAUCCUCGCGGUCGUGCAGUGCUAGUUCAGGUAAAGCCGGGAAACUGAUACGCGGAAAUCGUUCAAGACGACGGCCGGUCCUCCAAACAACUGAGACGUCUGAAAGCGCCUUGUGGGUUGUUCGCCUAAAUUCUCUCUCAAAACCGGCCAAAAAACCCAGCUGGUUUUGGAAAGGUUCUUGUGGCUUGUGAAUUGUGGUGACGCUGACAAGCGUCGCGCUGCUGCUUGUGAUUGGAUCAUUCGCUAGUUGCCAAACAACAGCUUCGAUUGAUUUGAUUUCUACGAAAUUCGUCCGCUUCCAAACUCGCAAAUUUCUACGGCAGUCACAGCGACGCGGAUUUAUCACGGAUGGGAAGGAAGGCGGGAUGGCGAGUUGGCGACCGGCACAUUCCAAAGCAAUCCCAAACUCAUACUAUUCCACGUGGGUUGUGCACGAGUCCAGGCUCGGAGGGCGACCGCCACGGAUGCGUGCAGCACAGCCCGUUUCCACCAAACCAAUCAGAGCGAUACGGCACGACGCACGCAGCGUCGUCGGCGUUGCUUGCAACGACGAGAACCACCGAACCGCCGCUGACCUGCGGCCGUGCGGGUGCCGGCAGCACGCACGAUCGCGGCACGAGUCACGGCCCGCCCAACUCCGAGCGCAUCGCAUCGCGGCGCAGCGCAGGGCCCCGUCUCGUCUCCCCGCCAGCCUUUAAACGCCACGACGCCCGGCAUUCCCUCUCACAAUCUCUCUCCAUUCCAAGAAGAGAGAGAGAGAGGGAGAGAGAGAGAGCGAGAGAGAGAGAGAGCAGCGGGCGCGGCGGCCGAAGCAAAAACGACACCCAACGGGCGGAUUUUUAAGUGCUCAUCGCACCGCACCCGUCCGCUUCCGGCUUCCCUUCCUUCCCGUGCCCGCCCGCCCGCCUUCCCCCGCUUUUCUUUUACCCGUCGGCCAAAAGGAAGCGCCAGCGGCCAGCGCGCCGUCCUUGCGGUUGCCCAGCGAGCAGCAGCUGGUACUGCCUGCUCGGUCUCCAUGGCGGCGGCGCGGGCGUGCUUGGUUGCGCUGGCCGUGGCGGCGGCGCUCUUUUUGGAGGAGGGAGCGGCGGCGGUGGGGGCGGGGGAUGCCGGGGCGGCGUCGAUGAGGCAGCGGCGGCGGCAGCUGCUGCGGCAGCGGCAGGUGCGCAGCCACCUCAAGCGCCUCAACAAGGCGCCGCUCGCCACCAUCGAGGUACUGGCCACCUACCCAUCCCCGCCAUCUGUCUCCGCCACACGGCGAGCGCCGAGCGCACAGUUCGUUCGAUGGGUUUCGCAUUCCAUUGCCACAAAUUUCGUUUCGUUUCCUUCGGAUUAUGGAAGGGAAUCCAACUGAAUCCCCAUGGGGGCGGGAAAAGGAAGGAGGUCCUGCAUUUUGCAUGGAAGUAGUAGAAGAAAGCCGCCCCUUUCGAGGCAGGGGUUCUUGUGCUCCAUGCUCUUGCUGCUUUGCCUGGUCCACCUCGUCGCUUUGGAAGGGUUGAAUGGCUGUUCCUCAUGGACCAUCCAUGCAUUGGGCUCGGUUUCCUUUCGUCGCGGGAGGAAAAAGUCGCGCUUUUUGGAGGAAUUUAUGGGCGCCCGUGCUCCUUUGGUUCAUUGGAGCUGAAGCGAAAGAUGCUUGCUUUUGAUUGCUUUGCUUUCUUUGCUGGAGAACUCGAGUCAUUUCUGAACCUUGUUACAUUUUCCCUACUGUUUUUGUUCAAUCAAACUAGUGACUUCAGCUUGUUUACUCCCACUUCUUUCGAAUGCAGAUAUACAUACUAGCAUGCGCAAUCUUUGUACAAUCUACAUUUUGUGUUCCUUUCCUCUUUCAACAGCUUGGGCAAUUGCAGACGUUUUUUACAUUUGUUCAGAGAAAAAGAAAAUUAUGUUGACAAAAUUCACAUAUCCUUCACAUCAUUCCUGCACUAAUUUUAGCACAUCCUCUCCUUUUUCUGCAUUUUUGCAACUACUGAUUCUUCGACACCAACUUACAGAGCCCAGACGGUGACAUCAUAGACUGCGUGCCCAUCUCCAACCAGCCUGCCUUCGAUCACCCGUUCCUCAAGAACCACACCAUCCAGGUUCCUCUCUCUGCAGCACCAUUGCACUUUUAAUUUCACUGUUUCAGUGUACACCAUCUGCAGACCACAUGACAUGCAUCAUGAUAUCGCUCAACGGUGCUCAAUCAACGGUGCUCCAUCAUCACCUUUCAGAUGCGGCCUGCGUACCACCCGGAAGGCCUGUAUGAUGAGUCCAAGGUCGCCUCCCAGCAGCAGACCCAGACUAUCACCCAAAUGUGGCAUCAGAAUGGCAAGUGCCCCGAGGACACGAUACCUAUCAGGAGGACCAAGAAGGAGGACGUCCUGAGAGCAAGCUCUGUGAGGAGGUAUGGCAAGAAGAGGCACCGGAGCACCCCCAACCCCAUGUCUGUUGACCCUGACAUGCUCAAUGAGAGUGGCCACCAGGUACAAUAACAGUAGCAAUGCUAAUCUUUUCAUAGAUUAUGAUAUUCUCAGCAAGAAUUUCUCAGUUGACCUUGUUUGCUCUAUCUCCCAUGGAGCAGCACGCCAUAGCUUAUGUUGAGGGGGACAAGUACUAUGGCGCCAAGGCCACCAUCAAUGUGUGGCAACCGAAAAUCGAGCAGGCCAAUGAGUUCAGCCUGUCCCAGCUCUGGAUCUUGGGGGGCUCCUUCGGCCAGGACCUCAACAGCAUCGAAGCAGGAUGGCAGGUGAGACAUGGGAGCGGGAUGGAAAGAGAAACUCAGUUCAUGGAAAGUUCUAUUAAAUGCUGCCUAGCAGCUUCCAUUUCUGUUCUUCAUCUUCCUCUUCAAUGCUAUCAAUAAUUUCUCUGCUGCAUGCCUCAAUAAUCUCUGUGUGCUGCAAUGAUGAUAUGAGCACUGCUGCUGAAAGAGCCAUUAAAUGUGUAGGAGCUAUACUAGAUUCUCCAUUGACACAGAUUUUCUCUUUCAUGAUCUCUACUGGCAGUGUUGUCUUUAGGAGCUAAGCAUGCUGUAAUGGUGGACUAACAUGGGCAGUCUCUUUCAUUAAGGCUAAUGGCUCUGCUCUCCACGAAAUUUGCAGGUUAGCCCAGACUUGUACGGGGACAACAACACUAGGCUCUUCACCUACUGGACUGUAAGAUAAACAUCACAUUCCUUUCAAUCCUCAUGAGCAAUUUGUUUGUAGUUUAUCUUUGUCUUCUGCCUAGAUCUACAUCCCUAUCAAUUGAUUAAACAAAUUGGAGAAUGGCCUAAUGAUACUGAUUUUGUAUUGCUUUGGAUACUGCAGAGUGAUGCAUAUCAAGCAACAGGAUGCUACAACCUAUUGUGCUCGGGGUUCAUCCAGAUAAACAAUCAGAUCGCCAUGGGCGCCAGCAUCUCCCCCAUCUCCAACUAUGGUGGCUCCCAAUAUGACAUCAAUAUUUUGGUCUGGAAGGUAAAUUCCAAAAAGCCCUCACAUGCUGAGCAUACAAAAUCAAAUUUGCGGAUGGGCCCGGAGAGAAUCCGUGCCCACCUGUCUCUUGUUCUAUCUCAAGGGGCCUUCGGGCUUGAGUCAAGGCUACAACUGUGGCUCUGGCCCUGUAUGUGGACGCACUCGACAGAGUCACAGUUGUCCCCAUGCAUGAACUGGAUUUGUCUGCUAAUGCAACCACUGAUAAUGAUUGCUAUUUUUAACAAAUUUCCACAAGAAUAUUCACCUUGAGCUCACGUUUCUUCUGUAAGAAAAUCUUACCCUUUUCUGCCAGCAGAUAGUGCAAAUCCUGGCUCUUUCCUAAGCAUGAUGGCAUUGCCAUGUGCCAUUAUCUUAUUUUCCGUGCAUUUCUGAAAUUUGGCUGAAAAUAAAUAGUUUGCAGGUUGUUUUUAUCAAAGGGCGGCACCUUUCCCUAGUGCAUAUGAGGAACACAUAAUAAACUUUCUUCUGCGCAUGCAUGAUUGUAGCACUAAGGACCCUACUUCAAUAUUAUCUGAUCAUGGUCCUAUCUGCUGAUUUCGUCCGAAAAUUGCGGUUUUCUGCAGGACCCAAAGGAGGGAAAUUGGUGGUUGCAGUUCGGUAACAAUUACGUUCUGGGCUACUGGCCGUCCUUCCUCUUCUCCUACCUGGCUGACAGUGCCUCCAUGAUCGAGUGGGGAGGCGAGGUGGUGAACUCGGAGCCUGAUGGCAGCCACACCUCCACACAGAUGGGUAGCGGCCACUUCCCGGAGGAAGGGUUUGGCAAGGCCAGCUACUUCAGGAACAUACAGUUGGUGGACUCGUCCAACAACCUCAAGGCGCCGAGGGGCGUGGGCUCCUUCACCGAGCAGUCCAACUGCUACGACGUGCAGAACGGCAACAAUGGCGACUGGGGUGCCUACUUCUACUAUGGUGGCCCCGGGAAGAACUCUAACUGUCCAUAGUGAAGAUUGAGCUUGCUAUCAGAGCCCUAACACCCUCUGUAUCAUCCAGUAAAUUAGCUUAUAUACCUCAUUUUCUUAAUUUUUUUUCUUGUUCUUGGUUUGGGUUUUGUUUUACUUCUACCCCUAGUUUAUUAACUUCUAGGUGAGUGUGUGUGUGUGUUGACAUGUGAAUUUGUUCUCUGCCUCAGAGAUGUUGGUCGUCUGGUUCUAGGGAGGAGCGUGGUCAAGUUUCUGAAGAGAAACAGGCCUGUAUGGUUUGGUUGUGCCUUGUGUCUGUCAAAUAAUUUUGUUCCACCCCAUGCCUUUUCAACCUGUUGGCGAGUUGAAUUGAAUUGAUUAAUUGUUGGUGCCCGUGAGCCUGGCUAAUCCUUGUACCACCCAUGUGUGUUUUCUAUUCUGAAAAGUGGGUAAUCGAGCGCUUAGCUGUUGGAAGAUGUGCAAAGAUGCGAACUUUUUUGUGCGCCGAGUUAGGUGGCCACUCAAUCACCUGGAAAAGAGUAAUCUGGGUGAUUACUUACAAAUAUAUAAAUAGAUUUGCAGUAUGGUGCUAGACCCUGAGUCUUACCUUACAGCAGCAAUUUGAAGGUGCUGCCACUGUAGGCUGGUGGAGUUCACAUUGCAAGCAACAAUGCAGGCACCAUCGCUUCAACAAAAUGGUGAGUGCAUCUUGGUUGCUGCCGAUUGGUACAUGAGCAUGUGUGAGGUGCCUAACUUUUGACGUUUUGGUAGUGGUCUUGGGCUGGAUACGUACUGACCCAUGGUCUAGUGAGAUGUUCGCUAGUGCUUUGGUGGUGACUUCCAGUGAUCAACUCCUCAUGCAGAGGUCAACCAUAUUGUCUUCAGUGGAACAUUCCGAGUGGGUACUACAAUAAAAUAAAAUGUGCUUGGAAAGACAACUACUUGCACAACUGUCAUACACAAACGAGUCAUUGGUCAGAAUUAGUCAUGGCCAGUAUUUGGUCUACAAACAUUUCUCCAGCAAGAAUAUCUUGCAAGUUCAGGCUUUUCAAACACAGGUUAAGAAAAUAACUGAGAGUACAAAUGCUGUAUUAGUCUUUUCCCUGUCUUUUUUUACUACACUAGGAAUCCAUCAGCCUCAGCCCGUCAGUAGCAGUGGUCGGUUGGAACGUCGUCGGUACGUGCCCGGAGCUCACGGGCACGCACCAAACUCUCACGUCUCACCAAAGGGGCCUUGCCUUGGCUUGCCUUCACAUGGGAAACAGGAAGCCCUGCCUCCUUUUUGGUUGGAUUCGACGCGGAAAUAAUUACACCGGCAAAAUCCAGGACGUGCAUGCAUGUCUGAUGGCUGCAUGCCUGCAUGGCGCGCAUGGAAUCAUAUGGAUGGAUGCUGCCAUGGCUUUCACUGCGCUGCAGGCCUCUGUGCCUCCUCACUGAGUCACUGCAGGGGCCCUGCCUCUCCUCUCCCUUGUUGCUGACUGCUAGGUGCUAGCUCGGCGGCUAGGGCUUGGAGAUGGAGAGGAGGGUGCAUGGGUGGAUGUGGAUUGGAUCGUUGGAUGGGUGGCUUUGACAGCUUUCAUGGUCCGUGUUCUUGCCCGGCGGACAGAGGCCCGGUGGCUUUCAUCAGUUGCCGGCCUUGUUUGCGAGCCCUUUUCUUACAUCCACAUGUGUGAGAUUCUUCGAAAUGUGACUUUUCCUCCUCCAAGUAUCCCCACCUACCAACCUGUGCCUAUGCUCACCAAUACAGUUAGUUACUGUAUUUUACUGCACUUUGCUGGGGCGGUAUACAAGUCUAAAGAUUCAGUCCCAUUUGAAUGAUAGGUUCUUUUUUCUUCUAGGAAAUGGAGGUUUAAAUGAUUUCAAAGCAUUGCAUUUCUGACCUCUGAACUAUGUAGGAUGAUGAUCAUUAUCCCUAGCUGUGCGCGCCUAAUUGGUCAGGUAGGCUGUCCAGCUGCUUUUGCAGAAAAGGCCAUAAUAAGCUGAACAAAAUGCAGCACGUCGCAGAAGCGGAGUGUACUGUAUACGCUGGUCGCCCUGCGAUUACCAGCAAUGCAUGGUGCACUGUCUGCAGAGAGGCAGCGGACGGUGUAAAGUUCGCCGGCGCGUCUGCCGACUUGACACAGGUGUUUCUGAACGUCGUUGUACAUACUUUUCCUUGCCCUUUCCCCGUCCAGGCGCCCACAGCCUUUCAAUGGACUUGACACAGGCAUGGAGAUUUUGAGCACGAUCGAGGAGCUCGUGAAAUUACUACUGUACUGUACAACUUAAUUAUAAUCUGGAUGGACCAUCCUCAAGUGUCGAUGCCACACUAUGAAAAACAAAUGUUCUAAUUACGAAUUUAAAUGUAUGCUAUCCUCUCUUUUGGAGGGCUUCAGACAUUUUGAAAAAUAGGUCUAUAUCCUCUGUUCACAUUUCCAAGUUUGACAUUCAUAAAUUUCCAGUACAGCGUACCUUUCUUACAAAUAUUUGCAUUUUGAUUCCUCAACUCACAUUACUUGGAUGACUUUAUUUGUGUGAUUGCACCUGCAGGAGCGACUACUGAGGGGGAUCUGGAGUUGUCAGAUUGUUGAUGCCAUCAAAAUGCAAAUAUGUCUUUGGCAAAUAUGCAAAUCACCUGUCUAUGUCUUCCUGGCCAUCCGCCGCCGGCCGCCGCCGCCGCGGCGCUCCCGGCCGGAAGCGGAAGCUCAGUCAUCACCCUCUCAAACCCUAGCAUCAGCGCUCCGGCCCAUUCCUCUUUGGCACCCUCAGCAAAGACCGGAGGCGCUCGCUUCGCCGGCGGCAGCCGAGGACCCGAGACGAGCGAGCAGCCGCGGCUUGAGCUCGCGCGGAGGCCGGGAAUGUCCUUCGCGGGCCGCAGGUGCCCACUGCAUCUCCUCCCGCACGGCGGCAACCCAACCCACACGGCUCCGCGGCAGUCGUUGUCAGGAUCAGUGGAUCACCAAUGUCUGAAUGAGGAUGGCCAUUCAGUUUCGUCAGUAACCCUGCCAUUCAGUUUCGUCAAAACUAGCAUGAAGAGGAAACCUGUUCAAGUCGUUCAAUCAUGGCCCGUCCAUUGUCACUUCAAAUGGCUACCAUUCAGUGUUUUCUUAAGUUAAACUUGCUUAAUGUAAUGCAAUGUAACAGCCCAUCUAGGUAAAUUCCUAGAUUAUAGUAGCUGUGGCCUGUUCGCUUCAGCUUAUUCAGCUGUCUUAUCAGCCACCAAACAGUAUUUUCCUCUCCCAACAAAUCAGCCGUUUCAGCUUUUCAGCCGGCUUAUAAGCUGAAGCGAACGAAUCUCCCUGGCGACAUCUACAUCUGGAGUAGCUGUUGAUUUCGUGAACUAGUUCUCCGAUUCAGUGAUUGCAGCUGCUAUCCGUACCAAUUUCUACUCGUGUCCUUGCUUUUCCAGUUCUUGUUCUUGUGAUUUCGAUUCCCUUUUGCCUGUUCCUCACAGUCGUCCCUCUGCCUUCGUCUUCGUUGACUUCAGCUCUGCGUUUUGUCCAGAAUGACACAUGUUAUUGAAUUGUUGACGAACGCUGAAUACAGAGAUGUCAAUCCCAGUUCUAUUCAGUGCGACUCUCCACACUUGUUAUUGAAUGCAGCUGCAAAAGAAAAUCUGUUUCAUGUGGAGAUUUGUGGGUUUAUCCAUAGUCGUCAAUUGUAUAUCUCGAGAGUACACUCCCUGAUUCUGAAAUACACCUGUUUUUGGCAUAUGACAAGAGGAAUAGAAAUAAAAUUACAUACCAUUGCUAUCCUCUGAACUCUGAUGUUAUGAUGCUGAAUGUAGUGAUGCUUCGUGAUGUUUUCCUCCUGUUUGGAUUCCUCUCGACAUCCAAGAGAGACCAAAUGCCGUAGAAAACAGGAUUUGAAUGGUUGAACCACUAAUUUCAAAUACAAAAGCUGGAUAGUUCUACUGAAAUUCGGAACAUAAACGAUCAGCAACAGUUCACCUUCCCCUUUGUUGCCUCUUGUUAAGGCAAAGCCCAAAGCAGGUGAAGCGCCGAGAGAUCCAAAUCAUGCAGACAAUCGAAGGCGAUGGCGAUGGCCUGAACUUGGAGUUGACAGAGGAAGGGGUUGGCCUGAGAAGAAGAGGAACAGGCGCCAUCAGCGACCUACAGGCUCCGUGGAUCCUCACCGUCUCUGGCCACAGCCCGCGCCACCACCGGCGCCGCCGCUAGAUAUUAACUGCGAAAGGCAGGCCCGUGGCCUAGGGUAGGCGCUGUGGACCGGAGGAAGCUCCUGGGACCGUGCAAUCGGUGGAGGGGAGCGCGGGAUGCACGGCGGCUAGUCCAGCGGUGGUCGGCGGGCAGCAGCGCAGCGUCGCCGGAUGGCAUCGCCGCCGGCGCCGAAUGUUUUGCAGAAUAGUCCCUGGUAGUUGCAAAUACCCCCUAGUUUGGAUCGCGAUUAGCAGUCGCGAUCCGAUAAUUUGCAAAUUGGCCCAGAAUAUUUACAUAAAACCCCCUAUUGGAUCGCGAUGAAUAGUCGCGAUCCGAUUAUUUACAAAUUACCCCCCUAAUAUUUACAGGCCCCUGGUUUGCAAACAGCUCCCUGUCUUGGUAUGACUUCCUGCCCCGUCCACCGCCGGCCGCCGCCGUGCUCGCGGCCGGAAUUGGAAGCUCCGUCGUCACCCUCUCAAACCCUAGCACAAGCGCUCCGUUCCAUUCCUCUUUGGCUCCCUCACCAAAUAUCGGAGGCGCUCGCUUCGUCGGCGGCAGCCGAGGACCCGAGACGAGUGAGCACCGAGCAGCCGCGGCUUGAGCUCGCGCGCGGAGGCCAGGAAUGUCCGCCGCCGCCGUGGCCCGCAGUGCGCACUGCAUCAGACCCUGCACAGCGUCGACGGCUUCUCGAGCGUGAGUUUAAGCUUUCCAUUAGGGCAGCAGGCAGACGCGGCGUCGACCUCGAGCGCGCAGCUGACCAUGAGCUCGACGUUCUGCUUGGUCCCUUUGAGCGUCUCCUUGAUCUCGCCCCUGAUGAGCACGGGUGCCAGCGAAGACCUGAGCUGAGCAUUGCGUAUAGGAGCCGUCUGAGUUCAAGAUUUUAAACUUCGGAUUCUAAUUUCAGACUCCCAAGCAUUCUUUGGAAAACUUGCUAUGUUUGCCUUCAGUUUGCAGCCCUGUUUCCAAAAAUGGCAAAAUGAUCCUAACUACUACUGUAUUUCAAAUCAACAAUCAGCUAUACCAAAAAAAACAUUCACUAAAACUAAGAGGAACAUCAGACUUGUCACUAAAAUGUCACUAAAAACAUUUUUAGUUCGUUUUAACUUUUCUAUAAACAUAUUAUUAUACAUCUAAACAUACUUUUCUAUGUUCUAGACAUACACUAUACUAUCUAUGAACAUAGAAAAGUCAAAAUGACCUACAAUUUGAAACGGAGGAAGUAAUAACCAUUAUAAAAUCAGGUCCAUUGUAAGAAAUGAUUAUCGCAAUUCAAAAAAAAAAACUGCUAAUGAGCAUUGAAGUUUGCCAAAAAGCUACGACGACUCAAUCUUAAAGUCAUAUCAUAUCCAAAGAUUAGAAUCCGGAAGCUGGCAACCAUGAAAUUAAUCUACCUAUGGAGCACUGGCCUAUUUUUAAAUAUUGAGAAAAUUAUUAUUGGAGAUCUACUAUAGGAUGACAUGUUUUUGGAAGAAAAGUUUGGAAGAACUCCCAAUACAUAAUUUUGAAAAGAAUUUUUAGAAAAACUCUUGAAGUUGCUCUAAUAAAAUCUAUGAAUCUAAAAAAAUUAGAACGACCUAUAAUUUGGAACUAAAACUCCAAUUCUGUACGUCGGAUCGAUCAACUACUCCUCCUGGGCACAAGGAGCGGGCGUAGCGGCUUCUUCAUGACGGUGGUGAACUCGCGCUUCUCCUCGAACUCCACCUCGUGGCCGGGCGCCUCCUUCCACUCGAACUCCCUCACCAUGUUGGCGACGAAGUACUCGAGGUGCAGCAUGGCGAUGGACAGCCCGGCGCAGAUCCUCCUCCCCACGCCGAAAGGCAUCAUGCGGAUCCCCUUGGUCCCCGUCAUGUCCACUCCCGCGCCGUCGCCGCCCUCCAUGAACCGCUCCGGCGCGAACUCCAUCGGCCUCUCCCACUCACUCCCGUCCCGGCCCAUCUCCGCCACCAUGAAGUUCACCGUCGCGCCCUUGGGGAUCAGAUACCCGCCGACGUCCAUGUCCUCCGCGGCUUUGUGCGGCAGCACGAAGUGGCCCGGCGGGUGCUUGCGCAGGCCCUCGAGGAUCACAGCCUUGAGGUACGGCAUGUGCUGGACGGCCUCCUCAGAGACCUCCUCGGCGGCGCCGUCGCCGCAGGCGCCCAUGAUCUCGGCGUGGAGGCUCUCCUGGACGGCCGGGUUCUUGACCAGCUCGGCCAUGAUCCACUGCAGCCCGGUGGAGGUGGUGUCGGUGCCGGCGGUGAGGAACUCGGAGCAGAGCGUGACGAUCUCGUCGUCGGUGAGCGGACGGUGGCCCUCCUCGGGGAGCGUGAUGUCCAGCAGGGUGUCCACGUACGAGUGCCGGAACGUGGUCUCGCUCGUCGGCGCCUGACCUUCCUUGAGCUGCCGCUUGUACUCCCGCCUCGCGUUGAUCAGCGGCACGAAGAGCUCCAUCUGGCGCCGGCGCAGGGCGCGGGCGGUCUGGAGGCGCCCGUGGAACACGUGCUUGGUGAUGGACGGGAAGAAGAAGAAGACGUUCAUCUGCCGGGCGAUGUGGAGCAGCCACGCGCGCUCGGAUUCCUCGAUGGCGCGCACGGCGGCCUCGUCCAGCCGCUCGCCGAAGCACAUGAGCACGAGGAGGCAGAACAUGGUGUACCGGAACGCCUCCAUGACGUCGCCGGGCGCGCCGCCGUCGGCACCCCCCUGUCGAAGCUUGUCCAGGAGCACGCCGCGCACCCAGGCGCGCGCGGGCGCGAACAGCCUGACGCGCGACGGGUGCAGCGUCUCGGCGACGAGGUUGCGGCGGAGGAGGCGCCAGACGGGCCCGUAGUCGGCACUGGUGAUGAUGUUGUCGCUGACGCCCAGGAGCGUGCUGGUGGCGGCCUUGGGUCGGUUGGCGAUCGUGACGGCGCCGGCGCCGACGAGCGCGGCGUGCGCGAGGCGGCGGUCGGACACGAAGAUGGCGAGGCGGGAGCCCAUCCGGAGCGUCACCACGGGGCCGUACCGCUUGAAGAGCUCGAGCAGGAGGGGCUCCACGUCGGAGGUGGAGUUCCGCAGCCACAGCAGGUUGCCGAACAGCGGCACGGCGGGCGGGCCCGGCGGGAGGCGGCGGUUCCUGGCGUGGCGGCGCAGGGCGAGGAAAGAGAGCAGGAGGGCGCCGGCGAGGACGAGCCAGCUGGUCUCCAUGGCGAUUGGCGAGGUGUUUUUUUUGCAACGAAACUUGUAAUUGGGAUGUUGAUGUCGUGAGCUGAUGAGACGAACGGGAUUCCAAUUUAUAGCCGGGGUUUUGUACGUGGAAUCCUGCGUUCGUACGACAUGGCAGGAUAAGAGUUUGGACUCGGUUUUCUUCUCGAAGACAAAGGACUCGAAGAAGAGAGACGAUCCUGUUCGUGUUGCACGUGCGCGCUCGUAGUCGAUACGCCUGCCCUGUUGAUUUGGGAUUCAUAUACGUCGCGUUUGCAACAACUCUGGUAAAGAAUCCAUCAUCCAAGGCGUUUUCUUCUCCAAGACAAAGGGACUCGUACGAGAGACGAGCUGUUUGCGUUGUUACCCACGUGCACGCUCUCGUAGUUGAUACCGAAUUGGUCCCCCGUAUAGGUGAGAGUGAUGCGAAAAAUUUCGUAUUCAAUCCAAUCCGAAUACAAAUUUUACAGAUAUGGGAAAAUAUUUGUACGGAUGUAGAUAAUCUGAAUUCGAUUAGGUGCAGUGCGGAUUAUCCGAGAUUUGUAGGAUAUCCGACUACUCUGGCAAAUUAACAUGAUGUAAAGAGAGUCCAGUCUACAAACUAAGACAUACACACAGUUUUGUAGCGGUAAGACAUGAGACACAGGUGCAUUGGUAAAUUCUAACGUUUAGCGGCUAAUCAACAGUCCCCUAAAUCUGUAAUGUUUUUUGUUCGAUAUCAAGUGUGAACUGUUAGCAUCAACUGUUAAGGUCAUUUUAGAUGUAAUUUUCGAAACUUGCCGUGAUUCGUGAACGGUAGAUGUCAGUAUUUUCCGUGUUAUGUUGCUACUUUAUGGUCACCAUAAAAAUUACGCAUAAAUUAAGCUCAUGUCCGCUGUAACAUCGAUCCAUCAUAAAUUAUUAAAGUAUGCCGUUCGCGAGAUUCUUCUUUUUUCUCAAAAAAACCCCUUCCCAAACUGUACCUUUUCCGGGUAGUCGAUGGCUAUUCACGUACGAUUUCUGACGUCAUGAAAAAUCGGCAACCACUCCUCUCCCAUUUGAUAAAAAAAUUUGAAUAAGCAUGAUCAGCUUUCGUCCCUAGACCCUAGUCCCCUACCUUAGUGGAUGGGAUGCGGAGCAGUGAAUGCUGAUCGUACGUCCUUGGCAGCGGUGGAGCUGCGCGUGCGCGCCGUGUCGCAGUCGCCAAAAAAAUCUUGUACGCGCCAGCAUCGGCCCCACAUCUAACACGCGCCGAGUGGCAGUCUGACCACUGCGCCACACACUAGCGGUCAUGGGGCAGGUCCGGCCAGUACUUGCGUUCCCCUGUCCCGCAGCGUGUUCCCACUCCACUCGCCCCGGCUAGUGCUCCGCGUGGACGCACGCCAUUGCGCAUUUGGGCCACCGUUCCUCUGCCUCCCGCUCAACCAGCCCGCGCACAACGGGAAAUCCUAUCCAUCUUUUACCUUUCCAAUGUUUCAGAUUCGUGCGACGAAUGAGGACCGUCAGAUCUGCAUCAGAUCCAAACCCUAGCCUCACUCCCAUGCCUUGCGCUGCUGCCGCCCACGUGGGGCCCACCGUCGCCCCAACCCCGCCGCUGCCCCGACCGGCCCUACCGCGCCGCCAUGGCCGGCCGGCGCACCUCCCUGCACCGCCGCAGCUCUGAUGUGGUGGGCUUGCCAGCCGCUGGAGCCAGAGAAGAGGGCUGGAAAAAUGUUGGAUCAAUUUUUCCUUGAAAAAUGUUGGUGUAACCUUUUUCGAAAAAUGUUGGAUUCAACUUUUUCAAAGAAAUGUUUGGCUCGAAUUUUUUUGAAUAAAUGUUGGUUCAACUUUUUUAAAAAAUGUUGAUCCAACUUAUAUUAAAAAUGUUGACAACAUUUUUUAUCCAAUAUUUUUUUCAGUUAGAUAAUCUUUUUGAUAGGUUGUGCUGUGCUAUAAUGAGCCGGGAUGGGUUGGAAGUUUCAACCCCUAUCUAUCUUCCGCUGAGCCCCCGCGCACAACUGCUUGUCCAGUUGUCCCGUAGCUCUUCAACGACAUGCAGGCGCCGUUGCUCAGGCCGCCCAAGCCAUUUGAAAACAUGAAUCCCGCGCUAUAAAACGGCACCCUGUCCCAUCCCAUCCGUCUCGUCUCCUCAGUCCUCACGACCGCACCAUGGGGACCAGUUGGCUCCUCCUCGCCAGCGCCGCCGCCGCCCUGUUCGCCGCCCUCGUCCUGCUCUAGAACGCCAAGAACCGCCGCCGCCACCGCCUCCCCCUACCACCGGGUCCCUCGGCAGUGCAGCUGUUUGGCAACCUGCUGUGGCUGCGCCUUCAGAGCUCCAGGGCCGACUUGGAGGAGCUGGAGCCCCUCCUCCUGCGGCUCUUCUUGAGGUACAGCCCCAUCAUCACGAUGCGGAUCGGCUUGCCGCCGCCCUUCAUCUUCGUGGCCGACCGGCACCUCGCGCACGCCGCGCUCGUGGGCGCCGGCGGCGUCACCCUCGCCAACAGGCCGCCGGGCGCACCGAACGUGCUCCUCGGCGUGAGCGAUAGCAUCAUCACCCGCACCGAUUACGGGCCCGUCUGGAGCCUCCUGCGGCGCAACCUCGUCGGCGAGGCGCUCCACCCGUCGCGCGUCAGGCGGUUCGCUCCGGCGCGCUCCUGGGUGCGCCGCGUCCUCAUGGAGAAGCUGCGGGAGGCGGGUGACGCGCCCGACAACGUCAUGGACGCGUUCCAGUACACGGUGUUCUGCCUCCUCGUGAUCAUGUGCUUCGGCGAGAGGCUCGACGAGCCGGCGGUGCGCGCCAUGGAGGACGCCGAGCGCGCCUGGCUCGCGUACAUAUCCAGCCCCAGUCAGAUGGGCGUCUUCUUCUUCCUCCCGUCCGUCACCAAGCACGUCUUCCGCGGGCGCCGCGAGACCGGACGCGCCCUGCGGCGGCGCCAGAAGGAGCUCUUCAUGCUCAUGCCGCUGAUCAACGCGCGGCGGGAGUACAAGAGGCAGCUCAUGCAGGAAGGCAAGGCGGCGCCGGCGAACGAGACCACGUUCCGGCACUCGUACGUCGACACCCUGCUCGACAUCAGGCUGCCUGUCCUGAGGAGCGCAACCGCCCGCUCACCGACGACGAGAUCGUCGCGCUCUGCUCCGAGUUCCUCAACGCCGGGACCCGCACCACCUCGACGGCUCUGCAGUGGAUCAUGGCCGAGCUGGUCAAGAACCCGGCGGUCCAGGAGAGGCUCCACGCCGAGAUCGAGGCCGCGUGCGGGGACGGCGAGGUCUCGGAGGGGGCCGUCCAAGGGAUGUCAUACCUCGAGGCGGUCAUCCUUGAAGGCCUGCGCAAGCACCCGCCGGGCCAUUUCGUGCUGCCGCACAAGGCCGCAGAGGACGUGGAGCUCGGUGGGUACCUGAUCCCCAAGGGCGCGACGGUGAACUUCAUGGUGGCGGAGAUGGGCAGUGACGGGAGGGAGUUGGAGAAACCGAUGGAGUUCGUGCCGGAGCGGUUCUUGGAGGGCGGUGACGGCGUGGGCGUGGACAUUGCCGGCACCAAGAGGAUCAGGAUGAUGCCUUUCGGCGCCGGCCGCAGGAUCUGCGCCGGGCUCACCGUCGCCAUGCUGCACCUUGAGUACUUCGUGGCCAGCAUGGUGAGGGAGUUCGAGUGGAAGGAGGCGCCGGGCGACGCGGUGGACUUCGAGAAGUUCCAGUUCACCACCGUCAUGAAGAAGCCGCUGCGCCCACGUCUUGUGGCUACGAAGAGAUGAAUAGUGGACUUUGGAGAUUGCCAGCCAGUUUGGCAUUCUCCUGAUUUCAUACUCGUUUCUACUCUUUUUUGGUACUUUGGAGAUCCACUCAUUUUUCCUUCUAAGUAGUUAAUUUUUCUUAUUUUCUGAUUACUAGGUCGAUGUUGAAUGCAAUUCCAUGUCAACGUUUUCUUUAUUAAAAAAAUACUGGCACAAGACGAUGCAAUUCCACUCAAUACAGAAAAGAGUUGAGACAAAUGCCAUAGCAACACUGAACUUAUGGGCGCUGAUGGUACCUUGUAGUCAUUUUAGUUCUUUUGUUUAUAUCAAUAUUUUGCCUGCCAGGCAUUGUUGCGUUGGGCCUGUGAUAGUGUGAAUUUCUUAUGAUAAAUCUGAGAGGUGGAACGAUAAACAAUUGUGCAUGCCUUUGCUGAGGUUUUGACUAAGACAUUUGCUAAUCAAAGAGAGAAUAACCUGGGAUCUUGAUUUGAUUGUUUUAAACCCCCCACGAGAGAGGGAGAUCGCGACACGAGCAGGGCUGGGUGAAUCAUGAAUCCGGUGGCUAAGCAAUAUUCUGAAUUUUAAUCCCGGAAGAAGUCAAUUUGCUAGCAGUGCCAGAGAAGGCGAAUUUGGGGAAGGAAGCAAUAUUCUGACGUUUUUAUGAUCCGAAAGAGACAGAGAGCCCCUGCUGCAGAUGCCAUUGCUCAGGCCACUCAAGGGGCAAGGGGCUGAAAAUAGUGUGCCUCGCAUUCGUUACAGCCUUACAUGUCACUUUUUUUUUUUUUGAAAUAAUCAGCCUUACAGGUCACAUAGAAGAAAAGCAGACUGCCAUCACGCACAAUAAAAAGUACUGAAGCCGCACCUGCACAUGUGUAGCUUGGCGUCAAUUCAGUACUUCAACGCCACGCCGAUGGUUGGUUACGCUAUCAAAGAUAAUUCCAUCAGAAGUUGAUAGCAGAACAUUGCCGAUCAAGAAUGAGUCCCGUCUCUUUUGUGCAACAGCCUUGCAUCGCUACUCAAAUCAUUCCACGAUGCAUGAUAGUUGGCGCCAAUUGCCGGUUCCUCCACAGAUGAACAAAAUGCUAUUUCUGUUGCACAGGAGGAGAUUCUCUAUUUCUGCUGCUGAGGUUUCCCGACGGAGUGCAGAUACACAGAGACAGAAACCACCCUGAAAAUUAGGCCAAAGUUUAUUAUACUAUGAUGUGAUACUAGGGUCCAAUCAAGAGACGUUGCUGACAUUAAUCAGCACUUACGUCGAUCCGAGGAAGAACGCAAGGGAUAGAUGGAAGCUGAAUAAGAAGACGGAUACGAUUGCUGUAAGAAGCAUUGCAACUGAAGUAGAAUACACCUGUGAGUGUGCAAACGACAAUGGUAAUAAAUGAAUGUGAGUGUGCAAACGACAAUGGCAAACUUUAGUUGCACUCAGGUACUGACAGCUGUUGAACUUUAGAACAACAUUGUUUUCAGCACAUGUAAUCGAAAAAAUAAAUUGUAUAUACCUUGACAAUAUUGUCAGCAUACUUCAUCACCAUUGAUACAGCAAUCCCACUGCAAAGCAAACAGAAACACAAAUCAAAGAUUUUAUUAGAAAAUGGAAGCGUGAAGGGGAGCCCAAAAGGACAACAUUGAAAAAAAAAUAUGAUCCAGCUGUCAGUACCUUAGUGCAUGGUUAAGAAUCAUCGAAACUGUAAUAAAUGAAUAGCCAUGAAAAAAGCCUCUGCAUCAGAUGGUACAUUUGAAGUGAAUGGUCAAUAUCACGAACUGUAAGAGAUAUAUGACAUGGAAUGAACAAAUCAUCAGUACAUACUUAUUUAUGACAGCACCAAAGUCCUGAACACAAAUUGCAACUAAGUUGAAGACCAUCCCAAAAAUGUAUAGCCAAAAAUUCUGCACAUUGAUAUUUCUUGAAGGACGUUUCUUAAUGAUAGACUGUAUUGUUCAAAAGAUCACAAAUGUUACACUCUUGAAGAAAUUCUUUGUGACAGUUCGCAUUAAAUGUAUCGUCUAAAAAUCAGAUACACAUGUACAGUCAACUUACUUCUGUAUAUACACCAGCAAAACCACUUAAAAGAGACAUCACCUGCACAAAAAAGAAUAAUAACAUUCAGCAGGUUGAGCUGAAUACUUCAUGUACUACAUCUAAGUGAAAAGAUUGAUUCUUUUCUCUGCUAUGACUCACAAUUGCCAUCAUCCAACCUUGGAUAGGGGUCUGAAGAACAUGAUCUGAGCUGGAAAAGGACAAGUUAUAAUACUAUCAGUUGAUUACUUCAUUGUGAUGUUUGGACAAAUCAGAAAAGAGUGACUUAAUAAAGCAAGAAACAAUAAAUCAUAUUUUGCUUACGAGGGAUUAAGCUGAGCAGUAGUGCAACCAGCACAUAAAAGAAUAAAUGCAGCCCACUGAAUUUCACUCAACCUGCAUUAGUUUUGACAUGCUAGAUUAAGAAUGGAAAACAGAUGUUGGUGAGGAAAAGGCUUAAAAAGUUCAGAGACAAGGAAGAGAAGUUGUGUUCUGAUGGUCAACUAGGAGCCUAGCAAGGUAACAGAACAUCCGGUAGGCAGUAGGCCAAAGUCAUAUAUUGUAAAAACUCAAUAUGCGACCAUACAAGCUAAACACAGACAGAGUAUCCAUGUUUUAUUAUUUGACUAUGUCUCCAUAGGGAGUUUGGUUCAAGAGACACCAUGUACUAUUUUGGUUUGGUGAUUGCAUUCCGCAUUCUUGUACUAGUUUUGGCUUAUGCAAGAUAAGGUGGCUGUCAAGUGGAUCAGGUUUGGAGUUUCAGCGUUAUGAUGGAUGAUCCAUUGAUCAGUUGGCUCCUUAAAUAAAAAACUUCACUGGAUGAUAGGUUCAUGCCUUAGGAUGGAUAAUUGUCGUGAUUGUGUAAUAGCUCAAUUCUAUGUUCACAAAACUAUAAUGCAGCUACACAAGCUUAGCAUCCAACAACAAACGAAAAAGGAAAAGGCUAGCCCAAUGAUAGUGAUACGAGAAAACUUAAACAAAGAACGCAUUCAUUCAAAGAUUCCGAGUUCCAAUAGUUACAUUGAUUGAAAAAAUUCCAAUGGUAAAAACAAUAAUUCCAGCUUGUUAGGAGAUAAAGUAGUUACCAUGAGCAAGAAAUAAAUAGACUUACUUUUUCUUAAGAAUGAUACGGUACAAGACACCGGUGCUAAUAAUAUUCAGGUUUUUCAGGAUCUGGUAAGCUGGUGCAUCCACAUAUGCAAAGAUAUAAUACUGACAGCCACAGGAAGGAGUAAGAGCAUGGUCAAGUUUGUUUUGUGUUUAUUAUUGUUUUCUUCAACAUGAAGGAAACAGCAACCACAUUAUAUUAUCAACAAAGGACUAGGCAUACCUGCAAUAAGUUCUUCACCAUGUAAAGUAUAGCAGGAAUGGGGUAAACACUAACUUCAUCAAAUGAUGUAGUUAACCUGAAAAUAAUAAACCAGAUGUCUAAAGAGUAGGAAGGAGACUACAAGCACUUAUAAACAAUCACACCAAAAAUAAUAGUAAAAUCAUCACCUAUUAUCUUCGGUAACGCCUUGACUGUUCCAUGUCCUGUACAAGGCUACCAAUGAUAAUAGACAUUUUAAAAAUUCCACCUACGCACAAGGAAAGAAAGACAUAACCAAACCAUGUUAUCAAGAGAACAAACGUGAAAACUUCUGACGAUAUCUGUCACAGAGAGAGAAUCUAUGUUAUUUUGCUCACUGAAAAAUUUGCUGUUGUCACACUAUAUUCAUACUUUCCAGCUCUUUUGGACCAUACAAUCAAUAUUGCCUGGGAACUUGUUAGUAAUGUCAGUGCAAGCGUAACAAUAGACCUGCCAGAACACAUUGCCAGUAAAUCGAUUGAUCCCAGAAAAAAGUAUCAGAUAUAGUGCAAAGAUUGCAAGAAGCUCUUACUUGAGCUUCCAAGUAUUCUUGCCCUUUGGUCCUCCUGUAGCGCUAAGACUUGAAGUUACUGCAGCUGUAAAUGCUCCAGACAUUAAAUAUGCAAACUAUCCAAAUAUAGAACAUUAAAGAAAUCCAUGAUGAAUCAAGAGCUUACUAUUAGACAGAGACCUCAGAUCAAGGCUUUCUACAUCCUUCUGAGAUAUGUCAUCACUCUCCUUUUAGAUGGUACAGAAAACAACAGCUUGUCAGCGCACUGUCUGGUGAUGAAGCAUAUGAUCAUUGUGUUGCUAAUUUUAAACAAAUACAGGAAGCAAGUUAAAUUGAUUAUGUGUGAUCAAUGUCAACUACCAACAUGAUAACAACUAUAGGACAAAAUUUUGAACACUUGAACUAGAUGUUUAAACCAUGCUGGACUGUCCCAGUUCGACUGCUAAUACGUGAUAAUAGUCACACAAAUAGUUUCCCGAAUGAAAUUCACCAAACAAAGAAUGAGAUGCAGGUGGCACAAAAGAUACAGGUGCACAAAUGGCUAGGAAUGCUUCACUAGCCAGCUAUUAGCCAAAUUUGUUGUGAGCAAAAUAAGUUGGUCGAACAAUCAUUCACUGGCCCUUGUUAAUGCAACAUAUCAUCUGCCAGAAUCAACAGUACAGAAAUGGAAACCAAUGUAACAGAUGAGAAACAUGAUGUUGAAUCUUGGAACCAAACAGAAUGAGCAACAAUAUAUUCAUAGACGUAUGUGACAUAUUCUAAAUGUGUAGUUGUGUUUUGCUGAAUUUCUAAGCAAUCAACAGAUUGCCACAGUAAGGAAUUCUUUUUAAAUCCUUGCCAUUCGUGAACACAAGAGCGCACGCCAAUCUCCAAAAGAAAAUUCAAAGCCAGUUUCAAAGGAGCUGAUGCUACCAAUUGAUUAAAAAAUUGUUAACCUAGUUGCGUUUGAACCUAUGAGGUUGUGUGACUAACAUAUAAAGCUCUGCAAGCAGCUAAAACCGGAACACAUAAUACUCUAAAAAAUAAGAUGAUAAAAUUCGUUUCAAAUAACAAAGACAAACCCUUUUAAUCGCGCAAUACAUUUUGCUGUCAAAUUCACCGAAAAUUUUAACUGCGAGUUCAGACAUAACCAAAAUCAAAAAAGUUUAACGGGUAAGAGAAAUUCCACAUUCCACCGACAUUGAUGGCUUGAGGCCCUAAAUCUACGGAAGAUUUUUAAACCCUGCGGAGAGAGGCAUUUGUGUAGACAACAUUUUUAUUAUUAUUAGGAUUGCGGUUGCGGCGCUAUAUGUUUACCUGGUCCUUGGCUCUCCUGUACUCCAUCUCUCCCCCACGAGCAGCGACCUCCGGCUCCUCGCCUCGCCGCCGCCGCUGGCCGCUGCUGCGGAAGCUUUCACAGUGAGGAAGGAAUGGAUGCGGCCUUGCAGUCAGAGGCAAGGUUGGGUGACGGAGUCUGACCGGUGGGUCCUCCUGUGACGAGAACACGAGAAGAAACGCGGCAUGUUGUUUUCCGGGUCCUUUUUGCAUCAGCUUUUAUACCCUUACCAUGAUUAUCUUGCUGCGAGUCUGCGACGAGACAAAAGUCUAGCAGCAAAGAUUUUUAGCUUAAAUUUUGCUAAAGAUAUGGACAGUGACCGUUGCUACUAGUAUACAAAGCACAACUGCACAAGCGACAUGGAGAAUUGGCAGAACACAUGAUCGAAUCACAAGAACAGUAGUUCAUAACGUAGUUAAUAGGACCUUGUAUAUCGUUAAGCCACUCGAGUUGGCCGGCGGUUAAGCCUUCUACAUCAAUAGCAUUCCAGUAAGACAGUUGUUUGUUUGCUGAACAGGCAGUUCGAAAGAGUUGCAUACAAUGAUACAAGCUGCUUUCCGUUGGUUUAUCUGGGAGUGCUUCGCGUGUUGUUGUUUGCUACAUACAGCAAAGCAAUGCACAUUUUUUGUAGCUCCAUCUUCAACUGAUAGAACGGCUGAAUGUAAGCCUGAGCUCUUUGAUCUAGCUAUCUUUCAUUUACAUUCGUGAGAUCCAUCACCUUCCAGAACUAGACAUCAAUCGGCAUGUGAGGAUGCGGCUUUUGCAGCUUGGAGCAUUUCCACAAUUAGUGUCUUGACAUCCCUAAACAAAGAAUAACAAGCCAUUUGAGAGAACCACUCGAGGAAAUAUUCACAAAUGACCACAUCUUAGCCAUCAAUUUUAAAUAAUGUUCAAACUGAAGCAAAAGAUGGCUAUAAAGAAAGCAUCAGAAAGUCACCACUUAACAGGAAAAGAGUAACAAUUUUUCAGGUUAGAAAAGGCUAAGAGAGUCAAGAGUGCAGACUCACUUCCUGUCUUGCGCCUGCCUAGGGAAGGGAAUACGCAACUUCAGAACACUUCCAUCAUAACCGGCCUGGAUAACAGAAAAUCACAUAUUAGAACGUUAUAAAAGGGUUAGGUUUUUCACUACAAGAGAGCAGAGCUCAAUAAAAACGCAAUAGGUCCAGCCAAAUAAGUCUAAAGGUUGCAAUCGAACAUAUUGGUAUUCUGUUAUGAUGCUGUAAUGCUGGACUUAUGGUUACUGAUUCAAACUGAGUAGGUAGCAUUUAAUCUCCAGGUUUUAUUCUUUUGUCAACAUAUGGCAUUAUUAACAAUGCAUCAAGCAGUAUCUGAGUAUAGCAUUGGGUGCGUUGAGAGCAUUUCCAGGAUAAAUUAGAAAAGUAUAAGAACAAGACAGGCUUUAAAGAGUUACCUUCACAUUGAACCCAAGGCUAUCCACAUCCAGCAUAAAAGCAAAAUCCACCUGAAAUAGCUUUGCAUUUGUCAUCUUUCAAGUUCGAAUAUGUUUGAAAAAAAGAGUAGUAUUUGGUCAAAACUGUAAUUACGCAAAAUUGAGAAAUUUUAAGAUGGAGUUGUACAAAGCAUUGAAGAUGAAAUAAUUCCUACUGUAUGACUAUCCCCUGCUCAUGGGUGGUCAAGAGUUCAUGACUGUAUGGUUUGGUAAUACUGAAAAACUACAAUAUGUACAAAUGGUACACAGCUACAGCAAUUAACCCAGUUCUUCAUGUUGCAGAUUCUAAUUUCCAGCAUACAGUAGAAUAAUAUUUCUGGUUGCUAAAUAUGCAGACACAUAACAGCUACACUAUGAAACAGAUUGUUACUUUCUUUUGUAAACUAGUUUGCAAAUUUUCAAUUUGAGGUCUGGAUAAUGUUUGCGCCUUUUAACCUGUGUGUUGGACAAGAAAAUUGCAAUUGUAGGCUUGGAGCAGAGUGCAAUAUUCAUUUUUUUUUCCAAAACAACAAGCACCACAAUGCAUCAAGAUUUUACAAAAAAAAAAUACUGAGUUAUUUAGUUACAGAAAACAAUAUAGAAAACAGACAGCUUCAUCAGGUAAGGAAUACUGAGGCGCAGUUUUCUUUUAAGAUGAUAAGAUUUUGCAGUGAUAUUAUUAAAGUAAAGGCUUUGUUGUUGUAUUAUUAUUGGAAUAAAUUCUUUAUUAUUGUAUUAUUACUGGAACAAAUGCUACAUAAGUAUACAUCAUGUACUUGCCUUAACAUUGGUUGAGUGUUGCACAAUGAGCUUUGUAUCAUCAGCAUGAUCCUUAUUCAUGUGGCUCUGCAGUGUAUAUACACAGGUAUCAGGUAACCAAAUGUUUACAUAUUUAGGUAAAGUCCAAUAAAUAUAUAAUGGGAAAGACCAUAAGGGUAAAGGAAAACAGAACCCAGACAUACUGUAAUAGGAGUCGAGAAUUGAGAUAUUGGGUCAACUUUUGCUUCCCUGUACUCAGCAGCACUGAAUUCUGUGGAAGUAAACAGUAGGUUAGCAUAUCAGGCAACAAUAUCAAAAUAUUUUUUUACAUAUUUACAAAAAUAACUUGGAUCCAAAUCCGUGUCCGAUAUGUAGGUGCUAUUUAUGUAGAGAUGCUAAGACAUGGUUAUUUGAAAUAUAAAUGAAUGCUGUAGUUCUGGUUCAUGGACUACAAGGUUUUUUUAAGUGACUAGAUUUCCUCUAGGUCAUUCUAAAGGCCACAUACCUCCAGAGCCAAGGAGAGCAGUUGCAACACCAGAUACAUAGCGCACAGCUUUCGGUUUAAUGCGCAGGAAACUGAAGUCACCAAAAUCAACCUUAAUUUGGCCAAAAAAAUAUAUAUCAUAAAUCAGUACUCCAUUAAAGUAGGUUUGGUCUUUGGAAGUUGGAAUGGUAACAAAAUUAAGAAAGCAUACCCAAAAGGCAUUAGGAUGUCUUCGUAGGUAAGCACUUCUCACUGAAUCUUUUUGUUCAUCAGAAACCUUCAAAUAAGAAUAAGUCAGUAAACAAGAUUAUUAUCAGGUGACAUGCACAUUAUGAUUUUUGUCCUCUUUUCAGUGGCUCUCUUUGCGUUUCAUCUGUAGCCUACCCUAACUUACUUAAGGUUAAGAGGCUUUAUUGUUGUUUGCACAUUAUGAUUUAGCAAUAUAUCUGUAGAGAAAUGUAACAGGGAAAAGGCAUGAUAUAGAGAGUGGGCAAGCGCAGGAGGGAGGGAUUACAGGGACAGCAUCACCAUAUACAGUGAUUACAGUAUCUGUUCUGUCCUCAGGGUCUUUGGCAACAAGAAGUGAGCAUUUAGGAUUUCCGGAGAGAUUCUGCAAAAUUGGUAGCAAAACAUAAGGGAUGCUGAUAAAAGAAAUAUGCUCUACAAAUGUUGCCUGAAUUUGGUGAAUGUACACUAGAUAGUUAUUCAAUUCGAAUAAAAAUUCCGGCAGUGUUAUAUUUGCACAUCUACGCCUAUUUCUUUGCAUGCCAGCACGUGUGCCAGUAUGCUAUCAUUAUGUAUGUUCCAGUGAUGCUACCAAAUGUCAUAAUGGACACGAAAAGGUAAGACAACUGACUUUACAUGCAUACAUAAUCAUGGAAGCAUAAAACUAUCUUACCUUUGAAUGAACUGCUAAACUACUCACUGCUAAUAUGGGGGAACCAUCCUGAUCACAUGCAAAAUCAACCAUUGAACCAGAAGGAUAACCAUCAUGCUCCUGUAAGCAUAAGAAUAUAUUAUACAAUGCUCGAACAAGCGCCAGUAUGAUUCUGCAAGAUACAUGUAUUGGAGUUCUGGAAUUCCUGUUUGUUUAAUCAAAAAACAUUGCAAUAUGUCUUCACUCCCUUUUCUAGAUUAAUAUUCUUCUCUCCUUACCAAGCAGAAAAAAAACGUAUACUUGGAGGAAGAAUCUGUGCAACCAUGACAUGGUACAAAAUUACAAAUCAUGCUCCAGCGAGUUUAUGAGAAAUACCAAUAAGAGCACCGGGCCCGGUGAAAAAUGGACUUCGUCAAGCAUUUCAAACAACAAAAUAACUUUUGGUAGGCAAGAUUGUUCUUCAUGAACUGUGGGGUUAGUCUCUUCACAUUAUCCUCACUGACUACUACAAAACUUAUAGAAGUAGAUGAAGGAAAAGACUGACAAGAUGUUUGUCCACUUGGAUACCUGAGAAUGGGUGGCAAGAACGCCUCUGACACUUUGAUCGAGAAUUGUCCGUAUUUCCUCAACUGGAGGAAGCCGAGCAGCUUUUGCCUAUAAUUAUGAAAAUCUUGAGUGAAUAAGCAAAAUCUAGAGAAAUAACUCAGAAGAGUUCAGCUACAAGCUCAAACUACUCCAAACUUAUUAAAUAUUCAAACCAGGCCCAACUGUUGCAAAUAUACUCAUUCCACAGGUUAAUGAAAUGCAUUGUAGGAAUUGACAAUGUUCGGUUGAGAAUACGGAAAAUGUUUGACUACAAGUGAUAGUGAAACCUUACAACACUGGGACAUGUAAUUCUGGUUUUUGUAAAGAAAGUCUUUACGCAUCAUUGGCAUCGAAGUCUUUCUCCCUCAUGAUGCUACUUGUUGAAAUGAAAAUCACCAUAGUGAACAAUCCAAGCCUAUUUCAACAACAUAAAUAACAAGGCCUUUUUGGUGAAAAUGUAUUUGACCCCACAUACAGUUCAUCCAGUUCUUUUGUCCCAAAAUUAUGCAGUGACUGUGGUCCUGCACAACACAACAGACCCAAAACAUUCACUUCACUCAAGUCGCGUAGUUACUCCGUCCCUACUAGGUAAUCACACACGCAAUCCCAAGACAACGUGCAAGGCCCAUGGCCGCACCUGGUGAGCGCGGAUCACCUCAAACGCAUCAGCCGAUCCGCCGGGGGCAUCGGCUGGCGCCGCCAUCUGCAACACAGACCAGCAAACAUCAGACCGCUAUCAGCCAAAUCCAAAGCCGCAGCGGAGGCGUUUCAUCGAACACUUGGCCCGCCCGAAAACGGGUUACAUAAAAGGAGGAGCGGCACGCGGCGCCAGGCGGAGGGGCGAGUCGGACCUGGGAGGACGCGAAGAAUCGGCCGCGGCGGUUGCGGAGGCGAGGGUAGACGAGAGGCGAGGGGGUGGAGGAGGCGUGGACGUGGUGACGGUGGUGGUGGUUGUGCCGGCCAUUAAUUUGUAGGUGGAGCGGGAGGAGUAGGCGCGAGAGCGUUGACGGCGAGGGGCAGGGCGCCGAGGCGAUGCGGGCGGCGCCCGGCGUGAGCAGGAAGGGCAUCAUCGCGUGCACGCGUGCGCAACUGAGCGGGGUCCGGUGUGCGCGUGUAGACUGAGAACACAGCGGAGAGCCUCGCGCUGGCAGCUUGGUGGUCGCUCGGCACAGGCAGCCGCAAGCCCGCAACCGCAACCUCGCUCGAGCCACUCUCCUCUCCUCUCCCAGUCUCCACGGUAGCGAUUGGCGUGGGCCGCAGCCAGAUGGAAAGAUCACUCUCGGCUUUGUUUGUUUGCUGGGCUGCCCCAGAAAGCUUAAAUGUUGGCACAGUCAUCGUGGUCCGGCCCAUGAGAGGUGACCUAAAGGACUUGGGGCCUCGCCUGAUUAUUUCGAUGUUCGGCCUCAGCCCAAGAGCAUGAUGGGUCAAAUGAUGAUUUAAGGCCUCAGCUCGUGACACACGCACACACACACAUCAUUAAGGUUUGGGCCUUCAAAGUGCAAGCCGAGUCGUCGUUGCAAGGAGAGCGAAUCCACCAAUGCUCGGAUUCAGAUGUCUCUUCCACUAUGAAUGCCACGAUUUAAGGGAUGCUACUCUUUCUUGGUCAAAAUACCACGACUAUUACUGGUGACGGACGACACCCUCUAAUUGCCACUCAACGACUCUGGUCCUAUUCGGAUCCACCGAAGAUCCAGCUAACUGCAGCUGAAGACCUUUAACCAGUUGAACCUAGCUAAAUAAAAAAAACCAAACUGCUCCUCAUUUAUUCACUCCACCCGCCGGCCAGUCCCUUGCCGGGCUGCCCCUUUCCCCACUUCCUCAUCCUCCGCUCGUCGAGGACACCCACGCCCCCUCCCCAUGCCGUCGCCUCUGAAUUGUGGCCUCCUUCCCACUCCCCUCCGAUACGCCACCACCGAGCCGCAGGCGGAGCCCUGCUCUUCCUCCGUUGCCCUUCGGCAUGCCAUCCCCCGCCUGUUCAUGGCAAGUGUCGGUGUUUAAACUCGGCAACCUACCGAGGGGGUGCCUGAAGUAGCGUUUUGGUUAGUGGGGCUCGUCGAGAUCAGGAACUCAAAGGUAAACGCAGACAUACAAUUUAGACAGGUUCAGGCCGCUAGAUCACGUAAUACCCUACGUCCUGUGUGUUGGUUGGAUUGAAUUGCUUUGGAGGGGAUUCCUACCUCACCUUAUAUUAUCGGGGGCAGGGUUACAGGUCGUUUGGUUAUAAGAAUACUAGUCGGAUAGGACUAGAGGAGUUCUACUUUUAUUACGACGAGUACUUUCCUAAUUCUCUACUAAAUCCUCUCUUUCCAUGUAGACUACACCGUCCUGCACCAUGGUUUCCAUGUCAUAUGUAUCUCGGUGUCCAACCCCAUAUUUAGGACUGUCCAAACCUUCUAGUGGAUCCAUAGAUGUAUGUAUGUAUGUAUGACAACGGGCACCCUUGCGGAGGGCCGCCGUCGUUGGAGCCCUCGCUGCACGAGGAGAAGAUCUGGCGAGGAGGACACGGAUGAGGAAGAUGUCACACCGGGGGUUGCCGCCACGGGUGCCCUCACCGGGGGAGGGGGGCGCCGCAACACACCGGUCCCUACUUUGCUGCUGUAUGCCCGGCCGUGGCUCGCCUUGCUCCGACCUAUCCGCCUCGCCGCCGUGCUACUCCAGCCUCAGCAGCCCCACGCAAGCGCCGCGCGGAUCCGACACGGUGGGCGGCAGCCUGGGGCUGGGUGCGGAGGAGGAGGACGGUGAUGGGGUUGGGGCUAGGUGCGGUGGAGGAGGACGGAGACGGCGACGGUCUAGGGCUGGUGCGACGGUAGCCACGGCUGCAUCCAUAUGCUGGAGGAGGAUAAGGGACGAGGUGGAGCGCUGAGGCACAGGGGUCGGAUGGAGAAAGGCGGAAUAGGGAUCCGAGGGUAGUAUUAUAAUAACUAAUAUUAUGUUUAGCUAACUGAACUUUAGCAAGUUAAAAAUUAGCUUCUAAGGGCUUGUUUGUUUCCACCCUUCUAAAACCUUAGCUCCUAAAAAGUGAGUAAAAACUGCCUAAAGUGCCAAACACUCCUUCUAAAAAGUGACUAAAAUCUUUUAGGAGCCUCGAAAAUUUUAGUCCUCCCACCCCCUCCUAAAGCCUCCUAAAACCAGAUCUGACCCCUACUACCCCUCAUUUAUUACCCUCUCUCUCCCGCCUGACUCCCACCCGCCGCCGUCGCCCAUCUCCCGCCGCCGCCCAGCACCCUCAACACACCCACGCACACAGGCACAAGCCGGCAACGCAUGGCCGGCCGUGGCCUUGGCCGGCGGCGGGGAAUGGCAAGGCGCGGCCGGUGAUGGGCGCAGGAGCACCGGGGCUUCACCACGACCCCGUUUUGGCUGCUUGUUGGGGAUGAGGAGGCCGGGAAGGUGGUGUUCGGCGGCGGCGCCCGAGCUUGGGCCGGCGGCAAUGGCGGCCGUGGGAUCUGACAUCCCCGGCGCCAGGAGCUACGGCGGCGGACAAGGAGUGGUCGAGGGGGAAGAGGAGGGGGUCAGGAAGCCGUGGGAGGCGGCGAUUUGAAGAUGGUGGAGCGGAGGUCGGGGAUUUGGCUGGCGAACGGACUCUGCUCAGCUCGGUGUUUCCUCGGCUGGAGGAGGAAGAAGAGAUGAGUGAGUGAGAGAGAGAGAGAGAGGAACAGGGGUAGCGGGUUGGCCGAGAUUCGAGGGGAGGGGGCGGCGCCAGCGGGAGGAGGGAAGGGGCGGUCCGGGGCCAGCGGCAGGGAUGGCCAGCGCCGGCGGAGGGGCGGUCCGGGGCUGGCGGCGGGCGGGCCAAGCGCCAACAGCAGGGGCAUGGGGAAGGGCAUCUUAAGUAUUUUACCACUUUAUUAUUGCCUUUAGUCACUUUUAGGAGGUGGAACCAAACAUACUUUUAGAAGGUACCUAAAAACUGUCCAAAAUCUUUUAGGAGUUAAAACUUUAGGAGGGUGGAAACAAACAGGCCAGUUUUAGCCCGCUAAAGUUCUGGAUCCGAAAGGGACCCGCACCUCCUCGACCAGUUCACCUCCAUGACGUUUUCAGGACCACGCAAGCAAAGCAAGAGUCCGCUUUCCCACUACGCUCAGAUCCGCACGGCCGGUCACGACCCCGGCGUGGCUCCCGGCAUCGUGACGCGCGAGGAAAGUCGGUUGCGGCCACGCGUACGCAGUGCCUGCCUCGCACACAACGACGACCGAAGCAAAGUCAGUCAGCCCGGCGCUCCCGUCCCGGCCAAGUGGGAGAAAAAACAAGCGGAAUGUUCCAGUAGCAGUGCGGUACCUAACGCGGUUUUACCACUACCCGAGAGGGCGGACAUUUUUCCGUGCAACGCUUCAAUGCUUUGCUCGGUCGAUCACCCGCACACGCCCUUCCGGAUCGAGCUUCUCCAACCGCCCUCCACCCGUCACGAUUCGCCAGCCUAAUACGCCAUCGAUCUCUCGAUCCUGCGAGAGCAGCGUUGCCACUUGGCAGCCACGAUUUUCGUACCAUGCAUCAUCAGCGCGUCCGUCCGCAAGUCCGUUGGCCGGUGGCAAGCCGCGAGCACAUCGACUGAGCUCUCGGCCGGGAAGAAUGAAGAGUCCACGGCGAACGCGGGGGAUACCGCAGAUCCGCCGCCGCAGCUGCCGUGGCGAAACGGUCAGAUGCUCGGUGAAAUGAAAUAUCUGGCCGCCGGCCCAACGGUGGGAGGACGCCGUCGUGGCCUCGUGGGCGUGCGUGGUUGUAGGCAGGGCACGCGCGGACGGGGCCAGAAGGGAAGGGCGCCGAACCGAAGUACCGAACAUCGGUGGUGGGUGGCGUGGCCGCGAUACGGCGGAGUAUUUUACUACGCGGACAGCUAGUGUGUGGGGGCCGUUGGCAACUGUCACGCCAGCUGUGGCCACCAGCUUGGGUCUCGCCCAUGCGCGCAUGACCGUUUCCCGCCGAUCCUCUGGAUCCGCCCCUCCGUGCCACCCCUCGUGGGGCUCAUCAUGCCAAGGCGUGUCCUCUGUCCUGUAGUACUAGCGAAGGGCCAUCACAAAAUCCGUGCGGCAUUUUCCAAACACAGCCAACAUUUUCUCUCUCUUUUUUGAAUCUAAACUAGUACGAGCAAAAUUACCUUACUGAGGAAUCCGAGAUUGGUUUUUAUGCCACGAAGCGUUCCGAAGCAACUUUGUUAUCAAGCGAGUCAGGAUCACACGUUUCAGGAGCGCUAGGAAUAUACCCCACGGAACGAAGUUUCCUUCGCGCGGGCGGCUCGUGCCGUCGUGAAGACGCGCAACGAAAGGCGGCGGCCGGCGACGGACGCGCUCAGGCGCGCGUGCGUGGUCAGGUCAGCAUAGAGGAUCCCAACGGCCCGCGCAACCGCGAGGCAAUGCCAGGCUGCCAGACCGGGCGCGCCACCAAACGCGGCGGAACCCAACAAAUGGCCAGCCAGCCGCGCGCCGUGCGGGCCUACCCUCGCCUCGCCCGGUCGCCCCACAACCUCCUCACGCAACCUACCUGGCCGCGCCCGGCGGCCCUAGGCCUCCUCUAUAAAACCAUCGCCCCUGCGCACCGUCCUCCCCCACCUCCCGAUCAAGCCAUCCAGCCGCCUCUCCUCGCCCUCCUGCCUGCGCGCAUCUCUCUAGAGCUUAAACUCUCCUAGAGAGAUCUCAGGCAGCCCCAAUAACCAACCGCUCGACCCAACUCGUCGUCGUCGUCGUCGCAGAUGGCCGGCCUCAGGAUGAAGCUCGUCGCCGCCGCCGCCGUGGCCGCCGCGCUCGUGGCGUCCGCCGCCGCCCAGGCCCCCGCGCCAGCGCCCACCUCCGACGCCUCGGCCGCGGUGCCCCUCGCGGCGGCGUCCUUCGCCGCCGCCGCCUUCGGCUACCUCUUCUGCUAGAUCCGUCGUCCGGGGAUGCCGUCGUGCUCCCUGGCCGGUCGGGCCUGCUGAUGAUGAUAUGAUUCGUUUUGGCGUGAGUCGAGUCCCCUGUUCGUGGCGCGUGUUGAGGGAUGUCGGUGGGCGUGUGUAUGUACGAGUCGGCGGCGGGUGGAGGUGUGCGCGCGUGGUUGGAUACGUGCGUCGACGCACCACUCUUUGUGGUGGAGAUCAUGUACCCGCUGCGCUUCUGUUUAUCAAUGAGAUGAUUUAUUUGAUUCUUUUCAUCUUAUAUACAAUAUACAUGAGAAUUGCGUAUUCAGUUUGUUGUGUUUUGCUCUGCAAACUUGCGAUGUGCAGAUUGUUGUAAAACACUGUCGAACGAUUCUCCCUCAAUCGAGUUCUUCCGUUACAAAGAAAAAGAAAACGGUGCAUCUCUCUUAAAAAAACGAUUACUAUUCUUACGACCUGAAAAUUAAGGGGUGCAGGCUACAGUUCAAAGAUGUAAUUGGAAUCUGAAAUCGAUUUGACCGACUAAGGAACCCACCAUCUGAAUUCUAAGCAAAACGACCGGCAUAACGACUUUCAUUUAUGACCAACCAAUUCAGAAUUGACAAGCUUUAUUUUUCCUCCCUCCCUCGAAAAGAAUGCUGUGGCACGGAGUCCUCGUGAAGUUCGUUAGGAGAUGCCGGGCCGGGGUUGCUUAAUUAGUUUGGUGAGGGAUCCGAACGUUGAAAUGAUUGAAGCAUGUUGGCGUCGCCACUUGCCAGCCAAGAAGCCAUGUGCUGCUCGUUAAGCACUGGUCCACAGAUGAGUUGUCUUGGUAGGGGCAGCCGUACCCGCUGUAUCAGCGCUGGCAUGCUCCAAGCUGGAAAUGGUGAGCCGUCGCAAUCGCUGCAGUAUUACCCGACUAAUAUGUGCUUUAUGGAAUUGCAGGACUGCUUAAUUUUGACCGUGCUCGUGGAUUUAGAUGCUGGUCGAUGGCUCCAGCUCGAUGCCUUUUCCUACUGUACUGGCUACUGCCGACCGAGAGUCUCAGAGCGUGCAGAAUGCAGGUCGAGUUCCGCAAAGUUGUUGGCGUACACAGCUGGGGAUUGGGCCAGUGCCAGCUCUACACACCACUGGGCCACCUUUGUGUUUUCUCCGGCCUGCUUGAAAAUGUAUUGGGCCAGUUUGUUGGGCCGCUUACUUACAUCUGUGCUCAGCUAAAUCCAGCGAGAACAAUGGAAGAGUUUUUGGCUCUAUACAACAAAUCUUUUGGUUUUUUCCCCCCCUUUCUUUUUCAUCCACAUAAGACACCCACGAUGGCGUUUAUAUUUGUAAGAUAACUGAGUUGCAUUUUUAAGUGCCUCAUUUCUGGAUUAUCGGGCAGCUUCUGAAAGGAAGCUCCAAUUAUAGUAGACGAAGUAGAAGGUUUUUUUUUCGAUUCAAGACCUGGAACGUAGGUAGCUAGAGUCUACGCACUGCAGUUACAUACUGACAAAUUGCAAUGGCGAGUCGGCGACCGACAAGCAGAGGCCAGGCACAGCUGCGUCACAUGAACUCGCUCAUCAUGGCGAGCACCUGCGCCAUCGUGGGCCUCUCCUCCGGCGCCUCGGCGGUGCACAGCACGCCGAUCUUCACCAUCCCCAUCGUCUCCUCCCCUUCGCCGCCUUCCUCGCCGUCGGCGGCCUUGUGGUCCGUCACCACCUCCAGGAGCACCAUCCCGAAGCUGUACACGUCGGACUCCUGCGUCGCCCUCGCGCCCGCGCCCGACGCCAGCUCCGGCGCCGCGUACCCGUGCCACCCGACGCUCGCCGCUGGCGGGGCCGCCGACGACGUCGCGGUCGCCGCCCGGCCCAGGAACAGGUCCGGCGGGCACCGAGCGGCCUGCGGGACGACGGACUGCUGGAUGUUUGUGGCGUAGCGCAUGAGCCCGCACUCGGACACGCACGCGCCGCCGCGCUCGUCCAGGAGGAUGUUGGACGGCUUCACGUUCGCGUGCACAAGCGCCGGCCGCGCCGGGAACGUGUGGAUGUAGUUCAGGCCCUGCGCCGCGCCGAACAGUAUGCUCUUCCUCCCCGCCCAGUCCAGGCUCCUCGCGCCACCACCUGCAGCAACAACAACGGCCCGUCAGGAACACUCGCUUUCUUGCACCGACUGCAAAUUGGCAAUGCAUUUGGGAUUUCAUUAUCUCAUUUCAGCGCGACGACGCACCACUGGCUUGCAGAAGGGACUGGAGGCUCCCGUUGGGGAGGAAGUCGUAGACGAGGAGGCGCUCGCCGUUGGAGUUGCAGUACCCCCUGAGGCUGACGACGUGCCGGUGGCGGAGCCGGCCGACGAGCCGCAUGUGGCGGUCGAACGCCUUGCUCCGGCUGGCGGGGAACUGCAGCGCGCUCAGGCGCUUGACGGCCACCACGAUGCCGUCGUCGAGCACCGCCUUGUAGGUGCUCCCGGACACGCCCUUGCCGAGCACCUCGGCGGACGCCUUGAGGAGGCUCUCCAGCCGCAGCUCCUCGCCGCCCUCGAAGCAGACCAACCCGCCGCUCUUCUGGCACUUGUCGUCCCCGUUCGCCCUCUUCUCUUGCUCCUCGAAGCAGAGUGCCGCGUCGGAGGCGUCCUUCGCCGACCGGAGCUUCCUCCUCAUGUAGACGAACAUGGCCACGGAGAUGGCUAGCGAGACCGUGAUGAGCACUGCGUUGCCAAUGCCGGUGGCCAUGAGUGCAGUCAAGCUAAGCUUACUGAAACCUCCAUUGCUGGAACUGGAAGGCACACUACCACUAACGUUCACUGCAGCACCAGGAGAUUGAGCAGCGAUACUGGUGGUAGCAUUGGAAGAACUAUCCGAUCCUAACGCAUUAUAAGCACGAACACAUCUUGGCAGAGGCGUGCCACAGAGAGCGAGAUUGCCGCCGAAAGCCGACCUCGGGAACCUGGACAGAUCGCCGGAGAUCUCCCCAGCGAGCUUGUUCCCGGACACGUUCAAGCUCCUGAGCGACGGGGCGCGCAGCGCCUCCAGGCCUCCACGGAAGCCAUUGUGCUCCGCUCUAAGCGUGAGCAGAGCACCCAGCGAGAUGUUCAGGCUCCCGGUGAGCCGGUUGCGGGCGACGAGCAGGUGCCGCAGCCACGGGCUCGCCGUGGCGUCGUCCAGCGGGGGGAGGGCGCCGGACAGGGAGUUGUUCCUGACGGCGAGCGCCCUGAUAUGGCUGAGCCGCAGGAGCGGCGCCACCUCGCCGGCCAGCGAGGCGCCGUCGAGGAAGACCCCCACCACCCUGCCCCUGGAGCACCUGAUCCCGAACCACGUGCUGGAGCACGGGUUGGGGCCGUGCCAGGUCGCCAGGGCCGUGGCGUUCGGGUUGUAGGACUUGAAGGAGAGCAGCGCGGGCAGGUCCUGGUGGCCGCCAUUGCCGACCUCUCCGUGCACAGAAGGUACCGAUAGGUGGUAGACGAGGACGGCGAGGAGCAGGAAGGUGGAAUGGUGGAAACGAGGCAUUUUGGUAGCUGUAAGAAUUUUCUUCUGUGUUUGACCGAGAAAUCUAUCCACUCGUUUUAUAGCACGGGCCGGUAACAAUUCAGCGCGGGGAAGUAGAAAAUUUUGAAUGGCGCACGAGCACAAAGGCGUGGAACGACGACGAGCAGAGGGGUCCAAAGAGGAAAGCUGGGUACCUGCGCCGACGUCGUGGGUGGGUGUCGAUGCUGAGGUCGUGGGGAGGAGGGUGGAGGUGAAAAGCGGCGCCAUGGAGGACAGGAGGAGAGGUCCAAGGGGAUGGGGAGCUGACGAGGUGCCCUUUUUCCUCCCUUGGGCAGAAGGAACUUGGACGUAUCUGGUGGGCUGCACGUAGCCGUGAUGGUCGUCGCGCCGGGGAGAUGCUGGUGCUCGCUUCGCUUUACGGAAGCGGCCGAAAGGAAGCAAGAGGGCUCGGGGUUCCACGGCGCGUGGUGGAGUAUCGGGUUCACGAGACGAGACGGGAGUAGCGAGUGGGGACGUUGGCGUCAGGUGGCGCCACGCACCGGUAGGGGAGCAGACAGGAAUGGAUUCCAGCUUCACGUUGCACUAGUCCCCCAGAGUCACAGUGAACCCGGAACACUGAACUGGGUUCAGGUGUCGGGGCAUCUAUUGUUGGGUCCGUUCGUGCUGUGGGCCGAGCCAGGUCUUGCCACCCGAUCCAGCCCAGUAACCGGAGUAGCCAAGAUUUUGUUGGGGCGUCGGGUUCAAACUUCAAAUUGGCAGGUGGAGACGCUUCCAAACGGGUUCAUAGUGAGUCAUUGCUACUGGUACUACGGAGGACUAGGAAGGUUAAUUAUCAUUAUGAACAGUGUUAGUUAGCACCGUCGUCUGAAUGAAAGGUCAUGACAUGCUCGUGAAACCUCGAUUCUAAUGUAUGCGCGCAGUUUUUGGUAUAUCAACUCAGAACUCGACUGGUGGUGUGGUGAGCACAAAAAUGCAUCUUGUUUUUUUUUUCCCACUAAGGGCUACGUCCAAAUUUCAUUACUGUUUAGGCAAUGAAAUUACAGAGUAUGAGAGUUGUCGACACCAUGGUCACACCAGAGAUUACAAAAGCAUCUCCAGGAGGACAGGUGCAGACGGCCUUUCCACCUGGGAGGAAUAAAGCGAGCCUACUUAUUACAUGACACAGAACUAACAGCAUGCUAAACAUCUCACAGCCAACCAAACUAGGAACAUUUCUCAACCAGCCUCCAAAGUUGCUUUGAGCAUCACACUGUAUCCAGACUUCCUGGCUUGAUUUGGGACAGCACUUCUUCUCUUUUUUACUGCAGCAGUACCAUCCCUGUGUCGUCGGUUGUUGCUUCACGGGGGUGAAAGUGCAACGCCGUCGCCUUCAUUGCAUCAGCGCCAGCCUCCAGGAUCGUCCUCCCCUCCGGCUUAUGAAGACCUGCUCAAUAUGAAAUGAAAACAGAUGCUGAACAUAUAAUCUCUGAAGGAGAUUUGACCUAUUUUUUAUCAAAGCAAGCAGCAUUUCUAGCUUUCCAGAGUGCCCAGCAGACCGCUGACAGCCCCACCACAUGGAUGUUUUUGUUUUGUGACAUAUACUAUCUAGUCCAUUCCCAAAAUUGGGCAAAGGUAGUUGGUCUACAUGGAGCACCAAUUACCAUGGCAAUAAGGCUCCAUACAUACCUAGCCAAGGCAUAUCCAAAGAAAAGGUGUUUCGAUGUUUUCUUCCAUAUGACAGAAACAACAGCUUUUGUCCCCCUGCCAGUUGCGUUUUAUAAGGUUGUCUUUAGUCAGAAUAGCAUCUUUUUGGAUUAACCACAUAAAGAUUUUUAUCUUCAAAGGGAUUUUGGCUUUCCAAAUAUUGUCAUGAGGACUGGGUAUAGACUACCGCCUCAUCAUCGACACAUCGAACAACGAUGGCAAGGAUGCCAAGUACGAGGCGGUGGUUCAUGAGAAAAACUGGGGAGACCAAAUCACUCUCUUGUCCUUUAAGCGAGCAGACUCUCAGCAACAAUUGGCAUGAGCAUGUUAAUCACUCUCUUGUCCUUUAAGGAUGCCAAUGAUUUGUAGUAGGGUUGCCACCUUGAUUAAUGCUUAUCACUACUUGCUCUACAACUAUUGCAUUUUGUGUUUACUCCAUUUAGCGUCCUUUCGUUACGCCUUGCUUAAUGCUUAUCACUACUUGCUCUACAACUGCUGCAUUUUGUGUUUACUCCAUUUAGCGUCCUUUUGUUAAUCGUUGAAAUGGCGUGGUAGCUGCUGCGUAAUGCGUAUCAUGUAAUUUGGCAUCUCCAAUAUAAAUGGGAUUUUCAGCCUAAAUAAAAUGUGAUUGGGAAAUUUGGCUUCCCACUUUUGUACAUGAUGCAAACGGUCAUAUACAUGCACACACAAUUACAAAUACACGCACGCUAGUUCGAUCUUCAAGUUUAAUAUAGUUUCAGCUGUUCAAACAUUGGAUUGAACAUGACCGAUCCAUUUGAAAGUAGAUUGCUUUCAAACACAAAACGUGGAUUGCGUUAAAUAUUUUUAUUAGACAUAUUAGGAAUGUAAAAGUCAAAUUUAUAAUAAUUUAACCAAACAUUAGUCAAAUUCUAUAAAUCCUCAGUAUAAAAGUUAUAUGGAUGAAUUCAAAUAUGAAAUAUCUUACUUCUAUACAUCUAAUAGUAUAUUGUAAUAGAAACUAUAUCAGUCAAUAUAUAUCUAUAAAUAUUUUCAAAUCAUCAUGUGCCUACUAAAAACAAACAAAGUUAAUGUUAUGGUUGUGAUUUUAUUGCUACAAAUAUUACUAGUAUUAUAAGAGCAUCUGCAGCAGUCUCCCAAUAAAUAUUUCCCAAUAACUAGUUAAUAGGGAUAUUCCAAUAUCACUUUCAUCGUUAUUGGGAGAGUUGCUUUUGCAGUCUCCCAAUAAUUUCAUCCCAAUCCAACUACCGUAUUGAGAGAGUUACAACUCCUUUAUUUAGGGAGAGUUGGGAUGAAUUAUUGGGUUGUCCCAAUAAUUAUUGGGAAAAGGGAAAGUUAAAGGAAGACUGUUGGAACACUAUUUUCUUAUCAACUCUCUCAAUAUGAUAGUUGGAUUGAGGAAAGGGAGAUUGCUAAAGAUGCUCUAAUAAGCUAUGUAUUCAAAACAAAGUGGUCAUGCGGGUAUUAGAGUUGUGAUCCGAAAUAACGGCAGGAAAAUUCUGUUAUCUGCAUGGCGAGUCAUUUUUUAUGCAGUGAGCGUACAGGAAGUGGAGGCAUUGGCAUGCAAAGAAGGGUGGCCCUUGAAGGGAGCCCGCGAUCUUAGAGUUAGACUGCAGUGCGGUCAUUCACUAAAUCAAGGAAGCGAGUAAGAUGAUACUAGCUAGCAUAAUUUUUCACGGUCUAGAAGGCUAAGCGCCUAGCGGAAAGUCUCCCAUGUCUCGUUUUGAGUCAUGUAAAGAGAUAGCAGAACGUAGUCGCACAUGAGCUUGCGAAGCAAAUCGCAAUGUAGUGUGGUGUGAUCAUCCCCCACUUAUAUGAGCAUUUGAUUGCUCAUGCCUGUAAUUUUUUUUUUGAGCAAUCAAUAAAGCGCUCUCUCUUUUUUUAAAAAAAAUUUGCAAAGAAAGAGACUACGAAUCAAAGUUGGAGAAUGUGACGAGUCAAAGCAUAUUGUGAAAUGGAGGCAGCAAAAUCCUAACGCUUCCUGUCGCAUCGACGUUCGAGCUCUGUGUACUUAAUUGAUUGCCACGUAGAAGCCGAAGAGUGCAGCGUCGAUUCAACUGGCGCGCGUCUAGACCCUAUAAAAGGACGGGGUUUCCAAGGCAGCACUGCACCGAUGCUUGCUCUGCACCAGCAAAGGCAGUCAAACUAACAGUACGCCGGGCACCGGAAGAUCGAUCGACCAGGCAUGUCGCCGCCGCCGGAGCAGGACAGGAGGCUUGGCGUCGUCAAGCCGGAGCCCGAACCCAUGAUCAAGCUCAAGGUGCUGGACAACGAGGGUCGCAGGGUCUUCCACACCAUGAGGAUGUCCGACAAGCUCCAGGCGGUCAUGGAUGCGUACUACGCGAAGGCGCCCGACGUGACCUACGGCUCCGGGACCUUCAUGUUCGAUGGAUCCAUCCGGCUGCGGGGCAGCGAGACGCCGGCGGAGCACGGUCUGCAAGAUGACGACGUGAUCGACUCCUACGAGGACCUGGUGGGCGGCGGACGGGACGACGCCUGAUGCACCGGACCGGCGGCUGAUCGAUCGAUGGCCGCGCGAGUACGUCGUAGCAGUCGUUUAAUGGAUGUCGUUAUAUUAUCAUUCGCCAGUCAUCACUAGUCUCCAAUUAUUACAAAGACGUAUCAUCUACUAGGAUUCAUCUUUCUACUAUACAUGCAAGGUGGAUCCAAUAUGUUCUCUUGAAACUUUGUUAUUGAUGUAUCUUCACAGUUUACCUGCUGAAUUCAACUGUCAAAACUUUUCUAAGGCCCUGUUUGGAUCAUUGGAAUUGAAUUCCAUCCUAAUAGUCAUAAUUUAGACACAAAUUAAUUAAGCUAAUAUAAUUGUAUGUGGAAUAUAGUUGUAUAUUAUAGUUGGUGAUAUAGGAGAGAUACUUGUAUGCUGCACUUCUACUAUAGAGAAGCGAGUCUAAGAGCGUGCUAUAAGAAUUGAAUUCCAUUCUAAUAACCAUAAUCUAUAGAAUCAAUUUCCAUCUCCCACCCCAUGAAUUUAAGAUAGGCUUAUAUCUAAACUUUGGAAAGUUGUGGAAUGCCACAUUCCAACAUAAAUUAGCCUACUCCAUUAAAUAGAUUCCAAUUCCUUGGACCCAAACGAGGCCUAAGCGAAAUGCAAGCGUUCGUGGUAUAGCACUUGGAUCAUCCACGGCCCGAUGAUCGAUUGCCCAGGCGGCUGAGAUCUCUUUAGUCGUCUAGAGCUCACGGGGGAAUUCCGAAGAUGCGUUCGGGGCAUUCGAUAGCUUAUCCGCGUCCUGGUACGUCAUGAUUCAUGAACAGUUUGAUCUGGUAAAUUAUGAUUUCAUUGAAGACAUUGCCGUUCCAUUUUCUAUUGAUGAAUUUUUUUAUUAAUCUUCUCGUAAAAAGUUUUUGACGAGGCACUUUAUGCGAUCCAUUGCUUACGAUAUACAUCAAGUUCAACAAAGUGGUUUGGCCUUUUUUUUAGAUAUGCAAAAUAUAAAUCUAUUGAUGCAACUUUGAGACAUGAAAACAUAUAAUUUGACUACUCUUGGAGUAAAACCUACAAAUUAAAGUAUUGACUAUUUGAUACAACCUACGUAAAGAAACAGAGUAAGCAAUGCACGUCAAGCAGACAAAUGAUACGAUCAAGUUCAACAAAUUAAAGUGGUUAGUGGUGAGAAGCAGAUUUUGGUAGGCAUAUACUUCCGUCUCAUCAUCGAUGCGUCGAACAACAAUGGCACGGAUGGCAAGUAUGAGGCGGUGGUGCACGAGAUGGAUUGGGGAGAAAAACUCUCCCUUGAGUCCUUUUAAGUCGGCUAAUUGAUCUACAGUUAGAAUGACCGUCUUAAUGCAAUUAUCCUAAAUAAUGAUGUCAAGGUGUAUUUUCAUGCCUUUGGAUUUUUUUAUGGUUAUAUACAAUUGUCUCAGGAAGCUUGUGCCUCAAGCAUGUCUCUCUCCUAGGAGUAGAUCACUGCCUCACUGGAGACCACAAGAUCAUAGAGCUUCCGACUAAAGUGAGCAGUUUCUUCGAGCUUCUGAGUUCACCAGAAAGAGCGAGGUUGCUACUAAAGGGAGCAGUUUGUUCGAGCUUCUGACUAAAUCGAUCCAAAAUUAUGUCAAACAAUUUCCACUAAAUUACAAGAUAACUAUAUAUUGCAGGAGCUGAUGUGAUAUGAAUCCACUAAAUCACUUCCAAGUUGUAUUUGAACAAACUGUCCAUCGGUUUCCAUCCAUUUCGCCGGAAUACAAGCUCUUAUUAGUAAGGGCUGCAUGCAAGGACUGUCUUAAUUUUUUGCUGUAAGGUAAAACUAGUUGUCAAUUAAUUUCAGGCCAAUCAUUUUCUACUAAAAAUUGCAAGAUACUACUUAAUUUGACACAUCCAAUUAAUAUUUUCCAAAUUGUAUCGAACACCCUGUCCAUCAGCCAUUUGUUGGCAACGUCACGAGGCUAAGUGCUAUUAAAUGCCUCAGUCGUGUCUCCAAUCUUCAGCAAAAACUAUGAACCUGCCAAUCUUGUUAGUACUUCAAUAGACUUCCUCGAUUCUAAAUUAUAGUUCACUUUAGCGUUGUUCUAAACCAAACUAUUCUCUCUGACUAAAUGUAUAGAAAAAUAGAACAAUAUCUACUAUCAGCAUAUUUCUUAGCAGAUUCAAUGAAACUAUAAUUUGACGUUAUAGAUCUUAAUGCCUUUUUUAUGAACUUGAUCAAAGUUAAAGAGAUUUGACUCAGAACAAUACUCGUAUAUACUACUUACAUUUUAAAAGAAGUAUAAAAUAAAGUAGUUAUUGUAAUGAAUGUAAAAUAAGCUUAGAAGAAACCUCAAUGACCAAAUUGGGACUGCAGAAAGUACUUUCUCCACCCUAUUACUGGCUCCGCACGCACAAGAGAAACAAAAGCACGAGCUUGUGGCCAUUAUUCAAACAAUAAAAUUAGCACUAGUCACUUGGAGAGAAACCGGCAAAACAUCCAGAAAUAUACCACACAUAGGGGUGGUAAUGGAUCAUGCCUCCUUCACAAUCCAACUCAACCCUAUUUAUUUUUAGUUCAAAAUCAUAUAUUAUUAUAGCCCGAUACAUAUUGAGCCUGAUCCUUAAAUUUGCUAAGUUAAAUUAGAGGGCCCUUUACCACACCUAACCACGCCACAAGAACAAAAUUCAACAAGCUGUUGGUAACUCGGUACUCUACCGGUUGGAUACAAAACAAUAUUAAAAACUGCUGCUACUAAUAUUCUCUUAAUGAAAUACAUGCACGUUUAUAAAAAAAAUGACUCACAUGACCCUCCUAAACCUAGAGAACAGACUCGAUUGAAACUAAUCGGAACGUAAUAAUAGUGAGCAAAGUCACUGGCAUGUAAAUAAACUAAGUCUAAGUAAGAGCUGUAUAUCUAGAAUAUGAGGUCUUGAUGGACUCCUCGAACUCGUUGACGACGGCCUUCCAUCCGGCAUGGGUCGGGUUGAUGUCGUCCCAGUAGAAGAACUUGUCCGGCUUGGACCCCAGGCUGUACUGCGGCUCACCGUCCUGCACCUGCCCGCAGAACCCGCUCUGGUCGAAGCUCUCGCAGCACGACUCCAGCCUGUACUUGAACUGCUUCGAUCGCGGCGACGGGCCCGCGUAGUGGCUGAAUGCGGCUUUCAGGUCGAGGUUGAAGACGGCCUCGUCCUGGAACACCUUCUCCUCGAGGUACGAGUUGUGGAUGCUCGCCACCUUCUGGCUGUCGCACUUGGCAUCGUAGACGCCGUCCUCGGACCUCGACAGCCACGGCGUGCACCCGAGCGGGGGCAGCGAGGUCACCACCACCUUCUCGACGCCCAGGUCCAUCAGCUGGUCCACGGCGUCGGCGAUCUUGUCCGUCACCUCCUGGGCCUUGGCCUUCACCUCCGUGCUGGUCAUGUCGUUGAAGCGCUCGUAGUCGCGCCUGCCGGAGAAGGCGAUGAGCGCGACGGAGUCCGUGAGGUCCUCGUCGAUGAUGCCGAGCCUGACCAGCCUCUUGAACUUGUCCACCUGCCUGCCGAGCCUGGGCGCGUCGCUCGUCCCCUCCACCACGCCGGCGCCGCCGACGGCGAAGUUCAUGCCGGACGGAUCGACGCCGUCCUGCUUCCUCUUACUCUCCGCCGGAGGGGACUCCUUCCGCCCCAGAAUCCUCGCUGCACAAAUUAUGUAUUGAUGAGACAGGGCCAGGAUUUAGAAUAUUAAGUACUGAUCCGAGCUUAUUAUUACGUACCGAAGAAAUCAGAGAGGACCAAGCCGUUGGAGAAGCGGCCGCUUGGAGUGGCGCCGUGCUCCUUGUCGUUGCUGCCGUACGGGUAGUACCAUGCGCGCGUCGUCUUGGUCAGGUCUGCUAGCGGGAAGUUGCCGGCGUCGGCGAACUCGUCGCCGAACACGAACAGCUUAUACCGCCGGCCCGAGUCGCUGUCGCGAUGGCGUCGGGACUCCACAUGAGCAGCUGCUAACAACAACGUUAAUUAAAGCUCCGAUCCGAGAGCAGGACAAUGCACGACAGCAAGCAGAACAACACAUACCGUUCAGCAGGAGUAGGAGGCCGCAGACGGCGGCGAAAAGAAGCUUCAUGUUGGCUGGUUCCUUGGAUUUCGAUCGAAGGCGAGUUGCGCGGGGCGCGGGUGUUGAGGUGAGUCAAUUGCUGAGUCGUGGUGCCAGGACGACGGCGAGCGUCGCAAUUUAUACACGGGAGAUCGAGUUCCGAGUCCUACUGGGGGUGGGGGAGGCGCGCUUGUUUGCCCAGUCCGCCGCCGACUGUAACUCGUUUCCAAGCCUAGCUGCUACACUGACGAACAACAAGUCAGAAAGCCGACGAUUCCUGCUCGGAGUUGGCGGGUUGGCGGGCCUUUUCUCUCUAGGAUCUCACCAGGCCUCAAAAUACCCGGGCCAGUACAGCAGAAGAGGCCCAUCGCUACCACCCCAAUACAUGCAUACGACCAGCGUUCACUAAUGGGCCCCAUCCCUGUCUGCACGGACGACGAUAGAAGUUGGCCCGAAAUCAACACGGCUGGGCCUGGGCUGUGCAUCACAGAACCCUUUUUUUCUUUGGCGACGAACAAAACCCCUCGCCACUACUACUUAGCCACGCAUGAUGAUGAUGAAUUUACGUUUGAUGAUUGCUUGUUGAUCAAUCAGUCGAUCGAUCGAUCUGCGGAGUACUCUGACGGAAGGAAAGCUAACCCUCUCCGCCGGCGCCGGCGCCACCGCAAUGUGGUUCACCUCCCGUCGCAAACCCAACGCCGCCGAACCUUCCGAGGAUGCACCGUCGUCCUCCUCGCCACGCAGCUCGCAACCCCGCGGCUACUCCCUCCGCAUCUCAUCCUCCAACCCCUGCCCCCAAACCCAGAGCUCCCGCGACGGAGCCCUAGCCUCCGCCACCUCCUCCUCCGCCGCCGCCUGCGACCUCGGCGGCGGAUGGGGGAACUCCGUAGGCCGCGGCGGCGGCGGCUUCCUGUGGUGGAUCUUCUCCGCCGGAGCGGCGCGCGCGGACGAGGGGAAGCCGGCGGGGGCCGACUGGGACGCGCACGGGCUCCCGGUCACGCGCACGCCGGUGCCGCUCUCCAGGCUCGACGGGAGGAAGCGGUACAAGGUCUCCGAGCUCAACUUCCUUGACUGCCGCGCCCGGGACCGCGCCAGCGCCGCGGAGAAGAACCCCUUGUUCGACGACAUGGCCAAGCUGCGCCCCGGCGGCGUGUACACCCGGUCGCAGCUGCUCGGGCAGCUCCAGGCGAUGACCUCCUCCGGCAUGUUCGAGCAGGUCAGCCUCCAAGGGAAGCCCAAGCCGGACGGCACGCUCGCGCUCACCGUCACCUACGCCGAGAACAUCUGGCCUGGAGCCACCAAACGGUUCAAGUGCGUCAACGUUGGACUCAUGGCGCCGCCCGACGCUGGCCCUGCUGAGGACAUGACGGCGAGGGAGAAGAUGGAUUACAUCCGGAGGCAGGACCAUGACUACCGGCAGCGAAUCCGCAGCGCCAAGCGGUGCAUUCUACCGGAGUCUGUGCGCGAGGAGGUGCUGGGGAUGGUGAAGAAGCAGGGGAAGUUGACCGCCGGGGUGCUGCAAAGGAUGAGGGACCGCGUCGAGAAGUGGUACCACGACGAGGGCUUUGUGUUCGCCCUGGUGCAGAACUUCGGGAACCUCGACACCGACGAGGUUGUGUUGGAGGUGGUAGAGGGGGACAUCACCAUGGUGGAGUACCAGUUUCAGGACAAGCUUGACAAUAUCGUCGAGGGGAACACUCACAUCGCUGUCGUUGACCGGGAGCUGCCCCAGCAGGUAUGUAUAUAUAUAUAGGCAAUUUUCCUUACUACAUCAACAUCAGUUCCAUGGUUAAUUAACAUGUUCUGUUCGAGAUGUCUAUGGAUGAAUUGUUGUUUAAUGUGCCACGAGUUGAUUGGUUCGAUGUAUUCUAUUACGAUUCUCAAACACAUUUACUCUGACCUGAUAUGCUUUCUUGCAACCAUGUAAUUUACCUUCUGCCUUUCUUACACUGUGCAGCUUCGACCUGGCCAUAUCUAUAACAUUGGGGCAGGGAAACAAGCUCUGAAGCAUAUCAAUUCACUCGCUUUAUUCUCCAAUAUAGAAGUGAACCCUCGCCCUGACGAGACAAAAGAAGGGGGUGUAGUGGUUGAAAUAAAACUCAAGGAACAUGAACCAAAGUCGGCCGAAGUAACUACAGAGUGGAGCAUUGUGCCUGUGCAUCAAGGGAGACCAACUCUUGUAAGGCACCACUUAUUUGUAACCUUUUUUCCUUCUUCUCUGCAGAAUCUGUACCUUGAAUGAUAGAAAACAUCAUAAAUAUAUAACCGCCAAUCAUUAUAAAUCCAUGUUUCACAACCCAUCUCACGGAAACUUUCUUUUUAGGCAUCAAUUCAACCUGGAGGAACUGUGUCAUUUGAGCACCGCAACAUCUCUGGUUUAAACAGAUCUCUUGUCGGUUCUGUUACUUCCAGCAACCUGCUCAAUCCUCAGGUGAGUUGGUACUGAGUUCUUUUAUUGAAAACAGAAGCUUUGAUGCAAUGUUGCUUUGGUUUACAAUUACAUCUACAUUCGCUCUGAUCUGCUUGUACUAAAUUAGCUGAAUUGUCACUUAUAACCGUCUCAGUCUUCCUUUGUAACUAUAUGUUUCGAGUCAUAUUUCAAUUAUCAUUAUUACAUGAAGUGUGGAACUCAGUUGAGUGUCUUCUGCAUUGAAAUGUGAAACAUUGCAGACUUUAAUUGCCAUUCUGCUGCAAUCUGAAAUAAGUAAAUAAAAUUAUACCCUUGUUUCAUGAUUUAAAAACAUUUAGUUUAUAAAAUGUACUGGUAUGGUUUACAAGGCAUAUGUUUCAUUUUUAACUGAUCCGUUAUAUUUGUAUUUACGGCAUGUUUCUUUUGGGAUAUCAGGAUCAUCUCUCAUUCAAGCUUGAGUAUGCCCAUCCUUAUUUGGAUGGUGUGGACGACCGUAGUAGAAACCGCACCUUCAAAGCUAGCUGCUUCAACGUCAGGAAAUUAAGUCCUGUCUUUGUUGCUGGCCCCAACAUGGAUGACGCUCCACCUAUCUGGGUUGAUAGAGUUGGAAUUAAAGCCACUAUAACAGAGGUUUGCACAGAUUGAUAUUACCUUCUUCAUCUUUUGAUUUUCAUAAAUAUCUACUCCCAAGAUAUAUUUUUAACAUGAGGAAACUGCAUUUGGAAAUUUUUUUCAGAGCUUUACAAGGCAGAGCAAAUUCACUUAUGGCCUCGUGUUGGAAGAGAUUAAAACACGCGAUGAAGAUAACAACAUAUGCACACAUGGUUCUCGAGUAUUGCCUAGUGGUGCAUUGAACAUGGAUGGACCUCCCACAACCUUCAGUGGUACCGGUGUAGAUCGAAUGGCAUUUCUACAAGCUAAUAUAACUCGAGACAAUACUGAGUUUGUAAACGGGGCAACUAUUGGUGACAGAUGUAUAUUCCAGGUGGGGUGUUUUGUUCUCAGUGAAUUUUCAAUUGUUGCUGGGUGUUUAAAACCAAAUUGACUGCACUGUGCCAAAAGGAGAAAGCCAGCUCCUUACACAACUGAUGUUUCUGUUUUCGUAUGAGGCUGCUGCACAAUGCAUAAUGCUGACUGUUUAGGCACAUUUUAGCAAAUGUUAUCAUUACAAUUUUUUUAGAAUCAAGGUAUUCUUGUUUAUGUUAUAAUUGCUUUUCAGUUAUAUUUUAAAUAUCUGGGUUAGUUCUUGUUUAACAGCAUCAUGUGUUUAUAGAAAGUUCUCCAUGGUAAAGUAAAUCCACUUAUAAUUUUCUUGUGGGCCGCAGUUGGACCAAGGUCUUGGCAUUGGAAGCAAAAAUCCAUUCUUCAACCGUCAUCAGCUUUCAGCGACAAAGUUCAUUAAUUUGAAUAAGCAAGAUAAAGGUGCUGGCAAGCCACCACCAGCAAUUUUGGCGAUUCAUGGUCGCUACGCAGGCUGUGUAGGAGAUCUGCCGAGCUAUGAUGCAUUUGCAAUCGGAGGACCUCACUCUGUUAGGGGCUAUGGCAUGGGAGAACUGGGUGCUUCCAGGAAUCUUCUUGAGGUGAGCAUCAAACUAUCGAUCCUCAGGGGGAUUUGGCACUUACUCUGAAUCAUGAUGCAUAGUUGUUAUCGCUGUUCAUGUCGUAGUCGUGGAGGUUUUGCUUUUCUUCGGAUUUGUUUUGAAUCUUAUAUCCAUGCAGGUUGCCACUGAGUUGCGUGUCCCCAUCACUGUGAAGAACAAACAAACGCAGGUGUAUGUAUUUGCUGAGCAUGGCACUGACCUCGGGAGUUCCAAGGACGUGAAGGGCAACCCUACAGAGUUCUUCCGACGCGCAGGCUCUGGGUCCUCCUAUGGCAUUGGUGUCAAGCUCGGCACGGUAAGGGCGGAGUACGCUGUAGAUCACAAUGCUGGUACGGGAGCCUUCUUCCUGAGAUUUGGCGAAAGAUUCUGAAGGCCGCGUCUCUGUCCAGCUUGACGAUCAGAAAGCCCUAUGUAAAUUCGACUGCCAACUUUCUAGAAUAAAAUUAACUCGUGAAGAUAUAACGUCACUGAAUCUUGUAGCAGCAAGGCCCGCGUUAUGAAUGGUUGAGAGUAAAGUCAGAUUCAACUGGAAUAAGAGUUUCGUUUUGAUGGAAGGAUGUCAUUGUACUCUCUUCCUCCGUGGAACUGUACUAGAUGGUAGUCUCGGAGUAUUAUCUUGAACUUGGUAACUAAACCUAUUGAGUGUUAGGAGGAUAAAACUCUUCUCUCAAACUAGAACUUGUGCAUUCACGAUGCAUCCGACAGCUUGCAUCUGUCGGGUGCACGAGAGCACCAGAUGUACUCGGAGCACCCAAUCUUCUCUUACAUCAUUUUUUAAUCUAAAUUGCACAAAUUUGAUAAAUUUGGGCUUUGGGUGAUUUCGAAAUUGCUAUCGCAUUUUCUAGAAUUUAAAAAGUUAUGAUUUAAUCAAAAAUUCAUAACUAACUUAUUUCAAAUCUAAAAAAUAUGAAGUUGGUACAAAAUUUUUCUAAAAAUGUAGGCUAUUUGUUCAUACUCUAUUUGAAAUUGUUUACAUCAUAUUUGUUACUAAACCUAAGUGUUAUAUUGUUUUUAAUAAAACACAAGGAACAUGAACAAUCUAGUUUUAAAUAAUGCUAAAUAGUACACCAACAGAUAGUUUACAUUUUUAGAAAAAUUUUGGCACCAAUUUAAUAUUUUUCUGAUUUGAAAUGAAUUAGUUAUGAACUUUUUAAUUAGAUCUAAACUUUUUAAAUUUCUAAAAAAUUGCAAACCACUCCUAAAACUAUCCAAAUGGCUAAAUUUAUCCGGUUUUGACAUAUGAAUGGCCCUCCGUGUCCAGUUUUGUAGUUGUCAGUAUAGACAUGUGUCACAUCACUUUAUUAAUGAAGUAAAAAUUCCUACAAAACCUUCGCUGCAAAUGGCCUUACCGCCUCCCGAUUAUCACCGUUUGUUGUUACCUUUUUCUUUUCCAUUGCUAUGUUUGUCCUCCUCGCCUUUGUGCUCCCCACGUUAGGUGAAUUUUCAAACCUUUAAGGCUAAGAUUGGGAGCCCUUUGUUUUCUCAUUUUUUUAAAACAAAAGAAGAAGAAAAUGAAAAGCGGCUUUACCUGCACAACUGCAGUUUUGGCUAGAAUUUACUCCUAUGUCGAGUAAUUGCUCAUGUAGUGUCGCGGCAUCUUCCAUCGCUUCGACUCCUAUGCAUUAACGCAUGGGAACGCAGCAAUCGGAAAGUUCAGUCUUGAGUGCGGCUGCCUUGGACGGUGCAGGGUGGAGAGCGGGGAGGCUUUGCAUGCAUGGAGUUAAUUAUUAAUGGGCUAAUGGCCGCCUAACCUUCUCCGUUCUGCUUGUGAUAAAACUGAAUCGGCGGCGCAUGCCGGACACCCGUUAUAUAGACCAAACAUGCUUAUGACUAAAAUAAGCUGAAGCUGAAACUAGUAGCCAAACGGUAUACUUUUUUCAGCUUCUUCUGUCUGCGCUUCUCUCCACAGGUUCCAUUUGUUUUCCUAUAUUAGUACAGUUUAUUUGAGAAGCAGCUCCCGCAGCAGUACCGUCGUAACCACACGCCCGGCGGAAAGCCUGGGAAAGCAUAGUACCAGCAAAGGAGUCGCCGGAGCCGCCCGCGAUGACGAAGUACGUCACGCUCUCCGUCCGGGACGAAGAGUACCGCGAGAUCACCCGCACCAUGCGCACGACCGACAAGCUGCACACCCUCAUCGAUUUCUACUACGACAUGGUGCCCGCCGUCGCGUACGGCGAGGGGGCCUUCCUGCACCGCGGCGAGCCGGUCGACAGGAUGAAGACGCCGGCGGACUACGGGAUGCGCGAUAGGGACGAGCUCGCCUUCUCGUCGCAGAUCGACUCGAGCACGUUCCUCACGCUGACCGUGCGGGAAGAGGAAGGGCUCGGGUCCUUCUCCCUCACCUUGCGAACGACCGACCAGCUGCGGGACCUGAUGGACUUCUGCUACGAGAUGGUGCCCACCGUCGACUACGGCGACGGGGUCUUCCUGUUCAACGGCAGGCGGGUUAAAGGCCACCGGACUCCGGAGGAGCUCGGUAUGGUGGAUGGCGAUUGGAUCGGUGUUACUUUCAGAGUUCGUUACUGAACGUCGUCGGGCUGCUUCCGCUGAACCGGCACCGCCCGUAUGUUGCUGCACUUUUCGUUGUGUAAGCAGCUGCUACUUGCGUGCAUCUAAAUUUCACGCAUCUUUUGUUCCAAAAUUUAUCGAUAUCCAUGAAUCGAUCCCUCUCACUCAUCUCACCGUGCUUAUGAUGUACUGAAAUAUGUCAUGGUUACCUAUUCUAGAGUAUCGAGUUUAAAGCCAAAAAAUAUGUAGUAUGUCAAUGUGACUUGAAGUGACAUGAUUCAACACUUUACACAAAAGCAUGGUCGUGCAACUUGAUUGAAUUGAUUCACAUUUUGUGAACAAAAACUAAUUCAACAAUUUCAAUGACCUGAUCUAGCGUUUUGUUAAACUAAUCGAUUCAACAUUUUAUAUCAAACUGUUUAGAAUGUUGAACUAGCGCGCUCAAACUUCUGAACUUCCUACGAUCGGAUCGGCCCAACCACAGCCCUAAACGGUCCGGCCCAGGGCGGCCUCGGUCGGUUGCCCUCUCGCCCAGCACGGGACCAUACCCGGUGCAGCGAAUCGGGUAUCCUCCCGCCGCCGCACUCUCUUCGUCCCGGAUCGAUCCCCAUUCCAUUCCCCACCCGGCUCCAGCACGGAACUUUCCUCUCUCUAGGGUUCCCCCCCUAUCCCCCUCGAGUCUCGACCGUACAGGUAAAUUACAGGUCCACCCGUCCCGCGUUCGGUCCGAUCCCGUGAUUCGAGCCUUCGCGCAUCGAUCCGGGACUCUUCCGCCCGCAAAUUUCCCCGCGGCGGAGUUUCGCGGCCUCUUUGUAUUUGGGCCAUUCGAGUUGAUUAUUUUGGAGGAUUGAGUGUGCGUUGUUAGAUUUUUUGUGCGACGACUGCGGUGUGUUAAUUGGAGGUUGAAAGAAUUGUAGCUGUUUUGAGGCGGCAAGCGAGUGCUGCAGAAGCAUCACAUCUGCGCCGAGGCAUGGAUAAGGAGCUCUUCGCCAACGACGGCUCCUUCAUGGAGAGGUUCAAGCAGAUGCAGCAGGAGAUGCAGGAGAAGGAGAAGGCCGCUGCUACUGAAGCCUCAUCGGCUCCCAAGCACGGGAGCUCCAAGCCGGGGUUUGCUGUUGCGGCGAACAAGAGGCCGUUCGAGCUGAAGAAGGCUGGUCCAGUCGCCACGGGCGGGAAGCUGGCCUUUAGCCUGAAGAAGGCCAAGGUCGCGGUCGCCCCUAUUUUUGCGGCCGACGAAGAGGAAGAGGAUGUGGAGAGGGAGGAGCCUGCCAAGCGCCACAAGUCUGUGCAAGCUGAUGCUCCUGUGGCAGCUACCCCGGCAGGGGCUGUUGGUAAUCAUUUAUUUAUUAAUUAAUUCAUUCAUUUAUUGCUGUUAUAAUAUACAAAAUUAUUAGUGGUUUCCCAUUCUUUGGAUUUUUUGUUGGCGUUCUGUGGGUGUAGUUGCUAUCAAAUGAUAAGAUAGAAAUAUGCGACAAGAAUUUUAAUUCAAUAAUUGUCCUAGAACAUCAGCUAUAUAUUGCCUCUUAUCUUUUUUGUUUUUGAAUUCAUUCCCCAUAUAUGUGACAUAUCAUAGGUUUUACUCUUGAGAUGACUUCUAAUUUGGAAUCCCAUACCCCAAUUAAUACCACCGACACAUAUGGUUAUAUUGUCAUUUUUUAAUACAUUUUUCUGUUCCAUGCAUUUGAGGGUGUUAUCCUGAGUCCUGACAGUAUUGCAUUCAUAUUGAUAGUGAAACGAACUAACUAGAUACUUUUUAUUUCAUUUGUCACAUACUGAUUUAACUAGAAAGUAGCAUUGCGUUGCAUAUGCAUUUUUAGUGAAAUUAUUACUUAUAGGACUGCUUGGAUGUCAAGUAUAUUUUGGUUUCGUAUGGUUUCUAUAAUAUGUCAUAGCAUAAAAACUUUUAGGUGUUGGUAUACAACUAACAGUGUACAAAUGUAGUAUUCCAACCACCAUGUUAUUUUGGAGUUUAUGAAGGAAACCCAUUAAACACCUCUUUUUCCUAAAAAGUAAACACGAGGCAUGCUACGAUUUCCCUUUCUCACCACAUGCGAAGUAUUUAGCAUUCCUGUCUAAUUUCAUGCAGUACUAUCAGUAAACACAUUCCUAAUGUGACUAAUCUGUAUUGCAUACAUUCAUUUUGGAUUGUUCACAGUAUUACUUUAGCCUUUUUUUAUCUCCAUAUAUAUAAAGUAUUGUUAUAAUUAGCCUACCCCAACUUGCUUGGGACUGAAAGGCUAUGUUGUUGUUGUUGUUGUUGUUGUUGUUAUUGUUAUAAUCAAAGCUAACUGCAUUCAAAUAGGCAAAUAGUAUGUAUGUAUGUAUCAUGCUUUAUUUAGUUUUCCUCUGUUGGAUAAUUAUACAGUGUAUAUGUUUAUAAAGGAAACAUACUAUACCAAAACCACCAAACGCAUUAUAGUUCUUUUAUAUACUGUAGAAAAUGGUGGUUUUCGCAAUUUAUGUUAUUUCAGUUCCCAUGUAUUAAAAAGAUGGUUUUCAAAAACUCUGCUUUGAAAUGUUCCUGACAUCAAAACACAUCCUUAUAGUAUUGAUUUCAUGCAUUUACAAAUGAUAAAAAUGGAUCUAGAAAGCAACAAAUUGCAAUGCACAUUGGUGUUGGAAUCGACCAUCUAACAGUGUUUAAUAAUUUUUUAAAACUAUCCAAGAAAAUUGCUUGCUGUUGCACCACAUGAUUUAAACCCUCCGUUUAUGCUUGGCUCAUACGUUGUUAGGUUUACAAAAGAAACAUCUUUCUCUCAGUGUUUGGAUUCAUUAUAAGUCAGGCAGCAGAAAGUCGUGAAGGUUUUGUUUUUUUUUUUCCGAUAACUGCAGCUUAUAGAUGAACUGUAUUGGCAUUGCCAGGAAGGAUAUGAUUGAAAGAGUUGGAGACUCUACUGCAGUAAUUUGCAUUGCCUUGUCAUAUGCUUGAUAUUAAUAGUUCUUUAAGUGACAUGCAGCCCCACCCCCACCAAAUGAUAUGACAGUGAAGCAAGUUGCUGACAAAUUGGCAAGUUUUGUUGCAAAAAAUGGGAGACAAUUUGAGAAUAUCACACGGCAGAGGAAUCCUGGAGAUACACCAUUCAAGUACGACUGCACUACUUAUUUUUCUGAUAAACUCUGUUUUACUUUUAAAUUCUAAAAUCUGACUUUAAUAAAUUAUUGAUAUAAAUCUUGGGUUAUUUGCAGAUUUCUAUUUGACAAACACUGUCCAGACUACAAAUAUUAUGAGUUUCAGCUUGCUGAAGAGGAAAAGGCUCUUGGUCAGUCAAAGGAUGCUGAAGCAUCAAAAAAUGGUUUGUGGCACAAUUUUUUUAAUCAUUUUCUAUAUCUAAAAAUUCUAUAAAAGUCUUGAUGCUAUAUACUCUUGUUAAUGUAGCUAGUUCUAGCACUGCAAGCUUCAAAGCACCAAGUGGUCUGUAUAAAAGCUCAUUUGAACAAAAGUCCAACUAUCAGACACCUGCAUCAGCUUUGUAUGGGGCAUAUGAGGGUAGUUCUUCCCAAGGAAGCUCAUCUAGUUAUGGUAAAAUAUACAUACAUGGUUUCCUUUAUCAAAUGUUAUAUAUCUACAUUCUCUAUGUUCCUGGACUGUUCUCCUGUUUACAUUUGUUUGAGUUUGCAUUUUGCAAGUCAUCCAAAUCAGGCACUUCUAUUGCCUUAGUAUCUUAUUGUUAUUUCUGAUGUCUUGAAUAUUAUGUUUCAUCCUUGUAGCUUCAAUGAAUAGAUAUAUUGUAGGGUUUCUGUUGUGAACCAUUAAAACCCUACUGCCUGUCAUCUCCCUGAUCUAUAGUUUGCUUUAGGAGUAAAAACCAUUGCUUCCUAUCUUGAACUGUUUCUUGUUAUUAUAUGUGCUUAAUGCUAGUUCAUCAUUUUGCAGGUGAUCACAAUACAUCUGCACCGUCAGAUCCUGUAGCUUUGAUGGAAUUCUAUGCGAAAAAGGCUGCACAGGAAGAACGGAAGAGGCCACUAAGACAGUCAAAAGAUGAAAUGCCGCCACCUCCUUCUCUUCAAGGUACAUUUUUUGCAACAUGAUUUGCCGUACUGGAAGAACAUAAAAACUUCAAUAUUUGUUCUACAACUAAUUCUUGUUUUGCAGGUCCUCCUAAGAAGGGACACCACAUGGGUGACUUCAUUCCUCAAGAAGAACUUGAAAAGUUCAUGGCACGCUGUAAUGAUGCUGAAGCACAAAAGGCUACGAAAGAAGCUGCCGAGAAGGCUAAGAUUCAGGCAGACAAUAUUGGCCACAAACUUCUAUCUAAGAUGGGUUGGAGGGAAGGUCAGUCAUUGAUGAAUACUAAAUAACAUAGUCACCAUUACAGUAAUUCUCUGAUCAAACCCUGUCAGAUCUUUUUUCAAAGUCCCAGAUGUUUAUGGCAACAGUACAUCAACCCCUCUGACCUUGACCGUCAUAUUAAUCCAACAAACCUUCAAAUAUUGUCAAAGUAUGCUGUUAACAAAGCCUUCCAUCCCAAAUACCAGAUAUAAGAACUAUUUACAAUGGAUCCUUUUUCCUCAGCAUUGUCCUGCAUGCAUUAAUUCUCAAUAUCCCUACCCGGUGGAACCUUUUUUGUCAGGCACAUAGGAAGGCAAUUAGCGAUAAUAUGCACCAUUCCACUUCCAGGUGUUAAAUAUAAUUUACUGUGCAGGUGAGGGUCUUGGUAGUGAGAGAAGAGGCCGUGCGGAUCCCAUUAUGGCUGGAGAUGUGAAGAAGGAUCAUCUUGGUGUUGGUGCUGUCAAGCCUGGUGAGGUCACAUCUGAAGAUGACAUCUACGAGCAAUACAAGAAGAGAAUGAUGCUUGGAUACCGCUAUAGGCCAAACCCUCUGGUAUAUUUGCUGCCAUUGUCUACUUCCAGGAGUUGUAUGUUAUUUCUGUUUGCCUAAACACUUCUGCUAUUUUUGCAGAACAAUCCAAGGAAACAAUAUUACUGAUACAGGUUAGUUCAUCUAAGAUGUAAGACACCAAUUUUGCUGUAUUUUUGCUCACAUAACUAACAGCUAGGGAGUAUGACUAACAGCAUUGAAAGUUUUUGUUCAUCAGCAGAAAAACUAAGAAGCUCAUUUAGUCAGCAUAUAUCUUGGAAUGCCACAGAUCUGAGGCUUACGGGGGGUUCAACCGUAGCUUUGUUCUUUGUGUAGUGUUGAUCUUUGUUGCUUUAAAUUCACUUCCAUGGUGAUGUGUUGAAACGUGGAGCAUAGUUUCAUAAUGUGAUGUAUUGCCUUCUUGGAUGACAACAUAUCUUUCCUGAUUAUUCAUCUUUUUGUUGGGAUUUAUUGCCGCAAUAUCAUAUUUCCAUACUGGGAGGCAUAAUCUAAAAGUCUGUUGCAAUGGUUCUAUUUUAUUCUGGAUUCUGGAAUUUGAAUAGCUAUGUGGAACGUGAGUGUCGGUACGGAAGCUAUUACUUACUGGCAGCAUAUAACUUGGCGUUAUUUCUGUAGGAGUUAAAAUUCUGUUAUGCUCUCUGCCACUCUGAUGUGCUGAAUUAAUAGGUUACUUUGAUUGUGAUCUAAGCGCUUAUGGCCUGUUGGGCUAAUCUCAGUACACGGUUUUAUUGCAUAGUUACUUAGAUUGAAAAUUAGGUAAUAGUGCUAGAUGAGUAUUAUGGGGAUUAAACUCAUUUCUUGUUUGAUGAAACUAUCUUUAUUAAUUACCUUGCCAAGUUAGCAAUUUUGGUGUGGCAUGAACUCUCGUGAAACAGACUGACCUUACUGUUAUGCUCUCUGCCUCUCGGUCUCGGAUGUGCUGCAUUAAUGGGUGACGUUGAUUGGAAACCACAGUAAGGGAGACAUAAAUUUAUAUUUUAGGAAAAUAUCGUAAAGUUUGCACAAGCGUAUCUAUUACUCUAUAUUAAUGUUGCUAGACUAGACGAAAUCUCAGAGGCUGAGCUACUGUUCACCGACGCUGGUACGUGGGUCCGAAAUCCAAUCAGUUAUGAAAAAAAAAAAAGAAAGAAGAAGAUUCGAGAGUCCACAGGUCUCGGUCCUCCACGACCACGAAGAAUCGGCGAACUCCAUUUGCCUAGCCGCACCUAUCGCCGUUGGUCCGCUCCGCACGCUGGGGCCGCCGGCUCGCUCCGGCGCCCGCUCCCUCGACCGGCGGAUCGCACCGCCGCCCGCUCGAGCAGCCGCAUGCGCCGCCCGGUGGGAAUGUGAGAGCACAUCAGCAACCACCGGCGGCCGUCAACACCACUUGAAUCUUGGCAUGGAGAGAGAGAGAGAGAACAGAGCUGUGCAGCGCAAAAGUCUGGACAACCAACCGAAUCAGGCCACCGGCGUCGGCUCUGCCAUUGCUUCCACUGAUAGACUUCCAGGGCAGUCUGCCACCGUGGCCUCUCACUACCCUCUCUAGAGCAACCAGCAGCGGUGGCUCCGCGCUCACCGAGCCCAAAAAUGAUGGCCUUCUAGCUGCAGGCAAGACCUCAAUCCGCAGGAAUCAAAUUCACUCUCCAAGUCUUUGUAGCUUUUGUGGAUGGAUGGGGGAGAGAGAGACAGAACAAUACGAGAGGCAGGAGAUUGCCAUGGGGAUGACCGGAUGACUAGAUGAAGAGAUAAAGGGCACAGUGCACUUAAAAAAGAGAGAGAAUAGGCCUUUUAGACGCUUUCCUCACUGCCUUUUUACAAAACAGGAGGGAAUCCCUUACUAAUUACUAUAUUAAGCAAAACAAAGAGAAAGUAUGUACAAAAGAAAAGAUAUUUAGAGAAUGAAAGAAAAAUUACAGCAGAGUAUGCAACCGUCGUACUUCAAUGGGAAAAUAGGAUUUCUUUGCUAAAUAAUGAUUCAGAGCAAAUAAAUGCAUAAAAAUCUCUUUCAUCUAGAGGAACGGCAUGAAUUUGAAUUCUGGUUUCAUUCUGAUUUGUUUCCUAAUUUUGUUCAAUACUCAAUACUAUAACAUAUACUUAUAGCAAAGUAGAGAGAUUACAUAUGUAACUCUUUCCGUUAUUGCUUUGAGUUAAUAUUUUUGUACAGGCGCGCAUCGCGCGCCAAUCUAUCUAGUAAAUUUCAUGGCACUUGGUGAGAUACGAAAGUUGACAAGUAGGGCCCAUUCUUGCCCCCCUUGUCUCACCAUCUCGUAUCUCGCGGGUGGCUCACUUGAACUACCAUGUGCUGGGCACCUGAAGCUGAAAUGCUGAAAGCGAAGCGCCCGCCGCCCGCAGCGAUCAGAGCGCCGGUACAGGAAUCUCUCACGCAGUCACGCUGCUGAUCGCCUCCCUCCCCAGUCCUCACUGAUUGCGCUUUGCCUCUGGCCCGGCCGGGGCCCCGGGCCUCAUGCAUGUCCAGUCACGCCCACCAAACGGAACGCAGCCAUCUUUUUGUAAUAAGCACCAAGUUGGCGGCGUUAACAAUGCGGGAUAAUCCGCUGGAUCAUCAUCGGGGACGCUGGCCUGGUUUGAUGACCUGGACGAAUAUCAUCGAGCUACCAAUCUUGGAAGAGAAGUCUGGAGGCGCAUGCUGUCGGGUGUCAGCCUGUCUCCACCGCUGGCCGCCUCGCUGUCAGCUGUACUGCACUGCACCCGGUCACUCAUUCACUGGCCGGUAGGCAAGCUUGAAGCUCAAGUAGCCGCCAUAAGCCUCCAUUGAGUACUCCUGCUGCCCAGGCCUCCAGAUUCGUGGAGUGAUGGUAGUUAACAGGUUACUUCUGGUAGGAAAUCGAAACCAUUCAGGACCAACGCCUGUCCGCUGGCGACAACGAAAAGCCGUUAUGGCGAGCGAUCGAUCCUGGUCUGGUUACAGUAUAAGCGCGCCUGAUUCUGAUGACAGUAGAGCGUCCCAUUCCACCCGUCGUCGGUCUGACUGCUCCUGAACGUUGUCGUUCCACCGGCCCCGAGAUCAUUCCCGGCUGCCUCGCAGCUGUGCGCGCGCUGGCGACCGCCUACCGGCCGCCAUGAUACGAGCCGCGCCGCGGACGUCUCGUGGCGGCCGGUGGAGACUGGAGAGGUGACCUCGAGACAUACCAAUCCAGGAGGCCGCGGUGGUUGGCCACUCGCGAUCCGACCCGCGCGGGUCCCCCCGUGAAGUUCCCCCUUCGAGAUCGCGAGCCAAAAAUAUCGCAUCCCCGGCCGGCCGGCCCAGCUCCAACCUCCAACAGGAAGCAAAAAAAAAAUCAACGGGCUUGUGGCGGUCGCGGUCUCGGGGAUCCGUCGGCCGGAGCGGCCGAACGAUCGCGUGUGGCGGCACGCCGCGCCGGGGACAUGAGGCGUCGGGCCGCGUGGAAGUGGAGGCGUGCGUGCUCAUAAAUGAGCACGCCUAGAAGCGGCCAGGAGUCCAGGACGGCGUGGUCGUCGUGUCACGGGCACUGCGCGCACGCCAGUGCCGUCCAUCACGUACCGUCGGCCGUGCGUUCUCUUUGCAGCGGCACAGUUUGGACACCGGAGGAAGUACGUGACAGGAUUUGGCAUGCGACCACUCGCACCGUACUUUGCAAAAAAAGAUCAAGUAGCGUGGCGCAUUUCGGUUCCAGGCUUGGAUUACUCGCCGAGAUAGGCCGGGUGACAAGAUUAGGCUAGCUAGGGUAUGAAUGAGUGGUCGCAUUUUUCACUUAUGGGUUUUUUAGAUCGCUUCCAGUUCAAAUUAUUCGUGAACCGAUCUAUGGACCGUCGAGAAGUUCAAACUGGAUUCCCAAGUAUUCGAAUCCAAAUCUCGGCGUGGCCGUGACCGUGACCAAACAGCCCAAGUGGGCGAGCUGCUGCUGCUGACCCGGCCGCGCAACCGCCUCCACAUGACCCAGCUCAUCUCAGGCUCUCCGCGGCUGGCACCCCACGUGCCGGCGCUGGCCUGACACCUUGGCGCAUGGGCGCGGCGCCCACCCGGCCAGCUCCGGUUGGGUACACCCGGUCCUUGCUUGACGGUGGAACAAAAACACGGCCGGCCCGGCAGCGUACGCGCUGCUGAUAAAAAGGCUAGCGGCCGGGUAAAUUGUCGCGGCAUUUUGUCGGGUUAGAUCGGUUGAUGGACCCCUGGUGACCUAGCGUCAUAGCUCGUCAUUUAGACAUAGGAAAAGAAGAUCUUCAUAGAAGAAUGUGUUAAAAAAAAGGGAAAAACUCCAUCCUUUUUAUCAGCCGCUUGGAAGCGUGCUACGACAAAUAAAAAAGGAUGGCAAGCGACAGAUAAAAAGGGACGGAGAGAGUAUAUGGUAACAGAGAUGCAUGCUGUUAUGUUUAUUUUGCUACACUAUACCUAUCAAGAUCUUUAUGACAUUUUCGGAGUAAUAAAUGUAACCCUUAUUUUCCAGCUACCAGGUGACUCCUAAAUUUCGAACACAUAUUGUUAUAUUGUUGUACAAGGUUCAUUUUGCUCUUAUGAACCUACAUUGCAAAUUACAAUAGGGAUUUAUGUGUGAUUGUAUGACUUACGGACACAUGCACCAAAGAUUAUUCGAGCCAGUGAUGACCGAACUCACUUGGAUGAGAUGCAAGGGGAAAGAUGAAGUUAUGUUUUGGGGAUUACACCAAGUGUCAUUGUACGGACGAUGUAAACGGCUCCGUGCAGUUUUUUUUUUCUUUGGCACAAAGGCAUCAUCUUGUCAUAGAUAAAAUAAGUGUUUGUUUAAUUCAAGGGUAUGCAGCCUCAACAUUUACCUUGGUUCGUAAGGAUUUUGAUUCAGUUCCAUUCCUGUGAAUGCUUCUUUUUGUUCGAAAAAUUAAAAUGCAGAUAUCGUGCUUAGGAAGAAUACCGGACGGCUGGCAGUAACAAAUCAUACAGUAUUUGCCUUCUAUAAAGGCAGCUGGAGACUGUUCUCCGAAAUAAAUCAUAGCAACUUAGGAGUGUUUGAUACGAGGCGCUAAACUUCAGCAGGUCAUAUCGGAUGUUCGGAUACUAAUUAUAAAAGUCAACACGAGCUAAUUACAAAACUAAUUGCACAGAUGGAGUCUAAUUCGCAAGACGAAUCUAUUAAGGGGCUGUUUGGAUACGAGGUGCUAAACUUUAACAGUGUCACGUCGGAUGUUCGGAUGCUAAUUAGGAGGACUAAACAUGAGCUAAUUGUAAAACUAAUUGCAGAACCCUGUGCUAAUUCGCUAGACGAAUCUAUUAAGCCUAAUUAAUCCAUCAUUAGCAAAUGGUUACUGUAGCACCAUAUUGUCAAAUCAGGGACUAAUUAGGUUUAGUAGAUUCGUCUCGCGAAUUAUACUCCAUCUGUGCAAUUACUUUUUUAAUUAGUCUAUGUUUAAUACUCCUAAUUAGUAUCCAAACAUCCGAUGUGACAGGUGUUAAACUUUAACAGGGCGUUCCCAAACACCCCCCUAAAGCUAAUUAAUCCAUCGUUAACAAAUAGUUAUUGUAGCACAACAUUGUCAAAUCAUGGACUAAUUAGGCUUAAUAGAUUCAUCUCGCGAAUUAGACUCCAUCUGUACAAUUAAUUUUAUAAUUAGACUAUAUUUAAUACCUCCAAUUAGUAUCAAAUAUUCGAUGUGACAUGUGCUAAAGUUUAGUAGGGUAUCAAACACCCCUUCUCUCCUUUCCUCUUGGUAUGUUUAGCAGUUACCCCUGGCUCUUGGCAUCCGUUUCGUCGACGUGCCAUGGUUUAACGGACGGGACGGGGACGGCCGGCUCACGUGAACAACGCCCACGAGGCCGCGCUGGCUCUUGUAAAAGCAACCGCUCCCUCCCUAGACGCUAGUGCCUCUUUCCUCUCUCCUCCGCCCCUUUUUAUCGCCCGAUCUCACACAUUUUGGAAAGAGGAGAGAGAGAACGCCCAGCCAAACAGCCAAGGAAACAAACCGCGGCGAGAGGCGGAGGAGAGGGAGGAAGGAGGGCAGAGGACGAGCAAGAUGAGAGAGAUCAUCAGCAUCCACAUCGGCCAGGCCGGGAUCCAGGUCGGAAACGCCUGCUGGGAGCUCUACUGCCUGGAGCACGGCAUCGAGGCCGAUGGCACCAUGCCCAGGUGAGUGACGAUCUCGAUCCGCGAGUGCGUUGCUUUUGGUUCCCCAAAUUUUUUGCUGCGUGCAUCCGCCUCGCGAUCUAGGUUCUCGGCUUGGGCCGCCUCGAAAAUCUGGCGGGCUCGUUGCAUCUCGUUGUUUCCUUCUUCUCGAGAAAUCCUUGCUUCGGCGGAGCCAACGAUGGGCGGGCGGGUGGGUGUGUUAGAUUGGAUGGUACUGUCAUGGCAGUUCCGUGUUCGUGUCUUCCUUUUCGUUCUACUUCUCGUUGCUCCUUGGCUCCUUGUAAUGGGUUUUUUUGGGUGGGAUAUGUUGCGCUUUGUUGGGCGUUGGUACAUUUCUUUGCCGGUUGUUGAGAGAUUCCCAGCACCGGACGAGAUGCGACAUUUCCUAAUUAAGAGUCUGCCCUAGCAUUUUCGGACUAUUAGGCCUUUAAUUUGGUGCGUUUGUUCUGUUCCUACUAAUUAGGCAGGCGUCACAGAGGGGAUGCGUUUGGCUUUUGUAUAGAGGAGCGCACGUUAACAUGUCGUGGGACAAAUUGGGUUUCCAACUCCGUAAGACGCAAGAUCUGAAGAGUUGAAUCUGUGGGGAUGCUCAAUAAAUAAUGUAACUGGUUAGCUCUGGUGGAUGUCAGACCAUGGAUCUCCCUAGAUUCAAAAUAUCUGGUCCAUUGUUAAAAGUGCUAUGCUUAUCUCAGUUUUGCGUAAUCUUGUAGCGCCAUAGAAAAUUGUGCUGAUGCUACUGAGAAUAGAAAUCAUGUUGGGGAUCCUGAGGAGGCAGGUUACGUAGGCUCUAAUUUAUCUUUUGGCGCAUAUGCCAAUGACUCUUGAUUGCAUUAACUGAGUUAACUGAUUUAUAAGUUCUUACUGUGCGGUUUUUUUAACGCUGUAUUGUUUGAUUGUGAUGCAGUGAUACCUCGGUUGGCGUCGCACAUGAUGCCUUCAACACUUUCUUCAGCGAGACUGGUUCUGGCAAGCAUGUGCCGAGGGCCAUCUUUGUCGACCUUGAGCCCACUGUCAUUGAUGAGGUGCGCACUGGCUCAUACCGCCAGCUCUUCCACCCAGAGCAGCUCAUCUCCGGGAAGGAGGAUGCGGCUAACAACUUUGCCCGUGGCCACUACACCGGUAAUUCACAUUGUGCCUUUGUGAAUAUGUAAUAGGAGUGAGUCUUGUGCUUCUGCGACUGCGGAUAUGUUCGAUUCUAAUUAUGUUUGUGGAAUGCAGUCGGAAAGGAGAUUGUCGAUCUAUGCCUGGAUCGCGUGCGCAAGCUGGCAGACAAUUGCACUGGGCUGCAGGGAUUCUUGGUGUUCAAUGCUGUUGGUGGUGGUACUGGCUCUGGACUUGGUUCACUGCUGCUGGAGCGCCUCUCAGUUGAUUACGGCAAGAAGUCCAAGCUUGGGUUCACCAUUUAUCCUUCCCCACAGGUAUGGCCUUUCCAAGAGGAGGUUGACUUAAGUAUCUGAGAAAUUGAUAAAAUCAAGUAGGUCUUGAAUCUCUAUUGGGCAAUUUGCUUAGGCUUGUAUAUAAUUAAUAUCCUUGCGAACCCACGCUAAGAUAUGGAUCAUGUAACUUGGCAGCGCUGUUAUUGCCUUCUGAAUUGCACAGAUACACUGGUUAUUGGAUCAGCCUAGCAUUAAUUAAAUCAUGUGUGGACUAAACGAGCAACUGUUGUAGACUUCUGGAGUUCUGGUUAGUGAGGAUCUUCCUUUAUAUGGUUAAGACCAUGAUAGCACAACUGUCACAGGCUACAGGCUUUCUUUAUUAGUGUCCCUAUAAAUCAUGCACUGCACAUGAGCCAACAUUAUCCUAUAGUGCUUCUCCCUCCUGUCCAUUUGAUUGUGGGCCAUUUAGUUUGUUCAUGUGAGUCUGCAUCUUAGCUGUUGUGGGGGACAGUGGGUAGAGAUGUUGUUUAAUGAUUUUGGGUAUGGUCCAUCGUUUAACUUUUCAUCUAAUGCCACUCUGGAUUGCAGGUGUCAACAGCUGUCGUAGAGCCAUACAACAGUGUCCUCUCUACCCACUCCUUGCUUGAGCACACAGAUGUUGCAGUCCUCCUGGACAACGAGGCUAUCUAUGACAUAUGCCGGAGGUCCCUUGACAUUGAAAGGCCAACCUACACCAACUUGAACAGGCUGAUCUCACAGAUCAUAUCUUCGCUUACCACCUCCCUGAGGUUUGAUGGUGCUAUCAACGUGGAUGUUACUGAGUUCCAGACCAACCUUGUUCCAUACCCACGUAUCCAUUUCAUGCUUUCAUCAUAUGCCCCUGUAAUCUCUGCCGAGAAGGCCUACCAUGAGCAGCUCUCUGUGCCUGAAAUCACCAAUGCUGUCUUUGAGCCCUCAAGCAUGAUGGCCAAGUGUGACCCAAGGCAUGGGAAGUACAUGGCUUGCUGCUUGAUGUACCGUGGUGAUGUUGUUCCCAAGGAUGUCAAUGCUGCAGUUGCAACCAUCAAGACCAAGAGAACUGUCCAGUUUGUGGACUGGUAAGCUGUCUCCGUCACAAUUUUAGUUAGUUGCACUUAUUUGAUGAUGUCACAAGCACCUGUCCACUUGAUUGGCCAUGCUAACUAACCAAACUGUGGUGCCGCCAUACAGGUGCCCCACUGGGUUCAAGUGUGGUAUCAACUACCAGCCACCAUCUGUUGUCCCUGGAGGCGACCUGGCAAAGGUCCAGCGUGCAGUGUGCAUGAUCAGCAACAACACUGCCGUCGCUGAGGUGUUCUCACGCAUUGACCACAAGUUCGACCUGAUGUACGCCAAGCGCGCCUUCGUGCACUGGUACGUCGGUGAGGGUAUGGAGGAAGGCGAGUUCUCGGAGGCCCGUGAGGACUUGGCCGCGCUCGAGAAGGACUACGAGGAGGUCGGCGCAGAGGGCGCGGACGACGAAGGUGACGAUGGAGAAGACUAUUGAGUAGCUGGUUAAUAAGUAGUUCGCUGGUGGUUAAUGGUUGGGUUGUUGGGUAUACUCUGUAUGGUUCCAUUCCAUUGCGUACUGCUGCCGUGUGUGUUUCCAUUUUGUAUUAUGUGGUAUAAAUUGUUCGUAGCGCCUGGUUGGCCAUGAUUGUUCAUAUCGUCUUGCUUUGGUUUGCAAUGCUAUUCGACGAAUUUCGGUGUAUAUCAGUAUAUGGCAUUCUGUUGCAAGUGUUCUGUGCUCUCAACCAUUGGGGAGUAGUUUGAUCUGCCCCGCGGCGUGUUGUCAGGUGGAUAUCAACCAAUGCAGGAUAUGGUUUGCAGGUUGCUCAUAGAUGCCUGAUGCUACGAUCACUGACCAUCAGUCACCAAUGCAUUUGAGGUGGGCAUGGUGUGUCUGAGCUGCUUGAGCCAUACGCACAGGGUAUGAUGGCAUGUGGAGAUCGCCGUGCACGUCUGGCACAUCCGGCAAGCGCUGGUCGCGCACAUUCCCCCGGUUUGUCCAGACUUGGUGUCGCGACUCGCGAUGCAAGAGGGAUGAUAGGUGAGACAGCUUGGAAAGUGUUUAGAUCUGUGCACGAGAGCCCCGCGACCUGGUGCCAGUCGAUGUGGGUUGGUUGGUUUGGCAUCUGGUAGGUUUGGUGGCCUCAUGACGCUUUAACUUGGGAUGUCUCGUUCAGGAUCUCAGAAUUAUGAUGUGUCGAAGAAGCAUAAGGCCGGGUAAAAGUUGGAACUCACCCGACGAGCGUGAGUGCGUGACCCUGGAGUUUCAUUAUCGAAAAAAUUAUCUGGCGGACUUCCUGACCCGCCAUGGAUUCAGGCCAGGUAGGCAGCAUCAUUGAAGUACUACCAUCUGGAGCAAGAGUCGGUAGGUUUUCUGCAGAUCAGCAGAUGUGCGUCCCAGUAGCUAUGACUCCACUGGAGCAGAAGCAAAUUGAGCCCAACCCGGCAGCCCCAAGAAAAAAAAUUUGGGCUGGGAAAUUGGGUUGCCGGCAAGGCCUUGUUGCGUGACCAGACUCCGGUCCAAAGAGGUGGCAUUACAAUCACCUCCAAAUAACGUAGCUUAGCUGCUCUCCAAAAAAAAAAAAAAAAUAACGUAGCUUAGCUAGCUUGCUGACUGACGAUGCCAUGGUUACAAAAGAUGCCAUGGUUUGAUUUGAUGACAACAAUGGAGCCGUUGCCGAAGAUGGAUCCACUCGAGCGAGGGCACAGGCCGCCACUCAGUUUUUCUAAUUUCAAUGGACUUAAAGCUUAUCUAGUAAAGUUAUAAAGGCACACAUAUUAAAAUGCCGUCACUCAUUUUUUUCCAACUAGAUCCGCCAGCUAUGGUGUCACGGAGGAAUUGCCACAAAGACGAACAUCCAAUGUGUUGGGGGUUGUCGGAUGGGAGAGAAUUUCCCGCAUAUUAUUGGAUGCAUGGACAGAAGUUCCCACCGUUGCGUGAGUGCUGACACUACGAAAACUGACACCGCCCAUGCAGCAACUUGCAUUGCGUUGGUUAGAGCAACUGUUCCGUUCGUUGCCAUUUUGUUCCCUCCUCCGGCCUGUUUAAACUAGCAAAGCAUAAGUAGCCAGGGGGGAUCAACUGCAUCUGCCGCCUGCCGAUAACACGGCCGAGUCACUCACAUGGAGGAGUUCUGAUGCUUUUGCCCACCCUGCUGAUUCCUGAUCCCUGAAUAUUAUCGCGUGUCCAGGAGUUCCGGGACCCAUUGCUCACCUGCUCCGCUAAAAAAAAGUUGCAAAAAAAAAUAAAAUAAAUGGCUCUCCCCUCCUUGUCCUCGCAUUCCCGUUUGUUUCUGCCGCUGUCGCGAGCGCUCAGCACAAACUUUCUCUGCUCAGCUCUCGUGCAGGCUGGAGUUGAAGUGCUGAACCAUCGUCCGCGAGCUGCAACCGAGCCAAAAACCAGGAUCGAUGGGAUCGGACUCCGUUGGACGGGCUCGAUUGGAAGUGAAAGGUGAUUGGGGGGGCCCGCGACGACAAAAGCUUGGUAAAUGUGCCGACACCUGGCAGCGCGGCGGCAUGUUUGGCUCAAAUUUGAGCGCUCCAACCCCAACAAGGCAGGCUCGGGCUUAUAUAACCUUGGGCCCCAGAGAACGCGCCAUAACCUGCAUUGAUCGUGCACCAAUCCUCGAGGGAAGUUCGUUUAGCGAGUUCUUGGAUUUCCCCGUUGGAGGGACAUAUCCAAAUCUUAAUUUUUUUUACGGGAACGCCAGGGAAGGCCCUACCCUAUUUUUGUUAUAUAUAAAAAGCAAUAUGUACAGUCUACAAGGCUUCAGGCUCAAGGUAAAAAAGAGAGAGUUCACAAGAGGCUACUCAGCCAAAUAUUAAUCUUCUGACUAAUGGAAGGUUUUGCCCUAAGGCCCCGUUUGGGUUCAAGGAAUUGGAAUCUAUUUAAUGGAGUAGGCUAAUUUAUGUUGGAAUGUGGCAUUCCACAACUUUCCAAAGUUUAGAUAUAAGCCUAUCUUAAAUUUAUGGGGUGGGAGAUGGAAAUUGAUUCUAUAGAUUAUGGUUAUUAGAUGGAAUUCAAUUCUUAUAGCACGCUCUUAGACUCGCUUCUCUACAGUAGAACUGCAGCAUACAAGUAUCUCUCCCAUAUCACCAACUAUAAUAUACAACUAUAUUCCACAUACAAUUAUAUUAACUUAAUUAAUUUGUGUCUAAAUUAUGAUUAUUAGGAUGGAAUUCAAUUCCAAUGAUCCAAACGGGGCCUAAGGGUAAACCUUUUCUAGCUCCGCUACAAAAACAAGCUCUCCAGCAGCUGAAUGAUAGAGUACCACCAUCAAAGAUUAUGCUGUUCCUGUGACACCAUAAGGCCCAUGACGCAAUUAUCACAAUCUCCCUAAAAAAAUACUGGAUGCAAACCUCUCCCGUGCUCUGUCAAGAGGUUGGAGGCUGAGGUCCCAUUGAAUGUCCAAAUACAGCGAACAGGCCUGGCUGAAAAGGACAGUAAAAGAAUAAGUGACUGAUUGUCUCCUCUACAUUCUCAAUGCACAAAACACAGUUGUAGCUAUCCAAGUACAUGUUCCUUCCAUGUAGGAGGUUUCUGAUGUUAAGCUUAUCACGAAGGAGGAGCCAGAAGAAGAACUUGUGUUUGUUUUGAACCCUAGACUUCCACAUCUAUUUGAAGAGAGGGGAGGCCCGUAUAGAACCCUGGAGGCUUUUGUAAGCUGUUUUGCUUGUAAAGACUGCAGAUCCCCAAAUAUAAGUCCAGACAUCAUUUUGCAAAUCCCCCAUGUGCAAUUGGUCUAAAAGCUGCUGAAGUUCAGUCAGUUGGGCAGCAGCAAUCUGAGCUAUUGUCGGAGGCGAUAAACUUUCUGACCGAAAUAGAAUUUCUCUUUGAGAAAGAGGAAAGCUGCGGAAAUCUCCAUUUGAGCACACCUAAGUCUUAGAGAUCAUUCCAGAAGGCAACUGAGUUUCCUUUCUGAGCAUUGCAAGUAGCUAUCAUGGAGAGGUUUUGCGCCAGAGAUAUGAUGUCCUUCCACCAAAAGGAUCCAACAUUCUGCCUUUCAAGGGGGAGUACCAUUCUUAUACAACCACUGCCAUGUGAGAUGCACCCAGGGUAUGUCCACUUUAUUAUAAAAUUUGUGAAGAAAUUUGAGGAGAAGCGUAGUGUUGUCAGUCCUUACUCCUUAGGUUGAUAAUGCCAAGACCACCAUCUUCUUUGCUCCUGCAAGCAUGCUCCAAGCCACCAAGCAACCACCCUUUUUGUCAGAUCACCACCAUUCCAGAGGACAUGUUUGUAGUACUUGUCAAUUUUGUCCAAGAUUUCCACAGGUAUCUUUAGAGCACACAUGUAGAAGGUGAGCAUAACUGAGUAUAUAGAAUUUACAAGAAUUAACCUACCAGCAUAAGAUAGCAUCCUUGAUGUACCCAUGAGGUGCUUUUCCAUACGUUCAAGGAUAGGCAUGAAAUCCACUACCGAUGUCCGAGUGGUUCCAAGAGGAAGACCGAGAUAAGUGAAGAGCAUGCUUCCAAGCUUACAACCUAAGGUUUCUGUUAACUCUGGCCAUUAUUUUGAUUCCUCCACAUUAAUGGGUACCAGGAUAGAUUUGUGGAAAUUUACCUUGAGACCAGUGGAAGUGGCAAACGUAUGAACUUUUUUGUAUAUAAGAUUCAAAUCUUAACUUUGAAAUACCAAUCUCAUUUGAUUAGUUUUGGACGAAAAAAUCAUACUACUUCGACCUUCUUUAGCAAGGCUCUACUUGGCUUUGGCUCCAGCUCUUUGCUACAGUGAUCGAUACUGUGCAACACCAUUUUGAGCUGUAGCGUGAAACCAAAACGCAAAACGAGGAGUAAAAUGGACUAAGGAGAAGAUAAAGUCGGUGAAGCAAGUUUAUUGGACUUCACCGGCUUCAUGCUACAGUGAUGAACAAUACAUGAAAAGUGCUAGAGCUGUAACCGAAGCCACGCCAAAUGCACCCUUAGAAUCUUAGCGUACAGGUAAUCUGACGAGAAACUGAUCCCUCGUCUACAGCCACAAGGCAAUCAGCUAAAUGCCUGUGAAAAUUGGCAAGUUUUGAGCAACACAUAUCCAUUGAAAUGGGAUAGAAAUUGAAAUAUAAACUCCAUUCCGCUUAUAUACCAGUGAUGACUGACGACUACCUCUUCUCCACACUCCAUUUUUAUGUACUUAAAAAAAUUGAAUGGAGGUUCUUCAAAAAGAAAUUGAAAUGCAGAAAAGAAUUUGAAUGAAGAAGUCUCAGACGAAAAUUUCUUUUUUUUUAGACGAAAAGUUUCUGCUACCGAAAAUCUUCAGAAAAUUCGAGUGCCGGAAAUUUGCGCAAGAUUUGAGCAACACUGGCGAUCUAAUCGACCGUCCUGAUCAAAUGUUCGUGGAAAAGGGAAGAAAUAAAAAUUUCUUCACCUAGAGAUAUUAGAUCCAGAGGAUCGAACUACACCGAAUUUAUCUCCACAAAGGGUACACCAAAAGAAUUGAAUUCCGAGAUCAGGUGCCAUUAUGCAGCUCAAGAAGAGAUACUACAUCCUGAAAAUUGGAAUGCACAAUGACUUGCUUUGCCACACGGCAAAAUUCGAAGCAUUUUCGCACAAAAAUGCAUCCACUGGCUACAACGAGUAGGAUCCUCGAUCUUCGUCUUCCUCUUUACACCGCGCACGCACACAUACACCUGACACCUGUUACUUCCCCGACAAUGGCCAACAUCCAGGAGGCGAAAGAGCAAGAACGACGACGCACGCACGCAGUUGAGGUGAGGCUAGCUACUAGCUCAGUGGCAGAGCGGCGAGAGAUCCCAGAGCGGGUCGCAGGCGGAGGCGUCGAGCACCCGGUCGAAAUACUCCUGCAGGCCGUUCAUGGCGUACAGCGACGCCGAGAUGCGCCGCUCCACCUUGAUCCGCUCGAACUCCGCCAUUUCGCCCGGCGCCGCGGUGGCGACCGGCUCCUCUUCCACGGGUGCGGCUGGGACGGCGGUGUCGACAGCGGCGAAGCUGUCCAGAGCCGGGAACUGGCCGAACGCCGAGUCGAACAUCCAAGAAUCGAACUCUUCGGCGCCCACGGCGGCGAACUCCGGCCGGUACACCUCACUGGCGUCCAGCGCGCCGCCGCCGCCAUUUAGCACGGCGUCGUCGCAGCUGACUGCGCUGCUGGAGCUGCUGCUGCUGCUGCUAGAGCCACCACAAGCACUAUUCGUGCUAUUACUAUUAUUAUUGCUAUUGCUAUUGCUAUUGCUAUUGCUCGUGGUGGGAGCAGGGGAGAUCGCCGCCUUCUUCUUCGAGACGGCGGCGGCGGCGGCCGAGGAGGAGCUCGCCGCGGCGGCCUUGGCCUUCUUGACCUUCUUGUGGUGGAGGAGGCCGCGGAUGCGGACGGCGAGCGGGCAGUCCGGGGAGAUGCGGGGCGCGAAGUUGGUGCGGGCUUCGUUGCCGCGGAGGAGGCGGGCGGCCUCGUCGUAGGCCUUGGCGGCGGCCUCGGCGGUCUCGAAGGUGCCGAGCCACAUGCGGAUCUUCUGCGUGGUGUCCUUGAUCUCGGCCACCCACCGCCCCGACGGCCGCUGCCGGACGCCGACGAACUUGCUGUGGUUGUUGCUGCCCUUCUUCCGGCCCCGCGGCUUGGACGGCUUGGCCUGCGCCGCCGCCUCCUGCUGGUAGUAGUAGUAGUAGUAGCUGCUGUAAUCCUCGAGCUGGAACCCUGAUGACUGCGGCUGGAAGUGGAGCUCCAUUGGAGGCUUUCUUGGUGUUCGAGCUGAUGGUUGGAGUGGUUGGAGGGGAGAGGAGGAAGACAGGUGUCGAUCUGCCGGGUGCUUGCUCUGCUUUGGUUUUGGUGGUGAGCAGCUGAGCACAAGGGGAGAGGAUUUAUAGAGGAUUUCAGGUCACUUGGCAAUGGAGCCCUGUGGGGUUACUGUCAUGGGCUGGUCAAAUGCUGGUCUGCCUAUGAUCAUGUGAAGUGAGUGUUUGGGGGAUAAGGCAUCUUGUUGGGUUCUUUUUGUCCUUUCAGUUUGUUUUUCGGCUUUGCCCUUAUGCAUUGUCACUGAGCAAACAAAGCUAAGCUGGUGUUCUUUCCAUGAUUAUUUUUUUAACUAAGUUUGUGCUAUUGCUGGAUCAACAAAUCGGUGAGCUUGCAGCCAUAGUGCAUCACCACUCACCACUAUUUGACCUUUUGGCAUUUUCUUUCAUUACUAUAUAUCAUAAGAAAGAUAAUCAUUUUACUUUUGACUCAGUACAGUGGAAAUUCCUUUUUCAAUGUCUCAAAGGGUUCAUGCCUGCAGGCUGCAGGCAGCAAGCACACUAGAGUUCAGCAAGUACAUGCUCCCCACUACAAUGCCAAGCACCGAGUAAAACUUGGAAGCAGGGGUCAGAGGGUCUACUUCAUCUAGUAACUUAAAUUACCAUGUCUACACCUGCAUGCAUUACCUUAACCGAAAUUUUUAGGACACUGAUUGGACUAGUUCUUCCAUAAUUCGCGGUUAUCCCUCUGGUCAAGCUACUUACAUGAGACCGGGUCCGAAUUGCACCAUAACCCGCCACAUGGCAGCAUUAGAGAGAAUGGCGACGAGCAAUUAGGAUACAAAGUAGAAACGGCUAAACAUCACCUUUUCAUCGACCACGCCCACUUGUGCUUUGUUUAUCUUGUUUCUUGACAAAAGCUGCUAUCAACCAAGUCUUUCUCGUCACUGGAUGAUGUACUCGUCCUUAGCUAGUUCAAUUUUGGGCGCCCAUGAGUUUUUGAAAGAAUCUUUGCACAGAUAGCAUAUGAAUAUCAUACAAAACAGCAGCCCGAAUUGUUUUCCGCAGUAAUAAAAUGCUUACUACCAAGCAUUAGUACUUCAACACAUCACAAAGAAAGUGUUACUUUGACAUGGACACGAGUGCCGGAAUCCGACUUCCGACUAGGGUUCGAUUCUUCGACUAGGAAAAACUUUAUUGAAAAUAGAUAAUGGUUAUUGUCUCUUCGGAGACGUCCAACAAAAUUACCGGGCGUAUGAAUGAGUACCGGAGUCCAACUCGGAUUUGUGAAUUGGCAUGGGAGUUGAGUAACACACACAAGAUUCUAGAUCCAGAUAUAUGAUAGCAGUUUUUCACUUUUUUGGAAGUUCCCUUUGACAUGGAAGUUGAGCUAACAGUUGACCACCCGUUCAGGCCUUCUUUUUGCAGAAUGAGCACUUGAGGAGUUCAAGGUAACAAUACGUCAAUAACUGGAGUGUUAGCGUUAUGAUUUUUACACUAGGAGACAAAUCUAAACCCUGAAGCAUCUUUGCUUUACCUUUGAGAAUAGCAACAAUUCUCUAGCCGGUUGAAACUGAAGCAAGCAUGAUGGCAAAGGCUUUCUUGAUCUCUCGGAACUAAAGAGACGGCACUGCUAGUUUAAUGAAACAGGUCUUCUCUUUGCAUACCACAAUGUACUGUUAGGAUUAACAAAGCUACAUUCCUUGGUAAGCAACGGGCAUAUUUUCCCUUCAUAACUUGAGAAAAGGUCAUCGUCAUGACUCAUGAACACGGACCCCUUCAACUCCAAAGGCUUGCCUACCUCACCUAUCAAAAAGGCAAACUUUGUCAAAUUGUGGCGCGUCAUUCCACCAAAUAAACUAUGUUCAGCUUGCUGAUUGAGCAAUAGGAUAGAGCACCCACAUUGGCCAUAGUUUUAUAGUCAGGAUGACUCCAAGAAGGCUAUGGCUCGUAACCUCUUGUUUCGUAGCAUGGCAGAUGCCCUGUUUGUCGCUGUCAAGGUGCAUUUCUUUGUCGAGCUCGGUGGGGCUACCUGCGCCAACAUGACAAGAGACCACUUUUUGGGCAGCAGCAAGGUCAAGAAAGAUGGCAUCUUGGCAUCGGUCCCGGGGGUUGGUUUCAGAUUUGUCUUUGUGUGAUGGAGCCGCCAUGGAGCAGGAGGAGAUGGACAUAUUCCAGCCGUGUUUUGGGAGGUAACCCUCUCGCGACCAAUUCUAGCUCAUUGCUGACGUCAAAACUUUUCGCAGCGAAGAUUAUCUGAAAGCUACCUUUGGAAUUUUUUUGCCAUUGAUUCCUUUACGGUGACGAAUGCACCUGCUAUGUGGUUGUGUACUUCUAUUGAUUUGUUGAGAAGAAAACCCAAACAAGGACUAUCUGGCUAUAGGGAGCUGGGACGAUAAACAAAAGCAGCAUCGUAAUGCAUGCUCCUUCAAAUCUAGAAAGAACAUGAUACGGCUGCAUAUAUCUAAAACGAUUUCGGUUGGGGCUGCCAUUUCCAGCUCCCCAGCCGUCGGGAAUCUUCAAUUCCGCCGCAGAUUUCUCGAUGCCACUCGUAUGAAGACAAGGCCGCCAUGCACAUGUGCGGGCAUAUCAACGUUCAACGGAUAGAAUCGUGAAGUUAUUUUUCUUUCAACACAUGUUAAGGUAGCAAAUUUCGGAAGCCACACAAAAGGUAAAGCCACGUUCAAACUACCAUCUGUUCGUAGUGGCUUUUUAACUCGAUGCCAUGCUCGACGGCUUUAACACAAGCUGGUAAACGUUUCGUUUUUCUCAAUUACUAGCCACGGAGCAUGCACAACUUCAGCAUUUCCAAACUGGGCAUAUCUCAAAAGUUUGCAAGAAAAAAUUGGCAAAUAAAAUGACUACAAUUAACGGGCAUCAAAGCGAUGCAGAAGGCAAUCUCACUCAAAGUACAAUGAUCUCAUUACCAAAACUGAUGCAGCAUAGGUCCAACCCAACCGACAACAAACCUCACCAUUUCCCUUACACCUCUGUUGCCAGCACGUCUCAAAACCAUAUUUUGAGUACAUGACAAUAUACACUCUACAUCAAAACCAUGUAUGCAACUUCCAAUUCCUCCAAGCGACCGAUGCAUUCACAAAUUACCCCACCCAGAAAAAGAUUCAACACAAAAGAAUUGCCUGACAGUAACAAUGAUGAAAUAUCAAGAAGAAGAAAAAAUGCAGCCCGGACCUUGCAGCGGCAAAAAACAACUAUGUCGAUAAGAUGGACUGUAGCAGGAGCUGCUGCUGCGGUUGCAAGUUGGAAAAUGUUGACGCGAGAAAAUCUGGAGGUAAAGUCUGCUGGAAUCGCCUCAAGAUAUUGACCAUCUUGUUUUUUGUUUCAUCUGUAGCAAGCUCUGUCCCAGGGCACAAAACCUGCAGAUUGUACAAGGACAAUCAAUGAGUUCAUCCAUAACAGUUAAGUCAAACAUAGUUAUCGCUACAAAUUUACAACCCUACCAAAUUAGAGUACACAUAAAAAAAUUACCUCUGCAAAUAUUGAAAUAAUUUUCAGAAGAUACUGAUUCUGAGGGCCAAGAAUUUCUCCAUCCGACCUGCAAGCAGAAAUGGUUAUUAUAAACCGCAAAUGGGAUCCACCUUAGUUGGCAGAUUUCCAGUCAAGAACAUACCUCUCCACCAUUGAGCAAAGUUGCUCAUGUACAACUUUAGCUUCAAUCUUAUCAUCUUUUAUAGGCAAGCAACUAAGCCAUGCUGGAAUAACCUGAGAAGACUGUAUAGGUCAGUUUCAAAAAGUAUCAUCCACAAGCACAAAUAACUAUCCCCUGGCAAAGCUACAAGUGCAAAAUUAGGCUUCAGACACCACGCAGUACAGUUAGAAGCUGAGAGGUGUUCAGUUUGAGAAAUGGGUGGUCCAUCAGACCAUAACCUUCUCACUCCUCACAUUUUUGUUUGGUUUGGGAAAUAGGAUGAGUUGAUCCAUCACCACCUCAUCCCAACAAGCACAUGGUUAACUUAAUAAUGAAGAAUUGGCUUAACCCACCAAAAUUCAUGGGAUGACUCCAUAGACCAUUCCAUCCUAGACGAGAAGACUCCUCAAACCAAACACCCUAUUAGGGUUUCAGUGUGUCCCUUGCUCCUCACUCUCAGUGUCCACGCUCUCAGUCUCAGUGCGGUGAGAAGAAAGGAGAAAAAGGGUUGACCCUUUUCAGGAAUGAAAGAGUUACAAUCAGCACCGUCUUAAGAUUUUCAAUUCCAGAUUUCAGGCUUCACGCUGCUAAGCCAGCCUAGUACUGUGCCUCAGCCUCCAAGAGCAGGUACACCUUCCUAUUACCCCCCCUCCUUCCCACAUGAACUACUGCCUACGGCACACCGAGCAAUUUCUGGAAACAUGCCGUCACAAUCGGUAGGCAAUAGAUACAACCUCCAAAUAUUCAUCCAUUACCAACAACUAAGCCCUUGUCUCUAGCAAGUUGGGGUAAGCACAUAACAAGAAAAUGUUGGCCAUAUCAUCAGAGGAAAAAAAAAGACAUUGAGAAUAGAGCAUAUACCUGGGCCGCGUCAAUGCCAUCCCGAUGAAAUUGACAUAUUUUUCCAAGUGCCGAAACAGCAUUGUCAUAGGCCAUAAUAUUGUCUGGAAGUCGUGCUUCAGGAUGUCGGAUAACAUUGUUUAACUUUGAUAGGGCCUCUGAAUUCAGAAGCAUAACAUGGUUGGAUUAGUUGUAGAAUGUUGAAAAAAAAGCAAAACAUGUAAAUACUGGAAAUAUAAAGAAACUACCUCCAACUAGAGGGCGAAAAACAUGACCACCAAACUCAGCACAUACACCCACACCAUAGACAGCAGCCUAAAUGAAGAGGUCCAGCAUUAUAUCAGUGUCCAAUGAGACCGAGUAAAACGGGAGAAUGGGUCAAGGGAACAUGAUAGAACAAAAAACAGACCUGCCGGACAUCUGAAUUUUCAUCGUUUGCUGCCUCCAAAAGGAAAGGAAGGUAUGUAUCAUAAUACCUCAAAGCUGAUUCACGGCAUUGCUCCGCAACAUCAUCAAAGAUACAGAUAGCUAUCCUUCUCUCCUCGGGUGUUUUAUCUUUUCCCUGCGAAUCAAAACAUAGGGUACCAAAAUAAGUAGGAAUAAAACAUCAAACUGAAAAAAAGGUUGGAGCAUAACACUGCACAACAGGAAUAAGCAUGAAAAAACAUGCCAAUAACUAAUGAGAAGAAACCCAUUCGAUUCAUGUACAUAAACUAGCAUGCAGUAACUGAAUGCUCAAUAAAUAACAAUAGAGAGCUCACACAAAUAAACAAUCAGGUCAGGGUUCAGUUAGCUUACCAACAUUGGCGUAAUGUACACAGAGAGCUCAUCAAAGAACGGCAAGAAAGAAGCUUUGAAGGUUUUAAUCAAAGUUCCAAGGCACUCGCUGACCUGAAAGUUUAAAUAUGUUAAAAGAAAAUUAAUAGGUAAAUCAUUUAACAUAACAUGCCAAAGACAGUUUUCUCAGUAUGACAAAACAGAUAAAACUUCAAAUCAUUUCAAAACAAACAAACCUGAUCAAAUACUUCCUCCUCCUGUUCAUUCUCUUCUUUGAGUAGCUCUCCUUCAUCAGCAUCAAAAUCUUCCGCUUUUGUUCUUUCUGUACGUUCCCUUUUCCUGGUUGCGCUGGCUAUAAUGACAUUUUUAAUCUCAUCCGAAAUAGCUCGUACUUGGGUUUCAUCGAGCAAACGACCAGAAAGCUGCUCAUGAGUGAUCAAUGGAAAAUUGAGUCAUAAAUAAACCAUUCAAGAAAAUAGAAUAUUUAAAAACCCAUGCGAAGAGAAACCAACAGAACUAUAACACAUAUUCUUUCACCCACUGAACAUAGUGAAAUGAUCCCUUUCUUGUCUUUUUGUGGUUAUAAAGUGAUAAUCACGGGCAAGCACAUGUUCACAUAUGCAGAUGCACAGAUUUCAGAAUUGUAAAAGGAGCAAAUCUGCGAGCACAACUUUCAGAUAAAAUCUGCGUGCACUUUAUAAGUUUCAUUCUAACUAGACAACUUUCAGAUAAAAUAUGCUAAGAUAUACUUAUUUGAUAACAUAGGGGUAGGUUAGGAAAAAAAAGUGAGGUCCUAAAUAUACAAGUGAAGCUUUAGGAAGAAUCUCAAUCAUGGAUUCAAAUUAUGAAGCAUAGAUGGUGUAAAUGCACAAACCUGCAUGCACUCAUUUAAUGAGUCCAGCAUGGAUGAGCACAUUUCUGUUUCUGGCUCCUGCACAAAGGACGCAAAAAGUUCAGGUGUCAGCAUGGGUAAAAGAAAUAAUAAUUCAACUACUGAGAUAUCUUUAAAUAGACCUUGUGAAGUGCUUCAACAAGAGCUGGAAUUACGUAGUCAGACAACUGUUUAACAUAAGACUCGUCACGGCCUUGAGCCUGUCCUUUCUCAACAGCCAACUUUGCCGAACGUAAGAGUUCCGGCAUUGCUGCACAGAUGUUCAGAAUUGUAAAAGGAACAAAUCUGCAAGCACAAAUAAAUCAUAGUGUAACAUGAAAAUACCCGCAACAGCAGCUCUUCUGACUUCUUCAUGGAAGUAAAACUUCAGCAGAGGGACCAACGUGGGGGCAACCUACACGUAAAUUUGUAUCCAAUGAUAUAUGCUGGAAAGGGGCAGCUGAAACUUGAAAGAAUUAGAUAUUGGAUAUGUUUAGUGCAAUAAUGAACCUGAUCAAUCCAUGGGAAGAAACCCUCCUUAAGCUCAUCAGCAUAACAGCACAGCAUGUUGCAAGCUGUUGCUUUCUCUUCCAGCACACUAGUUCGGAUUCCUAUUCUCUUGUCACCAAGUGUGAUUGUUUCAAUGCUGUAUAAAACACAAAUUAAGGGUAAGGGUAAGUGUAAAAAAAAUCAUACAAAGUUAAAAGUAGGAUGCUCUCCUUGUGUCAGCAGAAAGGUGAAUGAAUAGCAAAAGCUUGGCAUCAUCAAUGAAAAAAAACAAAACACAUGAAAAAACUCCAUAAAUGACAGUGUAAAUGUUCUACCGACUAUAGGCACAGUAAAUCUAAAAGCUUGUGUACGGUUCAUAUCAUUUCAUACUGCAAAUAAGUUUAAAAUUAGAAUGCUAAACUGAUGAUUUUGCAGCUUAAAACGAAUUUCUUCUAAAUUUUCUCCUUUGUACAUUCUCCUGGAUACUUCAGAUACGGGCAUAUAAAAAGUCAUUUAAACAAAAAAUUGUACAUUCUCCAGGAUACUUCAGAUACGGGCAUAUAAAAAGUCAUUUAAACAAAAAGACAAGCAUCAACCAUGGAAUUAAAAAGAUUCCAUAUUUGCAACUGUACAAGAGCGAGAAAGGUAUAGAUAUUUCUAAGUGGAAAUAGUCCAACAUAGUUGUCAGGUUUGCUAACCUAAAUCUCUAAUAAAGUAGAUAAAACAUUGCAACAGAAUGAUAACAGACCUAUCGUCAUCUGAUUCUAUUUCGUCAUCUGAUUCGGCUGAAGUAAUUGUCACAUCGGGCUUCAGCUGAGCAGACUGAAGCAAUGGUGGCAUAACAACACUCAUGUAAGGAAGGAAAUCCUGCCCAAGACAUUUGCAUAGCCUGGCCCAAGCCUAUCACAUGUGGUGGUAAGUGUUAGAUAUAUAUUUGAAGUGUUGUUAAGCCUAGUUUCAGAUGCUUUGAAACAUACCUGCAACAUGUAGCUGGUAAUUGGAUCAUCAGUUUCCAUUGGUGUUCCUUGCAAAGCCAUAAGUACUUCCAUAACCUAGUAAAGGGCAGAUGAUUAGAAUAAUAACACUUCCUCAAUUAAAUAAAAUAUUACAGCUGAUUGCACAUUUAGACUUAAAAGUGCAAGAAGAAGAAAUGACAGCCAUAAAUAAUGAUUUUAAUAAACAGAAAUAGACAUAAUUUUUCUGAAUUCCGAUAAAUUAGCAGGAAAAGCUUGAACAGUGAAACGGUUCAAGAAUACGAACAGUGGUUACAGAUCAAUCACAAAUUAUUUGCAACAAAAUAGAAGUACAUAAUUUGCAAGCUGGAACAUAACAUUACAAGUGAAAGAAAAGGCUAACCUGCCUCGCGUCGUCUCUGAACUUGUCCUUACCCACAGCCAUUCCUACCAAACUAAUACACUCCAUGGACUUGGCACGGAGCAUCCUAUUAGACUUGUCAGUUGCAUUCAUCAAAAUAGCUUUUAGGUAUGGCAUGACAGCAUCAUAGUAUUUCUUGAAGUGCUCCUGCAAGGCAAACAAACAAAAAGUUAUCAUAAUGCUAUCAGCUUGUUAUCAACAGCAGGCAAGACAGCACUAAAACAAUUUGUUAUAAUUGGUCAGCUAUAAAAAAGUUAGUCAAAUGCUAUAAAUUUGUUAAUAGGUGCUUCUGCCACUCAGGAGCAGACAAAUAAAAAGUUUAGUCAAAUGCUAUAAAAUUGUUAUCAUUACCAAGCUAUACAGCACUAAAACAAUGAGACAACCCCAUGAUACAUGUGAUACAUGACAACAGAAAUCCAUUAUGCACAUAACAAAAAAAAAUGUAUCUAUGCACUCCCAGGCGAACAGUUACCUGUGAUGAAUCUGCCACUGAAGCUAGGGCUGUCAAUGCUCCCUCUUGCACCAUUUGCUUGCCAUUCUAGAAAUAACAUGAGAAGUUAGCAUGUUUACUACCCAGAAUAACGAAUAUGCACAAAGCAAAACUGAAAUGUAAAUCAAUACAAGUAAACAUAUACCUGAAGAAGGACAAGUAAUUUGUUGACGAUUCCAUCCAGGUAAGGUGUCAAAAUUUCCGGUGUACAGUUCUCACUGAAGUUCAGGAUCGCAGAUGCAGCAUGUGCCUGUCAACAAGAAGAUUCAUACAGGAAGUCAAUAUAGGUUGCUUUUUCCUAAGAUGCAUGACAUAAUAGAUGCACAUGACUUCUGAUUGAGAAUAGAGACAUAAAGAGUUGCGUAGACUUAGCAUCUCAAUAAACGCAAAACACUUCAACAGCGUUCAAUUCAAGAGUCUUAGUUUUCAAAAAGAAAUGAUAAAAUAGUCAAAGUUAAUCAAGCAUCUACAAAAUGCUACCUUCUAGUAACAUUUACUUGUAAUGGUGAUGAUGGACUUACUAACUUGCCAGGUGAUUAAAUUACUAUUUAUUAAAGAAAAUUAUUAGCUUGAAGCUAAAUAGAACUUCGUUUUUAGACAUUCAUAUGUGUUAACUGCCCACAACUAUUUACAAAGUUUUGUUUCAGUAUGCACGAACAAUAACUUUCUUGAUCCACAUCAAGCCAAUUGAUGCAACAUUAAUUCUAAAAUAAGCAUUAACAAGUUGAAGAUAUGAGAUCAAGUUUUGCUAAAAUAAUAGAACUAACCUGAACUCGUGGGUUCUGGAAAUCAUCCAUAGCGUUCGCCAAUGCAGGCAACACUUUCUGGUGGUAAUGAACUUGCAAGUCUGGGCCCAAAUCCGUAGAGAGCUGACCAAUGGCAUUGAUUGCAGCCCAUCUCACACGUGGGUGAGGAUGUUGGAACCCAUUCAAUAUCAUCGAGACAACUUGUUCCAAAUUUUUAAGCAUAACCUGCCAGCAAAAACAGCAACCAAUGAUAAGAUGGCCUUGUCCAGCUAUUUUCCUAAACAUGAAAUCGAGAACAGAUAGCAUAAUGUGGUUUAAUAGUAGCCAACAGCUCUUAUAGAUUUGGCAAUUUAGUAUUUGUCACCGCUUCUACAUGUAGUGUUCAUUAUCCCAUUUUCCCAAUUCCUAAUUCAACAUGUCAGCUCAAGAAAUCCAUUUUACCUAUCCAAAACAGCAACACUAAAUAUCUUUUGAGUUGAACAAAUUGCUGUAUACUAGCCAUACUUAUAAAGUUAUCAUGCUAACCUUUGCACAUCCUUCCGCAAUCUGUGCGAGUGUUAUGAGCGCAGCAUGGUGCUUCUGCCACUCAGGAGCAGACAGGUACUGUGGAAGCAGCUCAGAUGCAAUUGGCACAAUUGCAUUUCCACCAAUGGCGAUGGCAAGGCGGUCAAGGCACUCCUGUGCCACUCCAUAGUUGUUCCCUUCACCUGCAUCCUCAUCUUCGGUUUCAGCAGAGUGCCAAGCAGGGUCAUCCUCGACAUCAAGCAGCAUCUGCAUUAGCACUGCAAACAGCCUGCCGACAAACUGCGGGAGUCGACGCAUCAUUCCCGGUGCACGCUCCCUUGCCUCAGCAAGAGUAAUGACAAACUCAACCGCCAAGUGCCUGGUCCCAUCUUCCAGCUGUGCAGCCUCAGCAACUUGUAGCAUUGCUCCCACCACGUCCGCAAUCUGCCUCCGUAGGAACCUUGGCUCUGCGCCAGCCAGCUCAACGAGCAGCUCCAGCGCCUCCUGCGCCGAGGCCUCCUGGCCAGAGUUCAGGCAAUCCGUGAGCGCCCUCAUCAUAGCCGGGAGCAAAUCCUGCAUCUUAUCCCGAUCGGCGUUGGUUGGCAGGCACUGGACGAGGUUGACUGCGGCACCCAGGGCCGCAAUACGCACAUCAGGGGAUGUGGGGUGCGCCAGAGCGGCGGCGAGCAGGUUGUGGAUAGUCAUCAGAUGGUCGAGGAGCGAUUCAGCGAUGUAAUCCGCCAGCCUCGCGAAGAUAAGCAGCGCCGACUCCUGAAGGUUGGGCGCCUCGGGCCCCGACGCGGCGCGGAAGAGGAAGGGCAGCAGCUCGGCCCAGGCGUUCUCGGGCAGCAGCGAGGCAGCGAGCUCGGAGAUGGCAUCGCAGACCUUCUUGGCGAUGGGCUUGGGGGGAUCGGACUGGAGCGCGGAGAGGAGGUGCGCCUUGAGCGCGGACUGGCCGGCGAGGGAGAGCUGCGGCCAGAGCGGCGCCGGGGGCGAGGCGUUGUUGGCGGACGCGUCGGAGGACGGGGUCGGGGAGAGGACCUUGCGGAGCAGGACCCCCGCCAUGGCGCGGAGGUCGGCGGCGGUGGCGGGCGACGCGAGCGAUGAGGCGAGCCGCAGCGCGAGGGGCUCCGGGUGGGAGGCCCGGAGGCGGUGGAAGGCGGCCUCGGCGGCGGAGCGGUCGGUGUUGGAGGACGACAUGAGGGUCGACAGCAGCCCGUCGAACGCCGCCGGGUCGCCCCCCAGCAGCGCGGCGGCCGCGGCCUGGUCCUCGGCGGACGCCAUCGGAUCGGGGUCGAAUCCGGGGCGCGCGGCGGCGGCUAGGGUUUGAGGGGGGAUAGGGGUCGAGCCGGUGGUGGCGGCGGCGGCGGGAAGGGGAGGAGGGUGGUGGAGAGAGAAUUAGAGACACGGCCUCGGGUUGGGUUUAAUAUUAUAUGGGUAGGGUUUGGGAGAUGCGUGCGGCUCGCUCGUCGCGGGCGGGCGCGGCGGGGAGAGGCCAGGCGACCUGGUGGCUGGUGCGUUUGGGGUGGGUGACUGGGUGGGGCAACCGCCGCGACGCGAGAUGAGAACGAGACGAGAGCAGCGCGCUCGCCGUGUGGUUUGGUUGCAGGCCGCCGGGGUCGGGUCCGGCUUGGCGGGGUUCGGGCACCGCACGACGGUUUCGCGGGAUUCCCUUGUCCCCGUCAGCUUUUCCCUCGUCCCCCGUGGAUUUUCGCAUCGACUCGCCGAUUUCUGCGUCCGCCGAAACCGACCGCUCGGCUCGUCUCGGUUCGGCACCCGCUCGUGCCCCUAUGGCAUCCGCCGCUUCGCCGAUGCUUCCUUUUCCCUGCCGCGCCGCGUCUUUUCGGCGAGCGGGCACGGGGGGUUCUGGGUUUUACAGCUGGGGGGUGUGAGCUGGGCGCGUGGAUGGAAUGGAUGGACAGGAGAAGGUGGUGACGCCCAUGGAGGGCCAUGAUUGGGCAUUGAUGGGUACAGGCAGGCGGCCGGGCGCCAUCUUCCCCGCGUCAUCAUUGAUGCACGGCUCAGGGGAACAGCAGCGGCCCAACAGGGCUCGUGCAAGCUGCUGGCAAUCUUGUGGGUUGACUGAUUUCCGGUACGAAGAGUGGGAAUGUUUUGGUUAGCUACCAAUGGUGUGUAGCACGUAGUACAAUAGUUACGUGUGCAUCACCGUAUCAAUGCAAAACAAGUGGUGAACAAACGGUGAUUGAGAUCCCGUGUGUUCAUUCCCAGGGAUUAUGAUUUCGUUUUUUGAAUUUUUUCGGUCCUCAAUAAAAACACCAAAUUUCGUGAAAUUUCAGCCGAAAUUUGGACUAAAAAGGUAAAUCUUUCGACGAAGAGAAUAAAAUUCUGGACAAACAGUUAUUUCAGUCACCAUCGAAAAGACCAAAAUUUCACGAAUUUCGACCGAAAAUUCACGAAUUUUGACUGAAAAUCUACGAAUUUCAACCGAAAUUUUGAACCCUGUUCAUUCCAUUCCUUUUCGAUAGAGGUGUUGUUUGCUCCAUAAAUUGCGACGCAAAAGCACGCACAUCCCGUAAAAGUUAUUAAAGUAAUGAGAAUUUGGCAUGACGUCAACAAAGUAACAAGAAACUGACGUAACGUUAAGCCGUUAACAAAAUAGCGGAAACCGACAUGGCGUUAUGCUUUUAACGAAGCAGACAAAAACCGACGUAACGUUAAACCGUUAACAAACAAACAGAAAAACUGGCAUGGCGUUAUGUCGUUAGCAAAGGAACAAGAAACUGGCAUUGCGUUAGGCCACCGACAUUGUUCGGUUCCCAAGAAUAACAGAAAUGGAAAGUGGGGAGCUUCCACUAAAGGAGAAGACGACACAUAGAAAGAGGAAGGUUGUUGUACGUAGUGGAGCUGCAUCUUCUGACGUGUCGUAGCUAUCGUCAUCGACGGCUAUCACGCAUUAUGUAUCACUUCUGCUUUGGCGGUAUCAUUUAGCAUCUGUGGUAAUCUGUAGAAUGUAAGCUCCGUCAAACUACCACCAAGCAAAUUACACAUGCUACCCUCAAGGUAAACCAACUUGCCCUCUUUAGCCUCCUCAUAGCCUCGAUGAGUUCCAUUUCCCUAACUAUUGCAUGCGGAUGCUGGUAAGCAUCACACAUCAUAACUACAAAAGCUUUCUAUGAAAGCUAAUUCACCGGUGCCACGUUCUCGCACUAGUUGAAUAUUUCAUAUUAAGAUCGCAAGAUAUACAUUGGCUUGGAGGGAUUCACAUAUUAAAAAAAGGCUAGGCAAUGCAAUCUAAUUACAUUAUAAAAAAAAGGUGACCAAACAUUACCGUAAGUUAACCGUCAUGAUCAGAUUUGGCCUAGACGCGCCCCUUCCCCAAGGGUUUUUGGAGCCGCCGCUGCCGUCGCAACCUCUCUCACCUCCACCACCGUUGGUCCCCCCCUUCCCACCUCCGUCAUCUCGCCAGAGGUCGGAGGGAGUGGGGAUCCAUCUCUCUAAUAGUUUUCUUUGUAGAUCGAGUUCAGUUUAGGGUUUAGGUUUCUCCAUGCUGAAUUUCUCGAUAUUGAAGAUUUGUUACCUCCCUCUCCUUUCCGUCAACGGCGAGGAGGUAGGGUGGAUUUGGUCUCUCAUAGCGACUCCGAUGAAGAUGAUGGCGGCAACUACGACGUUAGCAACUUCCUUGGUAUGACGACACAGAGAAUUAGGUUUCUGGAUGACGACAUCGAGGCGGGGAUGAUGUUACCAUCGUGGAAUAAUUUUCUCAGCCCCUUCUCCGUUUUCUUGUGGUUAGACCUAGCCACGAUGAAGGACUUGUGAGAAUAAAUCUGCUCCUCGAGCCGAUUAUAUUUGGUUUUGAGUUGGGAAGAUCAGGUGGUUUUCCUUAUUCUUCAGUGGCAGAAGGAAAAAUAAGGAAGACACAAGAAAAAAGAAGAUUAUACUCAAUUUCGCCUACAGGAAUGUUGGUCGCCAUUCUUUGGGCACCUAUUCUCAGCCUGUUUGCUGAGUGUUUACUUUCGGGCGUACACCCCAGGUCCACGAGUAGGCCUUGGACGGCCCACCAAAGGACGUACUCGGACAAGAUCAGAACAAGGAUGGGUGUAUCCUACUCGGACUAGUCAAGUAUGUUUAUGGAAAACUACUCGGGCCAUUACCGGGUUUCUCUCUGUAAUAGUACCCGACUAGGACUCAGACUUGUAACCCUGCCCUCCCGUGUAUAUAAGGACGGGCAGGGACCCCCCUCAAAAGGACACGAGGACAACUCCAGUUCAUCAAAUACAAACCAACACACAGGACGUAGGGUAUUACGCGAUCUAGCGGCCCGAACCUGUCUAAAUCGUGUUCCUUGCGUCACCAUUGAUUCCUUGAUUCUCGACGACCCUUACCGCAUAAAAGACCACCUAGGUACCCCCUAGGCGGGUUGCCGGUCUAAAACACCGACAUUUACCUGUGGGGUCAUCCAUAUGGAUCUUCAUAUAUGUUUGGAAUUGAGAUUUAGAGCUAUAUGUUGCAUAAGUACCAUAGAGAUGAAGAGCAGUUAAGCAGUUUUAUGGGUACACUUGUAAUCUUUGUAUUGGAGAGUGCUUGUAACAUUAGGAUGUACUCAGCUACAAUUUAAUAUAAUUCUUCUUUCACCUAAGAAAACAUUAUCGUAAGUUGAUUGAAAUUUGGGCACAAAUGUCCAAUGUGUGUUACCAACCGCAUAUGUGCAAACCGAAAUCUGUCUCAUUCACUAUGAUGAAUCAUUGACCCCGUUCUUGCGUUCUUCAAGCUCUCAACUUGUCCUUCUCAAAGAAUUGAGGGGGCUUUGAAUCAACUUAAGAAAAGAGUAGUCUAGAAUAUGUUUGCUUCUCUCAACACUGGAGUCUUAACUUUUAAAUCUCAAGAUUAAUAUGUCCAUUUGCAUGUUGAGAUAUAACACACUUUGAAGUCUCGAUAAAUCAUUAUUCAGUUUUGCAACUUAAAUAGCUCGAAUCAUGCCAACCUAUCUAUCAACCACUAAAAUGGGCCUCCUCAAACAGGAAAAUGAAAAAUACGAUGCUAGCUAGUUUGAUUAUCGCGUUCCAAUGUCCCUUUCCAAUAAAGAGGUCUUUGGUUUGGAAAAUGAGAUUAUCCAUCAAACUUGGUCAAAGUUAGACGAUUUUUACUUGAGACAAAGCUAGACUAACCAAUAAUUUGAAAAAUACAUUUUUGAAAACAGUUUUAUUGAAAAGCAUAACACACCCAACUAGUUUUUACUGAAAAUUCCCCUGGAAAAUAACAUAAUGGUCAAACAUAAAACACCUACUAGUUCCUUGACUCAAUCCACUGUUCAUCCCACUGGAUUCACUAAAAACGCCUGCAACAUAUUCCAGCUGGUCUGAAAUCAAGCUGGGUUCAGGUCCAGAUUUGAACCAGAGCUCGGUUGGAUUUUCGCCUACGUGCAAAGGCGAUCUCGUGGCAACAGACCACUCAAUCGAAAGCUCCAAACACUGGAAUACGUCCGAUACGCAUAGCUCCUUAAUUACAAAAUCACUGUCAGUCUGUCAAUAUAUAUAUAGCAUAACGUAGGGGUAGAUGCGGCGGUGAGCCUCGUACACCUAGUGAACAAAUCUGGUUAGCUUGCCAGCCCUUGGAUCCCUCUUGUCCACGUAUUGGUGUCCCCAGCUGAAAAUGUGAAAAGCAUCACAUGUCACACUCAUACCAAUAAAAAGCUCCAUUCUUCAAGCCAAGCAGCCAGCCAACCAAGUGAUAAUGCAUAAUUUUCCACAAUGAAGGGCAUAAACAUUCCCCCAAACAAAUAAUUGACACAAACAAACAAGCAUAUCGGCACUCCCCUGAGGUACAAAACAAUUCAAACGUUGCAUCAGCACUCGAGUUCUUUAAUCACAUCGAGCUACAAGCAAUGGAGCUGCUAAUAGCUGGAUGGGCCCACACAUAAAGCCGGCUUUCAAGGUGCACAAACUCCACUUAACAAGAUAACAUGCCGUCCACUUCACUUAAAUAUAUGAACAAAAGAACAAACAAAUGGUGUUAUCUCCCCAACAUCGACACGAGAACGGAACAAACUGUAUGAUCAGCACUCACACUUCAGUUUUUUUUAAAGAUAAUUUGACACGUAGGAUGUGAUAUAGUAUGAUGAAUAGUUGGCCAACAAUUGUCAAAGCUUCGCUUGCCGGGUCGUUACUGGACCGCGUUGCACAUCCCGGGGCGUGUCCGGCACCAGAGCGGCUGGAUGGGCUCGGCCCGGACCCCUCUCCCCACCAUGCGGUUGCGCCAGUCGGUGAGCCGGUCCGUCGCCUCGGCGUACCUCUUCCUGCCGGAGGCGUCGCGGUUGCCGGACCAGAGCGCCUCCGCCAUGGCCGAGGUCCUGGGCCAGACCCGGCCGUCCAGCACCGUCGCGUCGACCUGCUCCGUCCACAUCGCCACCUCGCCGCCGAUCACCAGCCGGGCCUCCUCGGGGGUGAGCCCGUACGCGAUGUCGUAGUCGUAGACCCGCUGCCACGUCUUGUAGGGCCCGCACCAGGACCCGCCGCUGCUGUUGAAGUCGCUGUUGGGGUCGUCGUAGAUGCUGUUGUUGCCGAGGAAGUCGCCGUGGCCGCAGUCGAGGUAGUAGAAGGACGCCGAGGAGACGAUGGCGCGGUACCCGGCCCGCACGAUGAGCUUCGUGUUGUUGGGCCCGUUGUUCCACGUCUGCAGGAUGGUCGUCGCCGGCGGGAUCGCCGACGCGCUCACGUUCACGGCCGCGUCCAGCAGCACGUCCUCCCAGUACACGGCCGUGCGGUUCCGGGACACCACGAGAGGGUGCACCGCGCUGACGUAGCGCUCCAGGAGCUGGCUCAGCGUGGCGCCGCGAUCCAGGUCGGCCUGGAUGGUGGGGUCCGCGUGCCAGCAGCCCGGGGUGACCUCGUCGGCGCCGGCGUGGUAGAAGCCGUCCGGGAAGAGGGAGGUCAGGUCGUUGACGACGUUGGUGAUGACCUCGUACGUCUUGGGCGCCAGCGGGUUGAGCUGCCCGGCGCCCGGCUCCGCCGCGAGACGGUUGUUCCAGUCGCCGCCGGGAAGCCAGAACUUGCCCGCGCAGGACACGGCCUCCGGGUACGCGCCGGCCCACGACGCCGUGUGGCCUAACAACAAUAAUGUCGAGAGGUUAAUUAAUUGGGCCGUAGAAACCAAAAUCCAUGUAAUAGAGUAACUGGGCCGCAGAAAGCAAAGCCCACAAAACAGAGGCAGCCGGAAAAGACGGAGCAGAGGAAGCUGGAAAACGAGCAGCGCCCACGGCUUACCCGGCGAGUCUAUCUCCGGCACGACGCGGACGCCGCGGCUCAUGGCGAACUCGACGAUGUGCUUAACGUUCUCGACGGUGUACCGCAUGUCCUCGCCGUAUGCGCCCUUCUCGGCGAGUUGCGGCUCGGAGGGCAGCUCGAUGGGGAACGACUGGGAGUCCGUGAUGUGCCAGUGGAACACGUUCAUCUUGUUGGCCGCCAUGGCGUCGAUGGUCCGCAGGAUGUCGGCCACGGGGAAGUAGGUCCUACCGGUGUCGAGCAUCAGCCCGCGGUGAGGGUACAGGGGCCGGUCCUCGACGUGCACGCCGGCGGCCAGCACCAGCAUGUCCCGGCCCCGGUCCCGGCCGUGGCCGGCCCGCCACGCCAGCUGCGAGAACGUCUCUAACCCGCGCAUGGCGCCCCACGCGGUGACCGCGGUGACCGUGGCGGCGCCGCCCGUGGCGGGGACCUCCAGCGUGUAGGACUCGUCCACGCCGUGCUGCAGCGGGGCGGCGAGGUCGGACACGGCCAGGGUCAGCCUCGCCAGCGCGCUCCCCGCGGUGACGUUGACCGCCGGCCGGACGACGGGCCGGUACCGCUCCGUGACCAGCAGCUUGGCGUAGCGCUCCGCGGCGGAGGCGAGGUACGGGUUCCCGGACGGCGCGACGAUGCGGAACGACGGCGACAGCGGCACGGCCGCGUGCGGCUCCGCCCACGACAUGGACACCGGCUUGGGCCAGACAUUGACAGGGAACGACGCGUCCGCGGCCGCGCGCGUCAUCAGGAGCAUCGCCGGCCAGCCGAGCAAGAGCAGCAGCCGGAGGAGAAGCGUCGCCAUUAGAGCUCUGGAUCGAGCUGCUCCGCGCUGCAGAUUCUAAUUGGUGCACUCCUCGACGUCAAGACUCUUUGCUGUAUAUAUAAGUGUGGGUAUUAUCUUAGGAGAUAAUUGCGCGAGCGGCAUAGUGGUCGCUGCUGCCUCCAAGUGGCUCCAUCUCCAUCAAGUGUUCUACUGUUCUUGGCGCUAGCGUUCGUCUGUUUAUGGGCGCUAACUUCUUUAAUUAAGAUCUUCGUCUCCGGUUGCGUUUCAUAUCUGAUGCUGGCUUUGGAGUUUACGCUUCUCCGGUUAACUUGCACGGCGGAGUUUUCAGGCCUAAACAACUCGCGUUCAGGCUCCAUUUGUACUCGUCCAAGCAGAGAUCGCGUUGAUUUGACGUGUUCGUCGCGUACCCACUUCGCUCUAGACUCUAGUCUCUAGAGGCGACGCUGGGGCAUAGCUGCAACGGCGGGAGUAGUUUACGAGGAAGCGGAUAGUGGAAGGCCUGCUGAAUUUUGUUUUUAUGGGCUGGGAACUGAGUAUGAUAACACGUUGGCUUCUGCUAGUGUCUUUGCUAGUAAAGUACUGGAACGGAGUUGUUUGUCAUCCAUUUGGACAAAGUGAGCUUGAUUAGGGCUGUUUAAUUUGGAAGGCGAAACAAGAAAAACAUACAGUAGGGAAUCACAGAAAUUGGAAGGUAGACUUCUUAUUUUUUUUUCAGGAUACUCUCUGUUUCUAUGCAAAACGUGUCAUUCCAGAGAAGUGAAAACACGAGGAGCUACAGAAAUAACAGGUCACCUUCCCUCCGACAGAACACUCAUAGAGGAUACACCAAUGCUAGUCUCUGACUGAUUAGAUGACAUGACAUACGAAUCAAACCCUUCGUUCUGCAUCAGCGACAUCAUGCUGUAGCUCGUAUAGCUCGGGGACAGUUCAGGGACCGGCUGGUUGGCGUCCAAGUACUGCACGACUCGUCGCAUGCCGGGUCUCACAUUCGGCAACGGGUGCGCGCACAUCAAGCCCAGCUUCAGCACGAGGGUCACCUCCUCCACCUCAUACUUCCCCACAAGCCGCGGAUCCACGGCGUCAAGGAUCGAUCCGUUGCGGUGAUGCUCGAUCACCCGAUCCACCAGCACGACCCUGUUGUUGCGGUCGUCGCGGUCGAUAGGCCUGCGCCCACAGGCGACCUCCAGGAGGAACACGCCGAAGGAGAACACGUCGGUUAACGGCGUCGCCUUCCCGGUGCGCACGAGCUCCGGCGCGAGGUACCCCAUGGUCCCGACCACAUGAGUGGUCUGAGGAUCGGCGCCAUGGUCGUAGAGCCUCGCCAGGCCGAAGUCACCGAGCCGGCCACUCAUCUCGUGGUCCAGCAGCACGUUGCUGGCCUUGAUGUCUCGAUGGAUCACGACCUGCUCCCAGUCCUCGUGUAGAUACAGUAGGCUUGCGGCGACACCCUUGAUUAUCUUGUACCUCUCGUGCCAGGAAAGAGUGGGCAUAUGCUGAUCGUGCAGGUACUUGUCAAGGCUACCAUUUGGCAUGUAGUCGUAGACCAAGAGUAGUUCGCCUUGGCGUCUGCAAUAGCCUAGCAGUUGAACAAGGUUCCGGUGUCGAAGGCGGCCGAUGCUCACAACCUCGGCAACGAACUCCCUCACUCCUUGCCUGGAAUCAUGUGACACUCUCUUUACUGCGAUAUCCAAACUGGAUCCUGGAAGCACUCCUUUGUAUACUCUUCCGAAUCCUCCGACGCCCAGCAAGUUCUUGUCCUUGAACCCGUUGGUGGCAUGAAACAGGUCCUUGUAUGAGAAGCGGUGCGGGCCGAACUCGUCCUCCCAAUCUUCCCGAACCUCGGCGUACCGGCGCCGCCUCCAUACUAUCAAGAAGACGGCUGCGAGCACUGCGGCCACGAGCAACGCAGUGGCGAGGGGAAGCAUGACAUCCAAGACCUUGGACCGUGGCUUCGGACCCACGCGUGGCAGGACGGGGAGCUUGGAGAAGUCGAGAGGUGGAGCUGGUCCGUCAAAGCUGAAGCUCCACCCGAGCACGUAGUGGCGUGUGAUGACGACUCCAGUGGCCGAGGAGAAGCCGACGUACAUCGUAUCCGCCAUGAACGUAGAGAGAUCGACGGGCACGGAGAUCAGAGGCUUCUUGGGCUUUUGCACUUGCACCGGAGCUAGCGUCACGUUGAGCUGCCCGGCCUGGCCGUCGUAGUCGAUCCAUACUUGCAUCGGCUUCCGGCUGUUCAGCUGCAAAUCUCUCCAGGCGCCGCCGGCCGCGUCGUCGUAGUAGCCGGCCGGCUGGGGCUGCUCUGAAAUCAGGCUGUUGACGUCGACGCCGACGUGGUUGCUGUUGAUGUCGCGGAUCUCGGGGUUCAUGAUGGUGUCGAGCUCGACCGCCAGGACGCGAUCGCUCGCCGUGCCGUUGAUCGCGCCGAGGAGGCCCAGGUACUGCCCCGCUUUGGCCGCGGAGAAGUUGGUGGUCGGGGCGACCACGAAGGCGAGGCCGUGGUCGCUGAGCCCGUCGUAGGCGGACACAAUGGCGAACACGAAGCACGUCGAGAAGGACCGCGCCCCCGCCGCGGUGGCGUUCGCCGCCGCCGUUGAGGAGGAUGACGCGUUGAGGAAGUGGACGGGGGCCGGGUGGAAGGCGUGCGCUUUCUCCUGGAACGUGGCGUUGGUGAGCGCGAGGAGGCCGCUGGGCGUCACGGCGGCGAGCCCGUCCAGCGUGAGGUUCGCCGAGGCGAAGCCUUGGUAAACAAACUGGCCAACGUCGGCGGACGACGAGGCGACAUGGAUCAGGAGGAUCGGAACGACGAAGGGUACGAUCUUGGCAGGCAUCUUGUUUUUUACUGGGACACUUCUCCUUGACACCCUCAAAGAGCUUUGCUUAAGCCACAACUUCAGUACUGAUAUGCUUGCAUUGGCGAAAUAUACCUACAGUGUUUGACAUGUCGAGAUCCAGGGUUGGUUGGGUGUUGGACUGCUGGACUUGUGUCCUGGUAAAGAGUGGGUGAUGACUGAGUCUUGAGGAGCAGGAGAGCUGAAAAACUGAUUGAAAGAUACACCGAGAGGCACGCGCACGCGAUGUAUUGACAGGUACUGCAACUUCCACGCGUGGAUUCAUUGAUGUCAACGAAAGACCUGUCCGACGCGACAAUUCUGCCGUCAGGAACUUCAAAGAUGGCUGCUGUUCGAAGUGUCCUGCGAACCUAUCCUGGUAGAGUGGUGUUGCCGUGCCCAGCGGGUGAGCAAUCGUUGCGCGUGCUAAUAUCGAAAAGUAAUAGCGACGGCUAAAAUUAAUUAUUUAUCUGUGAUAUGGUAGUAUAUAUAAAUAAAUAGUAUAGAUAGUAUAAAGGUAUCAUGGUAAAAAACACAAAUAGCAUCACUAUAAUUUUAUUUUGACACUAGCAUAAACUUUACUAUUUGAAAUAUCAUUUUUUACAAUGUAAUAAUUACUAAAUUAUGCAAUGAACAGUUAGAUCUUAUAUAUACUAUAUACUACUAAGUAGUAGUAUUGCGUAACGUAAAGGAGUCUGAUAAAGAAGCAGGUUUCAAUGAAACCAUUAGCGUUGCUGCCCGUCACCAGCAAGAAAACGAAAUCUGCGAUGUGCUAGUAGGCAGUAGCUGAACAUCUGGAUCGUUUCGGUCGUAUGUGUUCAGCUGACACUCUUCAAAAAAGAAGAAGAAGUGUUCAUCUGACUGUUGUACGCUGCUGACUAAACGAUGCACUGCUUUGUCAAAUAGAACGACCAUUCCAGUCAGAAGUGUUUGUUGGAUGGACUGCCCGAAUUCUUUCACUGGUACUGGUGCGAUUUUACUGGUUACACUCAAACACCUACUCUCCGGUUGACGUUUAUUAGGAUUCCAUUCCAUGGACUGCUAGCUCUUCUGUCUCGUGACAGCGAAGCAUUUCGACUUCACUCAGCAACCGCAGAAGGAUCCAUUCUCUCGCGGGUCAAUUCUGGAGUCCCGAUCGAUCUUGACACGGAUCACGUUUCUUUUUUGCUUUCUGAGCAUGCGCAUUUGACUGGUUUCAUGAACAGCUUCGUGUGCUUGUGAUAAGGCCACCCGAAAAUGCAUGAUUGUUCAUUGCUGUCAUCAUCUGCGAGGUGUACCUCAUCCUUGAAUCCUUUACACGAGUAUAUUACUAGUCUUUAAACGGUUUCUUUUGCAAAUAAAAAUCAACUGUGUUUAGACAAAAUAUCUCAACUACACGAAUGGUAUUGACCAGGUCAGCAUUUCAGGCAAACUACUACUGAGAUCCUUGACAAGAAAAUUUCCAGGUUCAUGCCAAUAAUCCUGCCAUUAAUAAUUGUUUUUAGAUUACGGCACCGCGUUUAGUACUAGUUUCUUUUGUUGUUUUUGUUAAGCAUAGAGAUGUCUCACUGAUCCGUGUCAAAGAUAAGAAGAAUACAGUACUGUAUGACAUAAGACGCACCCCCCCCCCCCCCCCCCUCCCCCUCUUAUUAGAGAAAACAGAUAAACGGUUACAGUCCCUAACUGCAAGAUCAUAUCACCUUCCUCCAGUGAAAUCAGAAACGGCACCUAUGCUCGUUGACGACACGCAUGACAUCAUAUUCUUGUUGAACUCCCUGCUGUACAUCCGCUCCAUUCCGGUGAAGCCGAAAUACUCCGGUGACAGGUCUGGAAGGACCAUAUCUCCGUCGAGGUACUGCAUGACCUGCCGCAUGGUUGGCCUUGCGUUGGGCAAUGGAUGCGAGCAAAGCAGCCCAAGUUUCAGUACCAGAGAUACCUCAUCAGGAUUAAAACCGUCUGGGAUCAUCGUGUCCGCCGCGUCGACCAUCAAUCCCCUACGCCAGUGCUCAGUUACCCAAUCCACGAGCACGGUGUGGUUGCCGUGCUCGUCUUGCUCAAUUGGCCUUCGUCCACAGGUGACCUCCAGAAGGAAUGCCCCGAAGGCAAAGACAUCGGUCGCCGGAGUCGCCUUGCCUGUGUGUCCUAAUUCAGGGGCUAGGUACCCCAUAGUCCCGACCACAUGUGUAGUAUGCGCAUCGGUUCCAUGAUCAUACAGCCUCGCAAGGCCGAAAUCCCCUAGUCGUCCAUUCAUUUCAGCAUCGAGAAGCACGUUGCUUGCCUUGACAUCUCGGUGGAUGACAACUUGCUCCCAAUCCUCAUGGAGGUACAAUAGCCCAGACGCCACUCCUCUGAUGAUGUGAAACCUUUGAGGCCAAUCCAAUAGUGCACCCUUGCUUCGAUCGUACAGGUACUUGUCAAGGCUACCGUUUGGCAUGUAAUCGUAGACCAAGAGAAGUUCACCUUUGCGCCGGCAGUAGCCGAGUAACUGAACAAGGUUGCGGUGCCGCAACCGUCCCAUGCUCGCAACCUCGGCGAUGAACUCCUUCAUGCCCUGCUUGGACUCGUGAGACACCUUCUUCACCGCGACCUCCGUGUUGGACUUGCGGAGAACGCCCUUGUAGACGCUUCCGAACCCUCCUGCUCCGAGCAGCUGCUUGUCGCUGAACCCUUUGGUGGCAUGGAACAGGUCCUUGUACGAGAACCUGUGCGGCCCGAACGCGACCUCCCAGUCCUCGCGCACCUCGGCGUACUUGAUCCGCCGCCGCACCAAGGCGUAAAUCGCGACGCCCACGGCGAACACCAGCGCGGCGGACGCUAUGGGCAGCACAAUCUCCAAGACCUUGGACCGCGGCUUGUUCCCCGCCGGCGGCAAGGUAGGCAGCGCUGAGAUGUUCAGCGCCGGGGCCGGCCCGUCGAGCGCGAAGCUCCAGCCGAGCACGAAGUGGCGCGAGAAUAGGAUGCCCGUGGCCGAGGUGAACCCGACGUACGCCGUGUCCUGGACCACGUCGGAGAGGUUGACGGUGGUCUGCAGCAGCGGUUUCUUGGGCCUGGACAAGCCUACAGGGGCCAUGGUCACCGUGAUCUGCGUGGCGGCGCCGUCGUAGUCGACCCAGACCUGCAUGGCCUUCCGGCUGACCAGGCUCAGGUUCCGGAACUGCCCGGUGCCGUCGUCGUAGUACCCGGCGUCCGCCGCGGCGCGCGACACCAGGCUGUCGACAUCGACGCCGACGUGGUUGCUGUUGAUGUCGCCGAAGUCGGCGUUGAAGAGCGUGUCGAACUCCACGGCGAGGACGUGGGAGCUCCGGUUGCCGUUGUUGUUGGUGUUGAGCAGGCCCAGGAACUGGCCCGGCAGCGCGGCGGAUAGCAGCUCCUUGUCGGAGGCGACGAAGAACGCCAGGCCGUGGCUGCUCAGGUCGACGUACGGGCCGUAGAUGGCGAACACGAAGGUGGUCGAGAAGGACCGGGCGGCGGUGGCGUUCCGGGCGCCCGGGUCCUGGAACGGCAGCGGGGACGGGUGGAACGCGUGACCCUUCAUCUGGAUGGUGCCGUUGGUGAGCAUCAGGAGGCCGUUCGGCGUCACGGAGGCCGCGCCGUCGAGGGUGAGGUUCGCGCCCUUGAAGCCGUUGUAGACGAACCGGCCGCCAUCGCCGCCGGCAGUGGCGUCCGCGCAGCGGCCAGCGGGCGCAAGGAGGAGGAGGAGGAGGAGCAGUGCGGCCAGGUGGAAAGUCUGAAGCGGCAUUGCUCCGACGUCGCCGUUGGAUUUCUGAAUUGUAAACGGCAGGCGCCAGUUUUGGUGCGGCAGUAAUACGCAACCGUCAGCAUAAAGUUUUUGGAAGUGUCCGAUGGGAGGAAAAUUCAGGGAUCCUCGUGGCGCGUGAGGAACAUCACCUACCAAUUAAGUUGAAGAUUGCGGCGGACUCGGGACUGAAAUGCAUGGACGGGGCGAUUUAGCUGAUGGUGUUUCUGUCUGGACUCAGGGGAAGCAAUAUUUGAACAGGGAAAGGGGACAGCGGGGGGGGGGGGGGGGGGGGACGGAGAGCGUUGACCCUUGUCGGAUCCAACACCACGAAGAGUGCCAUGUGCUAGAAUUGGCAACCCAGACGCGACUCGCGAGAGCAAUCAAGUUUGUGUGCCACAGCCUCUACGGGACUACGCAAUCUCUUCUCUUAGUCCCUAUUUACUGUCACAUCAAUUAAAUAUAAAUUAAUUACAAAACCAAUUGCAUAAACAAAGACUAAUUCACGAGAUAAAUCUAUUAAACCUAAUUAAUCUAUGAUUUGACCAUGUGAUGCUACAAUAAAUAUGUGCUAAUCAUGGAUUAAUUACGCUUAUAGAUUCGUCUCGCGAAUUGGUAUCAAACAUUCGGGUCACAUCGGAUGUUUAUAUACCAAUUAGAAGGACUAAACAUGAACUAAUUAUAAAACUACAACAAGCAUGCUGUAGGUUCCACUGGCUACACUGCUCCUCCUCCUCGCAAGCAUGCUCAAAAUGAUGAUAUCUACUACAGCAAAGGUUCGACAAGGGCAGCAUUACUAGCAGCAGGGGGAGCUAUCAAGAUAUUUUCCUCUGCGAGCAUAUUAGAACUGUAUAAGUAAUUUGCUCCUAUGUAAAUAAGAUUCAUUAUGUUGCUCUAAAUAAUUAAAACUCAUCGGCGUGUACGCUUGUGGCUGAAGGGAUCCACAAAUAUGCUUUUGCACUUGUGAGACCACCGGGACAUCAUGCGGGAACAAGUGGCCCAAGUGGCUUCUGCAUAUUUAACAAUAUUGCUAUUGCAGCUUCACACUUGUUGGAGAAAUACGUGAGUUUUGUGUGCUGUGUCCUGAAAGUAACUAGUCAAUGGUUAACUUUCCAAUUUCCAAGCCAUAAGAUGCCAAAGUAGAGAUAGGAUACAAACUGAAAUCUUUUUCUGAUUCUUUUUUUUAUACAUGUGUAGAAAAUGAGAAAAAUACUGAUAAUUGAUUGGUAUGUACAUGGUAAUGGUACACAGCAGAUCUUCUAUAAAGAUAAUUGUGUCUUACUCGUCUCCUUGCACAGGUACAAACUUGAACACUAUAGGCAGUGCUUGGGUAAAUUGUUAGGGUGUUUUAUAAGUUCUUUAUCUUACAGGCACGGACAAUUCUAUCCCUCAACUGACCUAGGAAGUCUUGGCCAUAUUGGUGAGGGGAAUGGCAGGGGUUGUGUUGGACUCAUGAGGGUAUAAGAGAUGCAGAUUAUAUCUAUGCUUGGGACCAUAUUGUUUUACCCAUGGCCGAUGAGUUUAGACCUGAUAUCAUUCUAAUCUCAGUUGGAUAUGAUGCAGGUGUGCUUUGGCUAGCCCCUUUGUUUCUCCUUUUCUACCUUAAUGAAAUGAUACGCAGCUCUCUUGCGUUAUUCGAGGAAAAAAAAAUUGUCCAUACACACAAAGAAACGUCACCUAAAAGCAAACCUUAUUUUUCUCUACCUUGUCUUCCUCUCUCCCAACAUCAUAUGCUUAGGAGAGUAUUUCUAUUUCUACCCACAAGAAUACUGUGUAUUCUGUUUUGGCAGUUGAAGGUGAUCCUCUGGGUGAUUGUAAGAUGACUCCAGGUGGAUAUGCAGCCUUGCUUGAUAAGGUAGUUUCUUGUAGUCUAUUUUUAUUCUCUUUUUAUUCUUACUCUUGUUCUUCUGACAUCCCCCUCUCUAUUUAGUUAAUUAGGUUUGUUCAUGUCGCCAUGGUCCUUGAGGGUGGCUACGGCUUGGAUCAGCUAGCCGAUUCUGUUUCUGCAUGUGUGAAGGUGCUCCUGGGUGAUAGGAGUGAUAUCAACUCUCAAAUAACAAGCUUACCAUUCGACACAACAGUAAAUAUGGUGAUGGAGGUAUGCAUUUUUACAUCAUUAAAUAUACAAAAUAGUAUCUAGAUUAGAAUUCAUAAAUUUCAGAAAAGAAUUCCAUGGCCUAUGGCCAAUAUUGUAGAUAAAAUUAUGACAGAACAUGCUAAACGAAAUUCUUUGAUGCAGGUCAAUUAAUAAGAUUGUUUAUGUUUUUAUGCAACCCUUUACAUCACUUGCAUUGCUUUGCUUAGUAUGCCAGCAAAAUCAGUUGCUAACAACAUCCCAACAGUAGUUACCAAAAUACUAGCAUAUACAGGGGUGGAUCUAGGGCUUGGGCUGGCGGGCUGGAGGUAUUGCAGUACGGGUCCAGCUCAUGUAUUCGCCUACUAUAUGUAUGCUGCUGUGCGGCUUGUUCAGUUCGUUCUUAACUCUCUCUUGCAUAUAGAGGAACAAACUGUGGUUUAGCCCGAGGUCUAUCCCAUUUCUGGGUCCGCCCCCGGGCAUAUAUGCUAUCACAAAGACUUCUAAGAUGCCCGUAAUCUCGUUUUAGGACUAGCAAUUAUGCAAUGCUUCUUAUCCUGGAAAUAAACACCAAAUAUGUGUAAAAUGCAUGAUGCUAACCGACAAAAUCCUAAAGUUUCAUGCCAGCAUAUUGUUAGAUGCAGAUGAAUGAUUCAGAGCUUUUGCCUUCUCGAUAUAAAUAAUGCAAAUACAUCAUUCGUUUUAUUUUAUUUUUUUCAAUUGUUGUUUCCCGGAAAGGAAAGUUACUUUCCGUGAACUACACAUAUAUCUGUUCCAGGCUUAUAGGUUGCCGUUUAUCAUUGGUUAAAGAACUGUUUGGUGAACUUUUAACCCUACAAAGCCUUGUACUUUGAGAUGAUGUUUGCAGAAUAAGUAGCCCAGAGGAGCAAAAAAACAAGAAAAUAUAAUACUUGUAAAUGUUGUGAUUGUAAAUCUAAAUGUUUGCUUUAUCAACAAAGAAAGCAGAGGCGGCUCUAGAGGGGGGCUGCUAGUUUGUGGAUUAGUGAUAAGAAUAUUCUGCUAGUACUUGUGGUUUUCAUUUUUAUUUAAUCACAAAAUAAAAAUAAAGUUUGUUUUUAUUUGUUUGCAGACUUGUCAAACACAUAAACCAUUUUGGAAGGCUUUCAAGAAGGAUAUCCCUGAAGAAAUUACAUCAAGGAGCAUACCAUUCACAAGAGACAUAGAGGUAAAUACGGCAGUUUGUAUAUUUUAGUAGAUGGGAAGGCGUGUCUAACUUUAUUGAUUAUGUUUGCAAUAUAAUAUACUUAAAAUUCAAUUUUUUUGUUUACUACUAUAAAAUUUUGGAAUUGGCCAAAUAAAUUAUGCAAAAGGAACAUGGACCAUAGAUCUACCUCCUGUAAUUCUUUAUAAUACCUUUUAGUUUUCGUGACACACAGGGUGGAAGAAAAGUCUGAUCUUUCAUCGGCCAAGAAACUGGAUGCGAUAAUUUGUAUAUAGGCUACUUCUUCCUUUCCCAGCAUUUGCUCCCUGGCUUAAGAUAUGGAUAGUCGUUACAAUACUUGUGUAUAGGGUGUUUGUACUUCUUGCACCAAUGCAUUUCGGGUAACCGAGUUACAGGCUGUUAGGAUCAUUCCUACACACAGUGGCGGAUCCAGAAACGGGCUUCGCCCCGGGCUAACUAAUAUAAGGCUUAAAAUCUUACUAGCCAUACACUAUUAGAUAUAAUAUAUUUUUCAAAGAGCAUAAUUCAACCAAUAGACUCAAACAAUACAUAGAAUAUUGAAGGUAGAAAAGUACCAAAUUAAGAGUCUUCCAUGAUAAAAAAAGAACCAUACAUGUCUUCAUGAAUUAACACUACUUUCACUUGUUCCGACAUCCUCAAUUCUACAUUAAAAUUUUCAACAUAUCAGCCCUAUAUAAAGCAAAAUAACAUUAUGUAUUGAAAUAGACUAAUACAAGUAAACAACACGCACCCUCGUUUGGCAAAUUCAUCUUACGGUUUCUUAAGCCUUGAAAGUGCUUUAGAAUUUUUUCAUCUUCAAUCGACGCAAACAAAUCUCGCUCAAUAUAGCACAUCAUGCUAUUAUUCAACCAAUCAUCAUUCAUUUUAUUUCUUCGUUCAGUCUUGAUAAUAUUCAUAGCAGAGAAGGCUCUUUCAACUGUUGCUAUUGCCACCGGCAAAAUCAAUGCAAGUUCAAUGAGACGAUACACCAAAGGAAAAAUUGUAUCUCUUCCAGUCUGAACCAUCUUCUCAGCAAGGUUACCAAGAUCAAUACAAGUGUCAAAAUUAUCAUCAUUUCUGACUUCAUCAAUGAAUAUAGGAAGGUCACCCGCAAGCUUUAUGCAGUCAUAAUCACAGAAGUCAUCUUUAUAAAUCUUAGCAAGCUCAACUAACUUCUGUACUUCAAAGUUGGCAAAAGAAUCCCUCGGAUCAAGACAAGCAACGCAUCUCAAGAGUUGAGUUGAUCUUUCUGGAAAUCGAUUGUUUAACUCACAAUAAACUUGAUCAAUCACAACAUUGAAAAUUCCAUGAUGAAAAUGAUGGUAGUAACUCACUAGUUUAGCACCACGACAUCUCGAACGACCUCUAACUGGUAUCAUAUCUUCCAUAUUAGGAAUUUCUAUGUUGUUGAGGAGGCAAAACUCCUUUACUUCUUCAAAAAGAGCAUCCCAACCAUUUUCCCUCAUUUCAUUCAUAUUUCUCAUCACAGAGCCAAUUAAUCCUAUUGCACGAACAAUAUUUUGAUUUUUCUUUUGCAAACAUUGUGACAAGUCUUGAGUCAUCCCCAAUACUCUAAUCAUAAGAUGUAAUAUGAACACAAAUUCAAAUGACUCCAUUCUUUGAAUCAAUCCAGAGGCUGUAGUUUUUUUUCCCCAUCAGUUCCAUCUUCACUAAUAUUCUCCAAUACCUCCAGUACAGAGGACCACAUGAUCAUAAGACAUGCCAAUGUUUUGUGAUGUGUACCCCACCGUGUAUCACCAGGCCUAGCAAGACUAGUUUCUUGGUUUUUCCCUCUCCUAGAAAAAAUAGCACUACUAUCUAACUGCUCAACAAGCUUAUCAUGAUGACUUUGAAGGAGUUGAUCUUUCCUCUUGCAAGAAGCACUAACAACAUUGACGAUUGAAGUGACAUAAUUGAAGAAAUCAAAAGUUGAGCCACAACACUUGGCUACAGAAACUACCACAAGCUGCAAUUGAUGAGCAAAACAAUGGAUGUAAAAGGCAUAUGGAAUUUUCGUUCAAUACCAAUCUUUGUAACCCAUGAAAUUGUCCUCUCAUAUUUGAAGCUCCAUCAUAUCCUGGCCCUCUAAUCUUGGAAAUAGAUAGACCAUAUCUUCUAAGCAUAGUAUCCAAUGCUUCUUUUAGUGAAGUUGAUGUGGUGUCAGAAACAUGUUCAAUGCCAAGAAACCUCUCAAUCACACUUCCUUUAUCAUUGACAAACCUACAAGAGAAAUGAGAAAAUAGUGUUACUUGAAAGCAACAAAACAAAACUAAUAAAAUAACCAAAUAGAGAGAAGGUAUAUACCUCACAACCACAGCCAUUUGUUCCUUAAUAGAUGCAUCACGAGCCUCGUCGACAAGAACCGCAAAACAACGAUCUCCUAUUUCACUUUUAAUUAACUCACUUGUCUCCUCUGCACAAGCCCUAGCCAAAUCUUUCUGAACCAUUGGACUACUCAUUUGAUUAUUCCCUGGAGCAUUUUCACCAGUCACAAGUGCAGCCUUAGGAUCCUUCUUUCUGUACCAUUCGAGCAUCUCCAUAAAGUUCCCUUUAUUUUUUGAUGUUUUAGACUCAUCAUGUCCACGAAAGGCUAGAGCUUGCAAAAGGAGAAAUCUAGCAAUGCCUAACAUGAUACUUAAACGAGCUUUAUAUGCCUCCUCUUCUGCUGCACUUGUAACAGACCAUACAUGUUCAACACUUUGCCUCUGAUUUUUGAAAUCAAGUGCACGCUUUCUUGCAUUAUUAUUAAAGCCAUCAAUUGAUUGAGCAUGCUCCUUGAAAUAAUUCUUUGCAUUCUUCCAAUUUCUAAACCCAACUUUGAUGAAUGUAUCAUUACUAUGAAACCCAGCUUGUUGUGGCUUAAAGAGAUAACAAUAAAAGCAAUAAGCUGCAUCCUUGGCUACACUGUACUCUAACCAAUCAAAUUGAUCAAACCAUGAUCCAACAAAUCCUCUUGAUUGGCCUUUACCAUCUUUUUUCGUUUUUGGAAACUUAUGACCAGCUGGCCUAUAUGGACCUAUUUGUAGAUAUGCUCUCCUUGCCUCAUCCCUAAUGUCAUGAUGAAAAUCAUCAAUUGGCUUCCUUUCUCCUGGAUCAGCAACUAUAUCUCUCAUAUCAAGUUCAAUCCGUGGUCUUUUUGCUCCAUCUUCCUAUUGCCUCNNNNNNNNNNNNNNNNNNNNNNNNNNNNNNNNNNNNNNNNNNNNNNNNNNNNNNNNNNNNNNNNNNNNNNNNNNNNNNNNNNNNNNNNNNNNNNNNNNNNGGAUUCUAUAUAUAGCCAGUACAGGACCUCCACUCUGUAUCCUCUCCAAAACAUAGGAGGCCCUAUAAUUCCUAUCUCGGCAGAGGGAGAGACAAGUUCGUUCCUGAUACAUUAUGAUUGGCGGCGCGCGGAUGACGGCGAGCUGGGCGGGCGGCCGGGCGCUGCCUGGCGCCUGGCGGCGAGUCGGGCAGGAGGAUUGGAGUCGGGGGAGCCGGGAGGCCGCACCGCGCACGCGCACAUCAGCACAUGGGCCGGCCGGAGGCAGUGCUAGGCUGCUAGGGCAACGGCCAACGGGAGUUGUUGGGCCGCCUGGGCGCCUGGGCUAACUUCUCUUCGGGGUGGGCUAAUGGGCCAAAAUGGUUUUUUAUACUAUUUUUAUGAAGAAGUUUUCCACUGCUCUUGGGCCUCGCCCCGGGCUGCAGCCCGGGGCCCAGAUCCGCCCCUGCCUACACAUGUGGUCAUGUGGAGUAUGUAGGCUCCAGAAACAGAAAGUGGAUUGGCCCUUGUUCCCGAAAACCUGGAUACUGUAAAGCAUCCAAGAAGAUUGUAAGGUUUUUUGUUGGGGUAAUAAUUGCUACCUGAGUUGAUUGCAGGGGUAAACCUGUUGACUUGUCCCGUGUUUGUUUCAACUCUUCCGUACUGAGUAGGCGAAUAUCGUGUUUGGUCUACCCACUGUCACCGCCUGUUUGCCCAUUUCACACCCGUCCCCAACUGUGACAGUGAGUAGGAACAGCUCGCCCCCUCAGGCCUCCAUCUCCUGCAGUCCUGCCUAUGCCUAGGAAACAGUACCGAGACCAAAGCUUAGGGGGGUGUUUGGAUACCCUUGGGCUAAUCCAUCACAUCGGACGUUUGGAUGCUAAUUAGGAGUAUCAAAUAUAAGCUAAUGAUAAAAUAAUUGCAUAAACGAGGGUUAAUUCACGAGAUGAAUCCAUUAAGCCUAAUUAGCUCAUGAUUAGCACAUGUGAUGCUAUAGUAAACGUGUGCUAAUUAUGGAUUAAUUAGGUUUGGUAGAUUCGUCUUCUAAAUUAGCCAUGACUUAUGCAAUUAGUUUUAUAAUUAGUUUAUAUUUAGUCCUCCUAAUUGGCAUCUAAACAUCCAAUGUGACCCGGACUAAACUUUAGCCCAGGAUCCAAAUACCCCCUUAGUAUCAAGUAUCAUGUGCUGGGAGGAUGGCGAACAGAUAAUUGAAGGUGUGUGGGUGUUGACAUAUGCAUCACCAUCCAUGAACGGUCCCAGCAAUGCUGCAUCCAAACUCGGGAAUGCUUCUGCAUUGCGGGGUGUAUUUGGUGAAUACAGAUACUACCUCUAUCUCUUUUUAUCUGUCGCUUGGGAUUCCCAAGCGAUAGAUAAAAAGGGAUGGGAGGAGUAGAAUAUAAUCGUUGGUGAAGCCUGAAGAUGGGUCAGAUUUCAGAUCUAUCUUACAUCUGCUUCGCUAAUGUUAUGUCGUGCCUUUUUUUUCUUUCUUCUCGUAGCUUCGUUCGCCUUGAGGCGGCCAUUCUUCAUGGCCCACGUAACAUGAAACUCCAAAACCUUGAGUUGUUGAUUGUGCUCAGGUUUGCGACUUCUCCAAGAGGCCAAGACCCAGUAUAAUUGUAGGGCAAAUACGGUCGGUUUUUUUGUAGGAGCCAAAACCUGAGAUAGUAGAUAAACUGGGCCAAGUCGAAGCUGCAUGUCGCACGAUCAAGGACACAAAACCAAAAAUUUCAAGUGAUGCAUCAUUCCUCUCGAACCGGCAUUCCUCCUGACAGACAAAACAGGGUUCAGAAAAAAGGGCCAUCAAAUGAUCAAAGCCCAAAGCAGCUACACUACAUUCUCUGCACACCCUUGUGCCAGUGGCCAGUGCCACUAGCCCGAAGAGCUCCUUCGUUCCGUCGAGGCAAGCAAGAUCGCAGCAGGGAGGGAGGGCAGGACCUAGCAUCAUCAUCCGUGGACGGGCCCAGCAAAGCUGCAUCCUCUGCCGUAGGCUGUAGCCUUUGCGAGAAUCAUACAUCGAUACACACAUGCGUACGCGCGCGCCACACCGCCCACACGUUAUCCUGGGCGGGGAACGCCCGCGUCUACUCUACACGCCGCCAUGCCGGGGAGCGGUCACGGCAUGUUGCUGGAAUGAUUGGUCGCCCUGGGGCCUGGAAAGCAGCGUCCAUCGCGCCUGCCUCGUGUACGCCGCGGGCACAAGCGCCACCAUUCUGCUCCUGAAAGCGUCUCGAUCAUGGAGCAUGCGGCAUGCCUGCGGAAACCAAGCACGGAGUAGCAGUCCGCCAGUCCGUGCAGGUACCAUACCAUACCGGGAGAGAAGCACACAGGCUCGACUCGACAGCGAAUGACAAGUGCAUUCCCAUUGCUAAAGAAAGCCUAGGCGCGAUGCAGAAACCGGAGCAAGCUCUAGCUCGCUCUAGAGGCGGCGUGCACCAACGUGAUCCGAUGAGUGCGUGCAAGCUGCUGCGUGCGGCGGCUGCCGGCCGGCCGGGCGCCUGGGCGGGCUGAUCCGGCAUGGCAGCGGCGUCAGCCUGACGGAUGUCCAUGUCGCGGAAGCAGAGGUGCUUGAGUUUCUGCAGCUGGGAUGGAUUGGGUGAGUUUCAUCGCUCAACCGUUUUACUGGACAUGGGUCCUCCCUAACUAUGAUACCAAUCAUUUUACCUCCCCAACUAAAAUACCGACAAGUUUUGUGUGCAUAAAACAUACACGUCAGCCUAGCAUGUUAGGGAAAAUAAUAGUUUGUUUAUCGUAGGUUAUAAGUCAAAAUAUUCUUAUUUUGUUUUUUCUACAAAACAAUUUUUAAUGGCUUCUGGUAUAAAAAAAUUCUACUACAUUCAUGAAAUAAAUUUUCUUGGUUCAAAAUGAUUUUUAUUCAACCAGAACAUUAUUUUAUCUAAAAAUAUUUUUUCCAAUGGCUUGGAUAAUUUUGCUAUAUUCGUAGAACAUUUUUUCUUGGUUCAGAACAAUAUUUUAUUUGAUCAUCACAUCUUGAUUUCUACCUAGGAAUUUUUUUUGCUAUUGGUUUGUCGUGGGGUUGUUCCCGAUGGAUAAAACACACAAGCCCACCCCUAGGAGGUGACAAAAAACAAUCUAAAUUUGCGAAGGAUUGUGUGGGGUUUAAAUGGACAAGACUUAAAUAUGGACUAAAAGAGUCAUGGUCUUUUGGAGGAAAAAGCCUAUUCCAGUAGUACAGUUCACUUCCACCACAUUGUACUAUUGAAAUGCUUAGGUCUUGAAUAUUGAAUCUUUCAAGCGACAUAUAGGGUGUUUUUUCUCAAUUAUCUCAAAUUAGAAAGACAGCUAGCCCCGUGGGCACUAUGACAAUUAAAAUGUCAUAAUACUUUCUAUGCUGCAGAGAAAACACAUAAAGCCAUAAAAGAAUACCAGCAAAAAAAGCCAUAAUAGAAAGGUGGAAAGUUUUUCUUUUUACAAACAAGCAUAAGCAGUACCUAUCUCACUCAACAAAGUAGAAAUUUACAAGCAGCCAGCCAAAAUGUAAAACACAGGAGCAUCAACAAAAUUGUCAAAAGGUCCUACGCCCCUGCAAGGAAUAUCGUUAAACGCCUUGCUCCCAUUAACACCAAGGUCUUGCUUCCUCCUGAACCUUCCUUCCGUUGGAAAUUGAAGCCCUAAUUGCAUUCUUUCACAUUGUUGACUUACUGGAUCACCUUCCCUCAAGAAGAAUAGUCACAGAGGAUGAGCCAAUGCUCGCUAUUGAUAGAUCAUCCAAGCUGACGUACGAAUCAAAUCCUUCAUUCCGCAUCAGUGACAGAUCAGGAGGAAUCGACUGACUAGAUUCCAUGUAUUGCAUGACCCUUCGCAUGCUAGGCCUUAUAUUGGGCAACGGGUGUGCGCAUAUCAAACCCAGUUUCAGCACUAGGAUUACCUCUUCCCUUUCAUACUUCCCCACGAGCCGUGGAUCCACGACGUCGAGGAUUGAGCCAUUGUCAUGAUGCUCGAUCACCCAAUCUACCAGCACGAUCCGACUGUUGCGGUCAUCGUGAUCGAUCGGCCUCCGUCCACAAGCGACCUCCAAGAGGAACACACCAAAUGCAAACACAUCGGUUAAGGGUGUUGCCUUCCCCGUGCGUAUGAGCUCUGGCGCAAGGUACCCUAUGGUCCCGGCAACGUGUGUGCUCUGAGGAUCGGUGCCAUGGUCAUACAGUUUGGCCAAGCCGAAGUCGCUGAGCUUACUGUCCAUCUCGCCAUCCAAGAGCACAUUGCUCGCUUUUACAUCUCGAUGGAUAACAACUUGCUCGCAGUACUCGUGUAGAUACAGGAGGCUUGCUGCAACGCCUUUGAUGAUCCUGUACCUCACAUUCCAAGAAAGUGCUGGCGAUUGCUGAUCAUGUAAGUGUCUAUCAAGACUGCCAUUUGCCAUGUAGUCGUACACCAAGAGAAGUUCACCUUCACGCCUGCAGUAGCCCAGUAACUGCACGAGGUUCCGGUGCCGGAUGCGGCCAAUGCUCACCACCUCAGCGACAAACUCUCUGAUUCCUUGUCUCGAAUCAUGUGACACCUUCUUCACCGCGAUCUCCAAAUUGGAUGGCGCAAGUAUCCCUUUGUAUACUCUCCCGAACCCUCCGACGCCAAGUAAGUUGCUAUCCUUGAAGCCAUCGGUGGCAUGGAACAAAUCUUUGUAUGAGAACCGGUGCGGGCCGAACUCAUCCUCCCAAUCUUCCCGCACCUCGGCAUACCGGCGCCUUCUCCGUAGGAUCAGGAAGACGGCUGCUACCACUGCAAUCACUAGCAAGGCGAUGGCGAGUGGCAGCGCGACAACGAACACCUUGGACCGAGGCUUCGGACCCACGGGCGGCAGGAACGGAAGCUUGGAGAAGUCCAGAGGAGAAGCUGGCCCGUCCAAGCAGAAGCUCCAUCCGAGCACGUAGUGGCUCGUCAACAUGAUACUGGACGUCGACGAGAAGCCAAUGUACGCCGGAUCGGCGACGACCGUCGAAAGAUCAAUGUUCAUGGAGAGAAGAGGUCUCUUGGGCUUUGGCACUCGCCCCGGACCUAGGGUCACAUUGAGCUGCCUGGCCUGGCCGUCGUAGUCCACCCACACUUGCAUCGGCUCACGGCUGUUUAGCCUCAGUUCUUGAAAGGCGCCGCCGGCGCGGUCGUUGUAGUAGCCGGCUGAGCUGGCUCGCUGAGACACGAGGCUGUUGACGUCGACGCCGACGUGGUUGCUGUCGAUGUCGCCUAACUCGGGGUUCAUGAUGGUGUCGAGCUCGACGGCCAGGAAGUGGUCGCUCGCCGAGCCGUCGUUGAUCACGUUGAGGCCCAGGUACUGCGCGCCGCCGUUCGCCGCGGAGAGGGCGGUGGUCGGGGCGACCACGAAGGCGAGGCCUUGGUCGCUGAUCAGCCCGUCGUGGACCGGGGACACGAUGGCGAAGACGAAGCACGUCGAGAAGGACCGCGGCGCGGCGGUGCCGUUCGCCGCCGUGGCGGGCUUGCUGAUGAGCAGGUGCAGAGGCUCCGGGUGGAAGGCGUGCCCUUUCGCCUGGCGCGUGGCGUUGGUGAGCUCGAGGAGACCCCCGAGCGUCACGGCGGCGUGGCCGGCCAGAGUUAGGUUCGCCGCCGCGAAGCCGUGGUAAACAAACCGGCCGCCGUCGGCGGCGGCUGACGCGGCCACGUGAAGCAGGAGGAGCACAACGACGAAGGAUACGAGCUUGGAAAGCAUAGUUAGCUUUUGCGGGAAACUUGGCAUUGCAGCCGCAGAAUACAAACCCUUAGGAUGCGUCUGUCGGCUAAAUGAUUGCUUGGUCUGUGACUAUGCUGUGGAGCUUCUCGACGGUAGGCUGGGUGUUGAAUGUUUCGGUCGCGUGCAUUGACUUGUCGAUGUCCUGUAAACUUUUGUCCCGUGCGUUUAGCACCCUGAUUGACAGGGAAGGGUGCUCAUGCAGACCCGGCGUUUUGUAAGCCAGUAAUCUGGCAGAUGCAGGAUGGCUACUUCUCUGCUGUUCGCUCUGUCGCCGUGCCCUGCAGGGUACAAAAAAGGACGGGUGACUGACAUCAUUCACCUUUAUUUUGAUCGAUUGGUCAUUGAGCUUAGUCCAAAUUUGACAAAGUAUGCUUUACCUGAGCUUGUUUAUUUGUUGCUCGUUCGAGCCUGAUUGGAAUAUGGCAAAUUAGUCUCCUACUAGUAUAUAUCAGAUAAUGUGCAUGUCUCAAAUCGAUCUAGUCAGGUUGUGUAGUGGGUCAAUCCUAGAGUUGCAAUUGAUCUCGUCAUGAAUGCAUUUCUAAGAGUAUUCAGGGUCUGGACUUGACUGAUUCAGUGAGGCGUUUGUCAACUCAUGCACAGGUUACUUGUAAAAAAAAAGGAAAAAAAACUAAUGCGCAGCUUACUCUUGACUUUGAUUCAAACAUUUUGUAUCCGUUCGUUUUGUUAUUGUUGCUUUUUUGUAAUCUAACUUAUCGAUAUGCCAUUUGGGGGUGGACAAUAUAUGGUAUAUCAGAGAUAGAAUUCAGUAAUUUCUUAGUACAACGCGAACAAGAUAAUUACUAAUUAAACAUCAAAUAUUCUGAUCACAAGCACCACAUCACCUUCCUGGUGAGAAAUCAGAAACGGCACCCGAGCUCGCUGAUGACAUAGAUGACAUCAUAUUCUGGUUGAAAUCCGUGCCAUACAUCCGGCCCAGCAUGGUAAAAUUUAGGGAUGUUGAUGACAAGUUGGGAAGGGGCAUAUCACCAUCGAGAUACUGUAUGACUUGCCGCAUGCUUGGCCUUGCGUUGGGUAAUGGGUGCGAGCACAUCAACCCUAGCUUAAGUACUAGAGUGAUCUCAUCAGGAUCAAAUCCACUCGGGAUCAUCGUGUCCGCCGCAUCAAUGAUCAAACCCCUGCGCCAAUGCUCAGCUACCCAAUCCACAAGCACGACGCAGUUCUUGUGCUCAUCUUCCCCGACCGGCCUUCGCCCGCAAGUGACUUCUAGAAGGAAUGCACCGAAGGAGAACACAUCAGCUGCUGGAGUUGCCUUGCCGGUGUGCCCUAAUUCAGGUGCUAGGUACCCCAUAGUACCAACCACAUGGGUUGUUUGGGGAUCGUCUCCAUGUCCAUACAACCUUGCGAGUCCGAAAUCUCCUAGUCGUCCAUUCAUCCCGCUGUCGAGGAGCACAUUGCUUGCCUUGACAUCUCGGUGAACCACAACUUGUUCCCAAUCCUCAUGGAGGUAUAGUAGUCCAGAUGCCACUCCUCUGAUGAUAUGAAAUCUCUGAGGCCAAUCCAGUGUACCCUUGCUCCGAUCGUACAAGUAUUUGUCUAGGCUACCAUUUGGCAUGUAAUCGUAGACCAAGAGAAGUUCACCUUUGCGCCGGCAGUAGCCAAGUAAUUGCACGAGGUUGCGGUGACGCAGUCGUCCAAUACUUGAAACCUCUGUGACCAAUUCCUUCAUGCCAUGCUUUGGCUCAUGAGACACCUUCUUCACCGCGACCUCCAUGCCGGACUUGUGGAGAGCGCCCUUGUACACACUUCCAAACCCUCCUUUCCCGAGCAGUCGCUUCUCGCUGAAUCCCUUGGUCGCAUGGAACAGUUCCUUGUAGGAGAACCGGUGCGUCCCCAACGCUGUCUCCCAGUCCUCGCGCACCUCGGUGUACUUGAUCCGCCGCCGCACCAGGGUGAAAAUCGAGACGCCCACGGCGAGCAACAGCGUCACCGACGCUAUGGGCAGCACGAUCUCCAACACCUUCGACCGUGGCUUGGACCCCGCCGGCGGCAAGCCAGGCAGCGCCGCGACGUUCAGCGGCGGGGCGGGUCCGUCCAGCGCGAAACUCCAGCCGGCCACGAAGUGGCGUGAGAAGAGGACGCCCGUCGCCGACGUGAACCCCACGUACGCCGUGCCCCGCAUCACACCGGAAAGGUCGACGGCGGUCUGCAGCAACGGCUUCUUCGGCCUGGGCACGCCCAGAGGGGCCAUGGUCACGGUGACCUGCGUGGCCUCGCCGUCGUAGUCCACCCAGACCUGUAUGGCCUUCCGGCUUACCAGGCUCAGGUUCCGGAACCGCCCCGUGCCAUCGUCGUAGUACCCGGCGUCAGCGGCAGCGAUCGACCUGAGGCUGUUAACGUCGAUCCCGACAUGGUUGCUGUUGAUGUCGUGGAAGUCGGCGUUGAGGAGCGUGUCGAACUCCACGGCGAAGAUGUGGGCGCUCCGGUUGCCGUUGUAGGUGGUGUUGAGCAGGCCCAGGAACUGGCCCGGCAACGCGGUGGAUAGCAGUUCCUUGUCGGGCGAGACGAAGAACGCCAGGCCGUGGCUGCUCAGGUCGACGUACGGGCCGUAGAUGGCGAACACGAAGGUGGUCGAGAAGGACCGCGGCUUCUGGGCGGCGCCGCCGAACGGCAGGGGGUCCGUGUGGAAGGCGUGGCCCUUCAUCUGGAUGGUGCCGUUGGUGAGCAUGAGGAGGCCGUUCGGCGUCACCUCGGCCGAGCCAUCGAGGGACAUGCUCGCGCCCGCGAAGCCGUUGUAGACGAACUGGUGGCCGUCGCUGCCGCCGCCGGUGGCCGCGGCCCCGCGGUGAGCGGGCACGAGGAGAAGGACCAGAGCGGCGCAGAGCUGAAGGAGCAUGGCUUUUGCGUCACGGGUGGCGCAGGCGCAGGCGCAGGCGCGCAGCCAAUGAUACGUCCCCUUUUUUUCCCUCCUUUGAAACUGAAAGGCAGCUUUCUUAGCCUUGAAUCGCUGGUCACCUGAAUUGGAUUGUAUAAUUGCAGGCAGAAAAUCCACAGUAUAUUUAUGUGGGUCACAGAUGCUUUCAUCGUAAGCCUUUUAAAGUGAUUUUAGGGAGGAAAAAGUUCUGGGGUACUCGUGGGCUCGUGGCACGUCGCCACCUAACAAAUUAUACAGUCCUUCAAGGUCAGCCUUGCAGUGCCCUUCUUCAUGGAGCUCAUCACCAUUCUUGCUUGGAGCAUGUGGAUUGUUACAAAUGAUGCAAUCUUCAACAACACAAUUGCAGAUCGAAAUUCAAGCAUGAAUUCGCAAUGCUUAUGUAUCAUGCGAAAAAGAGCUACUUCAUUCGCAUCAGUAACUUGCUAGUCUCUCUAGAUUAAACUUUAGCUCUUUUUUGUUGUUUUUCUCUUUUCUUGUUUUCUGCUCUCUUUUUGGUUUCUUUGUCCUGCAUCAUAAAUCCAGUAGGGAGCUCCUGCUCUUGUUUUUUGAAAGAAGAAAAAAAACGUCGCCACCUACCAAGCUGCUGAUCGAGCAUGCUGAACUGCUGACUGGAAGCAUCAAUGGUUGAGUUUCUAGCUAUUUUUACUCCACAGUGAGAAGGAGAAAGUCAGGUAGACCGGAAAAUUAGGCGGCUCAUUGCCAGAACUGCCGUCAAACUUCAAAGGAGCUUGGAAUUUCUUUUUUUUAAAUGGCGUGCAAAUAUAUGAUUUCGAUAGCUUAUCUCUGCCUGUUCGAACAUGCUUCCAUAACUGGAUGCGGUUGAUUGAGCUCAUGCGGCUCUGUAGCCUGUCCAGUCAAAAAUUUGUUAAGCAUGUUGUUUUGCACGAGGAUUUAGCCAAAAUUUCAAAAACUUUAGUAUAUCAACACAUGUCAAAAUAUAACAAAUAUAUGUAGAGAUUUUUCUCAAAAAGCAUUAAUCGAAUGGGUUUUAGGUAUUAGAUCACAUACUCCCAAACAUGAAAAACUAUGCAAACAGCAAGCAGAACUGCUAAUGGGCCGAGGAAGUUUACCUUAUGGGCCGACGUGUGGAUGCUUCUCUAAAAAAAUGAAGCCCAGCCCACGUGGGAUGUGCAAAUGGGGCUCAAAAAUGGACAUAUUCGUUGUUAAGCACUUUCACACAUGCAGUGUACUUAAAGUAUAUUUGACACAAACGUAGGGACACUUUUACUGUUCCAAAUUGUAGAUCAUUUUGAUUUUUCCAGGUGCAUAAUUUUUCUAUACACUUAAAUAGUGUAUGUUUAGAUGCAUAAUAAUAUCUAUGAACCUAAAAAAGCUACAUAUAAUUUGGAACGGAGGGAGUAAUUUUUUAAAUAAUUAUUGGUUAAAAUAUAAAUAGUAAAAGUCAAAAUUAUCAAGUAUUCGUGGACGGAGGUUAGUAGUUCACGAACUGGAUUUUGCAGCUUGUAUAAUUUUUCGCACCCCUAUUGCUUCACAUGACAACUAUAGCAAGCAAACAUUGACUUAUCCGCCCCGGUUAAUUGAUGACCGAUCGAUAAACUUGUCAAACUCACCUUUAAACUUUCACAUUUCAAUAUUUAUACAUGUAACAGCAGGCCAAAACAAAAAUCGAAUACCAAGGAACAUAUACGAAUACCAAUCUCCACACUAUACACGUUACAUGUACGUAUGAACGCGCCUUCUCUACCCCCCGGCAUGUACGUAUAAACUUGUCGGUGUUUUAACGAUCAACGAGCCUCGUGGCAUGUGCGCCUCACCGGGCCUCCCUCUCGUCGUUCCUCCAGUUGCCAUGCAUCUUGGGCCCCGUCGGCCCAUCGCCGACGAACACCUUCUCCACCAGCUUGGCCAGCCGCUCCCUCACCGAGCGCGGCAGGAUCCACGCCACGCGGUUGAUCACACGCCCGAUGACGUACUCCUCCUUCGGACCCCACCCGCGCUCGAACCCGAGCCACGCCGGCUCCGCGACGCCGAGGUACUCCGCCGACACCACCUCGCACCGCCCGGCGCCGCCGGUGUCCAGCCUGCUCCCCCUGGAGGUGUCGUUCCGGAUCCCGACGCCCAGCCUCGAGUCGCCCUGCAGCACCAGCCCCGCCUUCGGGUACAACGCGUGCCCGUGCCGCGACGCGUACGCCACCGGCCUGUUCCCGCCGUCUCCCGCGUCGAGGUACUCCAGCUGCGACGCCUCCACCCACGUCCCCGCGCUGUGCUGCGAGAAGUACAUCCGGCGGAGCUCGCCGGAGAAGUUGCUCACGCGUAGCGUCACGUGCUCCCAGUCGCCGACGUGCUCGCCGAUCUCGCCCAGCGGGAUCGUGAGGAAGCCGACCUUGGCGCGCGCCGGCCCGUUGAACGGGUAGAAGAUCCACACGGCGAGGUCGGUCACCGUCCCCCCCAGCAUCGGCUUCGCCUGCACGUACACCUUCGCGCUGGCGAGGUCGCUCUUCUUGACCUUCUCCCUCUGCUUGUUGUCCGCCGGCAGGUCGAGCCAGUACCCGCCGUCGUUGCCGCCGCCUUGCGGGAGGUUCGACCCGUCGGCGGCCACCGGCGUCGGGAUCUGGCUUCCCUUCUGGUACAGCAGCGCGCCGUUCUCGAAGAACCAUGUCGCCGACGAAGGGAAGUAGGAUUCGUUCGGGUGCAGGUACACGUGCGGCGCGUAGGCCGCGAGGAGGGAGUUCACCUGAGCCAGGUCAGGCAUGGCGGACGUGUAACUCGCGCUGUUGUUCUUCAGGCAUGCCAGCGACGAGGCGUUCGCCGGUGUCACGCUGCUCUGAGCUAGGAACGUGCCGGCGUGCACUCCUCGGGCGUCGAUGCCACGGACCGCCGGCCUCAGAGUGGCCGCGCUGAAGCCGUCCUUGUCGCUGUUGCUCAGUUCCGGCUUCUCGGUCUCGCACGCGUCGGUGAAGUCGGCGCGGACGCACCGGACCUCGUCGGGCGAAGGCUUGUCAGACGUGGCCGUGACCACCGCGCCGACCGCCUUGUAACCAUCAGGAGCCGUGGGGAGCCAGAAAUGGCCGGCGCCGUCCGGGCUGGACCAGACGAGGUUGUAGUCCACGGGCGCGGCAAGGAGUGCUCCGGUGCCGGACGUGUCCCGAGCGACGAGCACGUGACCGAAGAGAGGCCGGCUGUUGGGCUGCGCGUAGUGGCCGAGCACGGAGAAGCCGGCAGGGACCGGCGAGGGCUUGAAGAAGGUGGCGCCGACGCCGUCCUCUCCACCUUGCGUGGUGGACCAGACCUUAGCGAACGUGGUGAUUUGGCGCACUUCUAGGCCUCCAAGGUCUAUGCUGCCCUUCGCAAAUCCUCCAUCUGAAACUGAAACAGCAGCGCCACCGGUGAGCUAAAAAUGUGUUCAGAGCAGACAAGAUAAAGCUACCUCUACCUAAAUUCGAGGUGAUUUCAGGCAAGCUGCCUCUAUACAAAGCUUAAAGAUAACAUUUGACGUGUGUGUGCUUUUGCCGUCUAAAUUUCUACAGUAACCGUCCUCUAAAUUUCUGCCAACGUGUGGAAGCAAAAACGCCCCCAGCAGCUAGGACAAAUUUUAGUUUCUACUGAUGCUCUCUUUGGACAAACAUGUUGGUAGUAGUAGAACUAAACUGAAUUCUACCAGGAAAUCAACGAGCUUAUGAAGACGAUGUACCUGAGGCUGGCCAAGAUGGUAGCGCAACCGGAGGAACGAAGUGCUUCUCAAUGGGCAGCGCCGCCGUCCCCAUGGGCACGCAAGGCAAGCACGACUUGCUCCUUUGCAUAGCUCCGGCAAAAGGUCCGACUGAGAAGAAGGCAAGCAGCAGGCAGCUCGCCGAUGGCUUGUUUGGCGACGACUUCACUACUGCUCGUGCCUUUAAUGCGUCUUCCUCCGCCUCACGGCCCGUCCAUAUAUAAUGUACUGUAUGUUCCUGACGACACGGAUCUAAUCCACAUUAUCGCUUAACUUCCCACGAGAUACACAAGUACCCUCUGCUCGUAGAGGCUCUACUGUUUAGAGUGUUCCGUCUCGGCUUGGACUUGUGUGGUGUCCGUGUGUUAGUUAGAGACCCAGCGGCCGGCAUGAACGGACAGGGUCGUCGCUUGUGGUAGUGUUGCAUGCUUCCGCGCUGUAUAGUUGGAGGAAAACGUGCGACAAGGCGAGAGGACAGCGACGACGCGCUGCAGGCUGCGUCGCGUAGUGGUUAGGUCAGGGAAGGCCAGGCAUAUACAGCAGCCUGUUUUGGCUUCGUCUUUGUAUCCUAGUUGUACUCUCGUCUUUUCUUCCUGCACUCUUUUUUCUAAUAUAAUACAGAAUCAGUAGGGAUGCAAAUCCCUCCUGUUUCAUUAAAAAAAAGGGACCCUACCAAAUUAGAGAAACGAAUAGAACAGCUGAAAGAUUCCGGUGACGAUGCAGAGCAAGAAAGAUUAUUCGCAAGUGUGCCUUGCAACUUGCAGGGCUCCCUUAUCCUCCCAGUGGGACUAUGGAAGUCUUCAGACCCAUCGAACGAGAGUAUACGCAGUUGUUACUUCACGGGAAGAGGAGCAGAAUUGAACUUGCAAAGAAUAUGCGAUAAUGCAAAGGAAAUAUCCUUUUUUCUUUAGCUGCUGGAAGUCACAUCAGUUUGGAGUAUUGGAGUGUUCCAGCACAAAAUUUUCGUUGUUGCACUUGCACAACAGGCGACUUUCAAUUUUUGUUUCUUUUCAUAUACCGUGGGGUAAUCAUUUAGACGAGCAAAUAUUGUUUUCUCUGUUGCAUGUACAAACGGUACAGAGAUGAGAGUAUAGCUUAUCUGUCCAAUCACGUGACGUAUGACCCCAUGCAUGGUGUAAUCCUAAUCCAAUAGACUAUUGAUACAUCUUGCAUUAAAGGAAAAGCGUAUGAUUAUGGAAGUAAACAUCUCGAGGACGACGUAAGUGCAUAGAAAAAACUAUAUAUAUAUAUUAUAUCUAAAAACUAAAAAAUAACUAAUAUUUUAGAACGUAAGGAAUACAAUAAAAUUGCAUAUUGAACAUUAUCAGCAGAAGAAUGCAAUAGACUGAUGAGGAGCCCAAGAUAAGGCCUAUGCGGCCAUGGGCUCUCUCGAGAAAGGAGAUAGAUCUAGGGCUGAUGCUGCUCUUGGCCCAAGCGAGGUCCGCGAGACGUAGACAAGCACGAGCAUGGGCCCGUGACCUGAGGCUCAGGCCCACGAAACGCCGACACGUCAGCUUGCCUGCGCUCUCUUGAGGACGCGGUUAUACAUCGCCAAGAGGCGACAAAUUUGCGUGGGUGACCUUCUAACCGUCCGCGCAAAGGGAUUAAUGGGCCAGCACAUUUUUCAAUGGUUCAGAUACAAUAAUUAGCGCGUCCGUCCGUUGACUGUGAAUGAAGGGGUAUUCACCUAUGAGAGACAACUACACGGAAAGAAAAAAAGAUUCUGGAUGCAUGCAAAUAAAGAGAGCAAAUAAAGAGAGUAAUGAUGACAUCAUCCAUAUACAUGCAGUUUUGAAAUUUAAAAAAUCAUAAAUUAUAAACUGAGCAUCCAAAUUAAAUUCCGAUUGUACCGCUGUAUUUCUUAGAUCUUUAAAACAAGAUCACACUCGACUAUGUUUGGAUGAUUUUAUAACAAAAAUAUUUUUUUAAAAUAUGAAAUGUUAAAUUUGAUUACAACGAACAAAUACUUGAAUAACCAGAACAAAUAAUUGCCUCAUACGAACAAAAAAAUAACAGGGUGAACAAAUGAUUAUAAGCAGCGAAUGAAAUACUAAACAUCACGAAGAUUGCAUGAUGCAAAUAAAAUAGACGUAUAGUAAACAAAAGAUUGAAAAUUUGAUUGUGUAAGAUAAGAUGGUAGAAUAUGAACAUCAAUUUAGAACAUUCUUUUAAAAUACGUACCACUAGAAUAAAUUAUACGAACUCAAAUGUUAUACUAAUCGAACAAGUUAUAUAACUCAUGGAACAAAAAUAAAUACACCCGGAACAAAUUAUACGAACUCACAGAACAAAAUAGUAGUACACAUCGAACAUAUUGUAUGAACUCACAGACAAAGGAUCUACAUACCUCGAACAAAUUUUCGGAACUCAUAGAACAAGUAUUUAUACACUUAGAACAAAUUACAUGAACUCAUUGAAUAAAAAUUUAUACACUUGGAACAAAUAUAUUUGGAUAUAUAACGGUAUUUUAAUCCACGAGUCUACAUGGUUGACCAGUUUAAUCAUAAAAAGGAAUAAAUGAGCCAGUGUCGCGAAUGAAUGAGUCUAUUGAAUACAUAAUUUUACACUCCAAACUAAUAAAUCUAUGUAGAACAACUAAAUGUACUAAGUAAUAAUCUAAUGUACUUUUUUUUACUGAGAAAAAUAUAUAUUGUUAUAAAAAAAUACAAGAGAAGAGUAAAAAGAGAAAAGAAAAAUGAAUCAAAUAAGGAAAAAAUAUAGAUUACAUGAAGAAAUAUAUAGAAGAGAAUCUGAAUUAAAAUAUAAAAAGUAAUUAAUUAAUAAUAAAAAGGAAAAGAAAUCAAAAGGGAAAAAAGAACGAGGAAAUGAAAAUAAGAUCGAAGAUAAAAAAUAAUAUAAAAUAAAAGAAACGAAAAUUAAAGUAAAAGAAAAAAGAAAAAAUAGUCAUAAUAAGAUAUAUGAGCUUGCGAAAUAAAUUAUAAUAUAAAUGAGACGACUAAAAGAAUAAAAAAGAGUGAAAAGGAAAAGCUUCAGUAAGAAAAAGGAAAAAAAAGAAGAAAAUAUGUUAACCGGAGAAGAGAAAUAGAUAGCGAAAGGAAAAAAAAUGAAUGAAAGAAAACACAGUGAUGAAACAAAUAACGAACAGAACAAAGGAAAAAAACACUAAAGAAAAAGAAACCAGAAGCACCUCUCCGUCCACAUGCCACUGCCAGCUCGCAGAAAAAAAAAACAAAACAGCACGAGGGCGGAGUUAGGCUAAAUCACCAGCGACAUAUGGCCCUGACG
rnacentral:lncRNA from 1 species